CAUUACCGGGCUACUCUCCAGCAAAAUUAAAGCAGCCAUGCUGUUUUGUCCAGAUUUCAAUAGCCGUUUAGACAAAGGUGUUUGUGUAUAAACUUCGGGGCCUAAUUGGGUUGCUGGUUUUUCUUUGAAUAUUUUGAGGUGGACUAGGACCCUCAUGAUGCGGUAAAGGGGAGAAGGAUCACAUCUUAGAGCAGAUGAUAGUUCUAGGAGUGUCAUGGGGCUGCCAUGGCUUUCAAUUGCAUCAGCUAUUCCAAGCUGAAUGGCACAUUUUACCACCGCGAUUUCAGCAAACCCGAACACAUAUUUCCAGAUUUGCACUUUGGCAUGUUCUUCUUCUUUCUCUUCUCCUCCUAUCUCUCUUUGUUUAUCUUCCAUCUCUUUCUGUGUGUGUGUCGUAGGCUCUAAGGUAGCAAUAUAUAUAAUUUGCAGGAAGAGAUUGGAGUAUAGUUAUAUGCAGAACAUGUGUUGAACAGUUUAGGUAAUGCAAGGGCAAUCCUACCCUAAGGGCAGGGAAGGCAGCCGCCUACUCUAUUUUUUGCCAAACCAAAAAUUACCCAAUACCCAAUACAAUCAAAUUUCUUCUGCCUACUAAAAACCUAACCCUAAUGUAUCAUUUUGAUUGGGAUUUUACUACUAUCGGACACCCAAUUGAAGGGACUUAUGUGUUUCUUUUUCUCUUUUUUGGGAAUAAGAACGUAUGAUCUGGCUUAUUUUUUUUUUUUUUGGGUAAAGUGGGGGGUAAACAUCCCAGAACAAAAGAAACUAUUCACUCUGGUCUAAACAGACUAAUCUAGCUUUAGGAAUAUCUGAAGUAUCAUCAGCUAAACAAGAACUGACACAACUAUGAGCCGUGUCAAGAAUGAACAAGCCCAAAAUCCAAGUUAUAGCUCUAGUUGGGAAGACAAUCAUCAACUCCAUUCUUCUCUCUAUACACAUGCGUGAGGGUGAAAUUACCAAUUUUUCUCAUCAGUUCACAGCAGCUAUCAACCAAGGCUGCCAAAGGGUGCAAACGAAGCAGAGAAGGCUGCAGGCAAAGCUUCACAGCGAUAGCGCUACCUUUUCAGUUUCUAUUGUUUUGAUUUAUUUUUUUAAAUUAAAUUAAUCAAGAAAAGUGGAAAGUUUGUUAAGUUAAUAAAUAGAAUAAGGCUAAAUCAUGAAAAAUCUUAUUAAAGCAUUAUUUCUCUCCCAUAAUAAUGUCAUCAAACAAAUAAUAAAUAAAUAAUUAACUAUAGUUAAAUUCAUGGACAUGUGUAAUCUUUUGAGAAAAGUGGUGUGGUGAAGGUACAUCUUGGUUAAAGUGGUGAGCAAAAAUGCUCUCAAAAUUGUUGGGAUUACAUCAUGAUAAGAUAUGCCACGUGGAGUAAUCAGAAAUCUAUAGGGCUAAUUAUGUGCCGACACGUGGAUAUCAAAAAUCAAAUUCUCAUAUAAGAGAAGCAAAGGCUGCUUGCAAUUUGGGAAAAAGGUAUGACAAGCUUGGUAUCUGUACUAACUAUUUGUCGUUCCAAAUUUGCUUAACAAGUUCAUCACACUUAUGCAUAAUAACACAAGUGAAAGCACUAUUUUCUUGGUGUUCACUCUUUGUCAUACAAGUUCUUCAUCUAUUUUCUAAACUUGAACAAACCCAUCAGCACAGAUAUUAAUGCCGAACAGAUCUAAUUAGCAAUUUUCAUCACACAAUGAUACAAUACAAGUUUCAAAGAGUGGCUUAUUUGUCAGUUCAUCAUUUAAUUCCUCUAAAUUCACAAAAUUUAAAUCCUCCUAAGCGCUUGACAUUAGCUCACGUAAUAAGGGUGAGUGAGAAAAUGAUUUAAGAUUAUGAUAUGUAAAUAGUUUGCUACUUUCUCAUUGUAGCACAAGAAUUUAAGGCGAUAUUUGUUACUUGAGAAAGAGACUGAAUCCAAACUUUUUGGAUGUUGAGGGUGACCAAUGUUAACCAAUGGAAAGAGGGAAAUUUGCCUCCAAAACCCAGGUUGGAAAGAGGGAAAUAAACUUGGCAAUCAAAUGUUCAAUAUCUUGGGACCAUAUUUAUAGGGCCUUACUCGGAAGAGAGAGCCCUUCCAGAAAUUCUCAAGGGCACAUGGCUGAACCAAGGCCCAAGAGGGGGUUUGGAAAUAGUUUUCAACCAGCAAUAGACGCGCCUCGGUUAGAACCUCAUAAGCUGCGUCAUUGCCCCAAGCGCAAAGAUACUUCAAUCAUCGGCUUCCGCUCACUUUUAUCCCACUACAGCAACUCAGCCUUUUCUGCUCUAUCCAUAUGGGACUACAACUUCUUCUUUUACAAUUGAUAAUUACAGCAUCGGCCUUUGGAAUACAAUCAAACAUGUCACCUCCAACAUUAUCAAUCGAUUGCACUCCUGAGCAUUUUUUUCUAGUAAAAUAUACUCGGUUUUAUUAAUAUUUCUCUCCAUUUUUUUUCUAAUUUGUUUUGCAGUUGCUUCUCACUCACCCUUAUUGAGCUACUUCGAAGCUUGUAUUGUGUCAUUGUGUGAUGAAAAGUGCUAAUUGGAUUUGUUCGGCAUUAAUAUUGGUGCUGAUGGGUUUGUUCAACUUUAGAAAAUAGAUGAAGAAUUUGUAUGACAAAGAGUGAACACGAAGAAAAUAGUGCUUUCACUUGUGUUAUUAUAUAGUAUAAGUGUGAUGAACUUGUUAAGCAAAUUUGGAACGACAAAUAGUUUGAGUAAUUUUUGGUUGUAUUGGAUAUUGGGUAAUUUUUGGUUUGGCAAAAAAUGGAGUAGGCGGCUGCCUACCCUACCCUUAGGGUAGGACCGCGCCUAGUGGGUUGGGUUUGAGUAGGCAGAAUAAUUUGGUUGUAUUGGGUAUUGGAUAAUUUUUGGUUCGGCAAAAAAUGGAAUACGCAGCUGCCUUCCCUGCCCUUAGGGUAGGACCACUCCUGCAUUACCUAAAUUGUUCAACACAUGUUCUGCAUCUACCUAUACUCCAAUCUCUUCCUGCAAAUUAUAUGUUGCUACCUUAGAGCCUACGACACACACAGAAAAAGAGAUGGAAGAUAAACAAAGAGAGUUAGGAGGAGAAGAGAAAGAAGAAGAACAUGCCAAACUGGAAAUCUGGAAAUAUGUGUUCGGGUUGUGAGAAAACUAGAAUUGUAUUCUCAUUUCAUUUAAACAAUAAUGAUUACAUUGAAUUGUUUAUAUACACUUGAAAUAAGAUAGCUGUACAAAUGACAGCUGUACAGUUUGUUAAAGCAAAGCUAAACAGAAAUUAACAACUUUGUGAUGAACGGCUAGCAUUAGAUGAUGAACGACUAGGAUUAGAUGUGGAGAUAUCUCUAUCAGCCCCCCUCAAGCUGAAGGUAGUGUCACAAACGGAAAGCUUGGAUCGAAGAUACACAAAACGAGAGGAAGAUAGAGACUUUGUAAAAAUAUCAGCAAGUUGAUUAGAAGAACAAACAUAGUGAAGUCUAAGAGAACCAUUUUGCACCAGUUCUCAUGUGAAGUGAUAAUCAACUUCCACGUGUUUGGUCCUGGCAUGAAACACAGGAUUAGAAGCCAAAGAAAUAGCAGAUUGAUUAUCCACUCAGAGAAGAGGAGGAGUGCCUAGAAAAAACCCAAUGUCUUUAAACAAUUUAGCUAGAUAAACCAAUUCAGCAGCAGCUAAGGCACACUCCGACAUGUGUCAUUGAGCUUGGAAUAGCUGAUGCAAUUGAAAGCCAUGGCAGCCCCAUGACAAUCCUGGAGCUAUCAUCUGCUCUAAGAUGUGAUCCUUCUCCCCUUUACCGCAUCAUAAGGGUCCUAGUCCACCUCAAAAUAUUCAAAGAAAAACCAGCAACCCAAUUAGGCCCCAAAAGUUUAUGCACAACACCUUUGUCCAAACGGCUAUUGAAAUCCGGCCAAAACAGCAUGGCUGCCUUAAUUUUGUUAGAGAGUAACCCGGUAUAGCCGGGCGGCUUUAAAAAAAUUAAGGAAACAAUCCGGUAUCCUGUUUAAAUAAGUACAGCCAAUCGGCUAUACUAUUUUUUAAGAAAAUAAAAAAAGACCGAUUAUAGCCUCGCGGCUAGACUAUUUAUCGACCGGUCCAUUUUGAAUUAGGUAAGAGCUGGGGCCAAUGCAUGGAGUAGCGGUAGUGCCUUUGUAACGCAACAGCUGCUUUUGCAGUUUCAAAAGUGGUUUACUGUUAAGAAAUCAACAAGAAUAACUUAUUUAUUGAAAAAAUCAGAUUUGAAAACUUAUUUUCAAGAGAUUAUCAUAAGAUCCAUCAGAUGUGAUUCAAGUGGAAAUUAAUUGCUUUAUAAAAGGCCUAGUUAUGGCUUACUGAUAUCCACUCUGAUUUUUACCUUUGCAAUAUCAGGCAAACACAAAAGCAUACAGCUGUUCAAAAUAUCCUCUAUGCACUGUGCGUUGAUGAUAAGGUGGAUCCUGGAAACUAAACUCAUCAUGGCAACUUGUGAGAACAACUUCUUUCACGGAAACCCUACCUGCCUAAUAUUGCACAUCUUUCCCUUCAAUAAUGCCUCUAUGGAAUUAGCAGUGCGAUAUCAAAAUCAAAUAAUUUAGAAAAUUGCAUAUAAGAAAAUAACAAUACUAUAUUAUGGGCCAUCAUCAAGAACAUAUACCCAUUCCUUCAAGGUCCUUUCUUUUCCUGUGUUAGUAUGGGCCAUCAUCACCAUGUCUAGCAUCAAUCUCACAUUUGUUAGCUUGCUGUCCUCUUUCUCAUCUUCUUCAUCGAUAACUGCUUCUAUGAUUAUAACCUUCCCUUUGUCCUCAGGAAUAGCUUCCCUGCACUUCUUAAGGAUACGGAUGCACUCAUCAUCUUCCCAGUCAUGAAGAACCCACUGCAAUUCACGAAAACAAAAUCAGAGUAUCCUUUGUCAUACGUGUUGUUGAUUGAGCAAAAAAAAACUUAUAGCAGAUAAUCAGGGAGCGAUGGCAGAGGAACCGCACAUUUUCUUACCACAUUAUCGCAGACAAAUGAUGUAAUAGGUGGUAGACAUUAACAGACAAAUCAAAUUAUGAAACUAAUAAGUCACAGGAUGAAUGAAAAAUAUAAAGAUGUAUUGCUCACUUGCUGCUUGCUAUUUUAAGGCUACUCAUCUUUAAAUGGUUUAAUUUUCUCUAUUUCCUUUAACUAUAUAUAUACUGACCUUAAUAAUUACAACAUCAGCCUUUGGAACAUAAUCAAACAUGUCACCUCCAACAUUCUCAAUGCGGUCAUACUCCUGAGCAACAGACACAACAUGAGGAAGAUCAGAGUUGAUGCCUCAGAUCCAAGGGCAUGCCUCAACCAACAAGCGCAAAGCAGUUCCAUUACCCGCGCCCACGUCUACUAUUGUGUGAAGCCCUUUGAACACCUCUAUACUAUUGACGUGAGUCUCCUAAUUAAUCAAGGAGAUUUACUUCCUUGAUUAAUUAAGGGAUUUACUUUCCUAUUUUUAUAUAGUUGAUAAAUCAUUGUAUAAUUAAGAGAUACUUUCCUAAUUCUUUACUGUAUCUAAUUCCUUGUAUAGCACAUGUAAACUCUUAUAUAUACCUCAUCAUGGAGAAGAAUAAAGAUAACCUACUACAUUCAAACAAUAUUCAUAUUUUAGCAUGGUAUCAGAGCCUGGUUGGAAGGUUGAUAUAUUUAGCUCACACAAGACCAGAUAUUGCAUAUGUUGUGAGUGUGGUUAGUCAGUUUAUGCAUUCACCCAGUGUGUCUCAUAGGAAUGCAGUUAAUCAGAUCUUAAGAUACUUAAAGUCAGCACCCAGGGAAGGGUUAACGUUCUCCAAAAAUAGAGAUCUCGAAGUUGUUGAAUAUACAGAUGCUGAUUGGGCUGGCUCCGUUACUGAUAGACGCUCUACUUCAGGUUACUUCACUUUUGUGGGAGGUAACCUAGUCACUUGGCGGAGUAAGAAACAAAAUGUAGUUUCUCCAACUAGUGCUGAAGCAGAGUAUCGAGGAAUGGCUCAAGGAUUUGUGAAUUACUAUAGAUAAGAAGACUAUUGACAGAAUUGGGGUUCAAGCCAUAAAAGCCAAUGGAGUUACAUUGUGAUAACAAGUCAGCCAUCGAUAUUGCCCAUAAUCCAGUUCAACAUGAUUAAACUAAACAUGUUGAGGUGGAUAGACAUUUUAUCAAAGAAAAACUUGAGAAGAAGAUCAUCCACCUACUAUUCGUAAAAUCAGAAGAUCAGUUGACAGAUAUCUUAAUCAAAGCUGUUUGUAGAAGAGUAUUUUAUGACUCACUUACCAAGUUGGACAUUGGUGACAUAUAUGCACCAACUUGAGGAGGAGUGUUGAAGUGAGUCUCCUAAUUAAUCAAGGAGAUUUACUUCCUUGAUUAAUUAAGGGAUUUACUUUCCUAUUUUUAUAUAAUUGAUAAAUCAUUGUAUAAUUAUGAGAUAUUUUCCUAAUUCUUUACUGUAUCUAAUUCCUUGUAUAGCACAUGUAAACUCUUAUAUAUACCUCUUUAUGGAGAAGAAUAAAGAUAACCUAAUACAUUCAAACCAUAUUCAUAUUUUAGCAUAUACAACUUUCAAUCACUGCAGGCACAACCACCCUUGCAUCACAAGCCAUUGCUUCAUUGAAAAGCUUGCUAUGAUCAGGAUUGGCUGCGCCAAAGCUCCACAGGUCCUCACCAUAUACUUCCUCAAACACUGGAUUUCUAAUAUUACCUUGGACACAGGUCCUCACCAUGUACUUCCUCAAACACUGGAUUUCUAAUAUUACCUUGGAUUCGGGCACUGAGGCCAUGCCACGGUGCUAGCAUUACCGGGCUACUCUCUGGCAAAAUGAAAGCAGCCAUGUUGUUUUGUCCGGAUUUCAAUAGCCGUUUGCACAAAGGUGUUUGUGCAUAAACUUUGCGGCCUCAUUGGGUUGCUGGUUUUUCUUUGAAUAUUUUGAGGUGGACUAGGACCCUCAUGAUGCGGUAAAGGGGAGAAGGAUCACAUCUUAUGAUAGCUCUUGGAGUGUCAUAGGGCUGCCAUGGCUUUCAAUUGCAUCAGCUAUUCCAAGCUCAAUGCCACAUUUAACCACUUGCGAGUUCAACAAACCCGAACAUAUAUUUCCAGAUUUCCACUUUGGAAUGUUCUUCUUCUUCCUUUUCUCCUCCUAACUCUCUUUGUUUAACUUCCAUCUCUUUGUGUGUGUGUUGUGCCGUAGGCUCUAAGGUAGCAAUAUAUAUAUAAUUUGCAAGAAGAGAUUGGUGUAACACCCCGACUCCAAAUUAAACCCCUUAUUUAAAUUGUUUAAAUUAUUUAAGGGAAAUUACAAAUUUACCCUUGAGAUAGGGAUAUUUUGGUCAAUUUCUUACUCGGAGCGAGUUUGGGGCAGUGACUAGUAUUUUUGGAUAGGUCGUACUGAGAUGAGUUCGUAGACACGUAGUGGGCUCGAAUCGGAGUUGUAACGAGAGAGAUAUGGUCAAAAGAAUCCCAGUGGCACAAUCGUAAUUAUUUUGAAAUGAGAUUUUUAUAAAAAAUCAGAUUCUUCUCUCUCUCUCGCUCCCGCGUGCUCUCUCUCUCCCCGUCGGUCCCUCUCUCUCUCCUUGAAUCUCCGGCCACCGGCCACGGCUGAGGACGGGACUGGUGCCAAAAGGACCGGUUCGGCCUCGGCGUCACGACCCGGCCCUCCCCCGACAUCGGCCGCCUCUCCAACCGCCGAAAAAAGGCGAUUUUUGUCCGGUUUUCCCUCGAACUUCGCUGGCUCUGAUCUCCUUCCUCCGGCGGCCAUUUUUGGCAAUCAGGGUAUGAAAAUUCAUCCCUUCUUCAUGUUCUAGCUGCCUGUUGGGUAGAUUGGAUCGAUUCUUAGCGUAGGCAAUUCGAUUUUUGAAUUGAAAUUUGGCUAGUCUUGGGAUCGCGAUUUCGGCCACUUCCGGUCAGUUUUUGGGGUAGGUCAAAAGUGGUUCCAAAUAUGGUGUUAUACCUAGGGUAGGAGUUUGGAGCAGUGGUUUUGAGAUUUUCUGGCGAUGCGUAAUCGCUUUGGGCACCCAGCUUUGCCGGCGCAUGGGCGAGGGUAGUGAAGUUGCACUGUGUCUCGAUGAGAUCCUUAGGUUGUCACAAGUGCGUAGGAUUUCGCGGAUCUCAAUUCGGACGUCGUUUGACUAUCGAACGGAUAUCGCCUAUUGCGUGUUAUCCGGGUUCGAUAGGUUAGGACCGUUGGAUGAUCUUAAAUUUAAUAUAUGUUAAUCUAGGUAUUUCUAGGAUCGUGUAGAAUUUCAUGGAUUGUGAAUCGGAGCCCCGAAUGUUCCGAUUUAUAAAUAUAAAGUUUACGUUUUAUAAUAAUCGUCAGAUCGUGCGAUCGUGAGCGAUUCGACCGUCCGAUCUGGACCAAACUUGCACGACGAGUGUCCUAUACCUUGUAGAACCCAUAGGAACUUUCGGAUCGGAAUUUGGAGGUCGUGUGCCCCGUAGGCCCGUUUGACCAGGGUUAGGGUAGUUUGACCCUUAGUUGACCGUGAGUCUCUUGAAGUAAUCUCACCUUCCCAGGGGGAUUAUCGGGUGCUAGACUAUGGUUGAGGUUUACACAAUAUUUGAAGUAAAUUAUAUACUUAUAUAUGUUUGUAAAGGUAUAAAAGGAGUCUAGAAUGUUAGUUUGAAGUGCUAUACGCACUACCUUAGGUACCAUCCCGGAUUUUUGGUCACACUACAAGUACCACCCUGUGAAAGUUAGGUCCCACGUGGCCUAGGUUAUCCGGCGUGCGGACAGACCCCAUACGUGGCGUUGGUUGUACCGCGUAUGGGGAGAUUAUGUGAUAAUAUGUUGAGGUCGCACAUGGCGUAGGUUAUCCGGCGUGUCGACAGACCCCAUACGUGGCGUUGGUUGUACCGGCAUAUAGGGAGAUAUGUGAUAUGAUGUGCAGGUCUCAUGUGGCAUAGGUUAUCCGGCGUUGAGACAAACCCCAUAUGUGGCGUUGGUUGUACCGGCGUAUGGGGAGAUUAUGUGAUAUUAUGUUGAGGUCGCGCGUGGUGUAGGUUAUCCGGCGUGUCGACAGACCCCAUACGUGGCGUUGGUUGUACCAGCGUAUGGGGAGAUAUGUGAUAUGAUGUGCAGGUCUCGCGUGACGUAGGUUAUCCGGCAUUGAGACAUGCCUCAUACGUGGCAUUGGUUGUACUGGCGUAUGAGGAGAUAUUGUGAUAGUAUGGUAUGGUCACACGUGGCGUAGGUUAUUCGGCGUGUUGAUAGGCCCCAUACGUGGCGUUGGUAGUACAUGCGUAUGAGGAGAUUAUGUGAANNNNNNNNNNNNNNNNNNNNNNNNNNNNNNNNNNNNNNNNNNNNNNNNNNNNNNNNNNNNNNNNNNNNNNNNNNNNNNNNNNNNNNNNNNNNNNNNNNNNNNNNNNNNNNNNNNNNNNNNNNNNNNNNNNNNNNNNNNNNNNNNNNNNNNNNNNNNNNNNNNNNNNNNNNNNNNNNNNNNNNNNNNNNNNNNNNNNNNNNNNNNNNNNNNNNNNNNNNNNNNNNNNNNNNNNNNNNNNNNNNNNNNNNNNNNNNNNNNNNNNNNNNNNNNNNNNNNNNNNNNNNNNNNNNNNNNNNNNNNNNNNNNNNNNNNNNNNNNNNNNNNNNNNNNNNNNNNNNNNNNNNNNNNNNNNNNNNNNNNNNNNNNNNNNNNNNNNNNNNNNNNNNNNNNNNNNNNNNNNNNNNNNNNNNNNNNNNNNNNNNNNNNNNNNNNNNNNNNNNNNNNNNNNNNNNNNNNNNNNNNNNNNNNNNNNNNNNNNNNNNNNNNNNNNNNNNNNNNNNNNNNNNNNNNNNNNNNNNNNNNNNNNNNNNNNNNNNNNNNNNNNNNNNNNNNNNNNNNNNNNNNNNNNNNNNNNNNNNNNNNNNNNNNNNNNNNNNNNNNNNNNNNNNNNNNNNNNNNNNNNNNNNNNNNNNNNNNNNNNNNNNNNNNNNNNNNNNNNNNNNNNNNNNNNNNNNNNNNNNNNNNNNNNNNNNNNNNNNNNNNNNNNNNNNNNNNNNNNNNNNNNNNNNNNNNNNNNNNNNNNNNNNNNNNNNNNNNNNNNNNNNNNNNNNNNNNNNNNNNNNNNNNNNNNNNNNNNNNNNNNNNNNNNNNNNNNNNNNNNNNNNNNNNNNNNNNNNNNNNNNNNNNNNNNNNNNNNNNNNNNNNNNNNNNNNNNNNNNNNNNNNNNNNNNNNNNNNNNNNNNNNNNNNNNNNNNNNNNNNNNNNNNNNNNNNNNNNNNNNNNNNNNNNNNNNNNNNNNNNNNNNNNNNNNNNNNNNNNNNNNNNNNNNNNNNNNNNNNNNNNNNNNNNNNNNNNNNNNNNNNNNNNNNNNNNNNNNNNNNNNNNNNNNNNNNNNNNNNNNNNNNNNNNNNNNNNNNNNNNNNNNNNNNNNNNNNNNNNNNNNNNNNNNNNNNNNNNNNNNNNNNNNNNNNNNNNNNNNNNNNNNNNNNNNNNNNNNNNNNNNNNNNNNNNNNNNNNNNNNNNNNNNNNNNNNNNNNNNNNNNNNNNNNNNNNNNNNNNNNNNNNNNNNNNNNNNNNNNNNNNNNNNNNNNNNNNNNNNNNNNNNNNNNNNNNNNNNNNNNNNNNNNNNNNNNNNNNNNNNNNNNNNNNNNNNNNNNNNNNNNNNNNNNNNNNNNNNNNNNNNNNNNNNNNNNNNNNNNNNNNNNNNNNNNNNNNNNNNNNNNNNNNNNNNNNNNNNNNNNNNNNNNNNNNNNNNNNNNNNNNNNNNNNNNNNNNNNNNNNNNNNNNNNNNNNNNNNNNNNNNNNNNNNNNNNNNNNNNNNNNNNNNNNNNNNNNNNNNNNNNNNNNNNNNNNNNNNNNNNNNNNNNNNNNNNNNNNNNNNNNNNNNNNNNNNNNNNNNNNNNNNNNNNNNNNNNNNNNNNNNNNNNNNNNNNNNNNNNNNNNNNNNNNNNNNNNNNNNNNNNNNNNNNNNNNNNNNNNNNNNNNNNNNNNNNNNNNNNNNNNNNNNNNNNNNNNNNNNNNNNNNNNNNNNNNNNNNNNNNNNNNNNNNNNNNNNNNNNNNNNNNNNNNNNNNNNNNNNNNNNNNNNNNNNNNNNNNNNNNNNNNNNNNNNNNNNNNNNNNNNNNNNNNNNNNNNNNNNNNNNNNNNNNNNNNNNNNNNNNNNNNNNNNNNNNNNNNNNNNNNNNNNNNNNNNNNNNNNNAUAUGUGAUAGUAUGGUUAUGCUCCACACAUUGGCGUAGGUUAUCUGGCGUGUGAUAGCCCCCCAUACGUGGCCGUUGGUAGUACCAUGCGUAUGAGGAGAUUAUGUGAAAUACAGAGAAAAUGAAAUUAAGUUUAUCGCUUAUGUGUGGAAUUAGGUUUUAUGGAAGAAACUACGUGUGGCUUGAAUCCCUCAGGGAGGGGUACGUAGGCAGCCAAAGGUUACUAGGUGCAGCCGCAGACUAAAUGUUUAGUCAUAUUGUUAUAUGGAGAUUAGUUCGGACCUUGUUGUUGGUCCUGAAAUUGAGGUGAAAAUGUGAUUGUGUUAGGAGGCUAAAACCUCAUAUAUUGAAAUGUGAAAGGUUAAAUGAUGCAUGCUGAAAUUUAAUAGUCAUAAUUUAUAUUUGAAUUUAUCGUUUGCCUUGCUUAAGGUAUGAAUUGAUUUGUUAGCAUACUUGGUAGUUGAGAAUUAUUGGAAAGCCGAAGGCUGUUUAUGUGAAUUGCAUGAAAUUAUAUUGUGCAUGCUGCCAAUUGUGAAUAUUAAAUUGUGUUUUAUGCAGGUUGUAAUUUUAGGAAAUGUUCAAUUUAUAGGGGAGACUCUGCUGAAAUUUCGGCAGAAAGUCUCGGUCUUUAGUAAGUAGGCCCAGCAUAAGGGUGAUGUCGGGAAUUCCACAGAAUUCACCUUGGAUUUUGAGAAAUUCGGAGCAGGUCUUUUUAAUUGGAGUUGAAAUCUUUAGUUACACGCAACAUGUGUUGAACAAUUUUGGUAAUGCAUCAUUUUCAUUGGGAUUUUUUCCAGAUUCAACCACUCAAUUUUAAAUGUAUUUUCAUGUAAUGGUAGACAUCUUUUGCCCAAUUGGCUGGAAGGAUUUUGUCUUGUAUACAAAAUUCUUUCUUUGCCAAAGUAUUUAUCAAAAAGUUUAUAGCAACUCAUCAAAUUAUCUUAUUAAGCUAUAUAUCUGAUUUAUUAUGAUUUUAAAGUUCCCAAAAUACCCCUAUUUACAAUUGAGCGUGUAAGAGGCUGGUGUUUGAAGUUUUGGACCCUCUUUUUAUUGUAGUGAUCCUCUCCAUAAUUUGUGUAUGCAAUUAAUUAUCUAUUUUGAUUAUGGGGUUAAUUUUCUUAAUCCUACGUUUUGAUUAUGGUUUUAGUUUGGAGAUUGGUGUUCUGAUUAGGGUUCCUAAAGGUGGAAAUUUGGUUGAAGUUCAAGAAAUUCCAGGUAUUGAAAUUCCAUUUGAAAAUUCCGGAGCAUUCGACACUGACUAGCAAGCGUGAGUGAUCUGCCAUCAAAUUGCAGGUAAAAAACGUCUUUCUCUUCUAUGUACAUGGAGCCCCGUUCAUUGUUAGUCCUAACCAGAGCAAAAUUGGGUAUCUGGGUAUUAGUAUAUACCUACACGAAAAAGAUGGGUUUGAUUUUUGGUUUUUUAAAACCUGGUUAUAGACCUACAGCAUACAAACUAGAGCAAAACCAGAGCAAACCUGGGUAUCUGGGUAUUAGUUUACAUACACGAAAAUAGAUGGGUUUGAUUUUUGCUGUUUUUAAAUCUGGUUUGAUUUUUGCUUUUUUUGAUAACCUGAUAACAGGUUCUGGGGGGAGAUGAUCCUGUUUUUUUAGAAUCAAUUUUUAAGUUAUAGUGAUUGUUAGUUAUAUCCUGCUAGCACAGAAAAUCACCAUCGGCACACCAUGUAGGUAAAUACUGGAUUAUGUACCUACCAGACAGCUUAUAUACCCGAUACCCAAUUUUUGCUCCUGGUUAAGGUUUAUACUUUUGUAUAGGGAUUGUUAGUUUUACCCUACCAGAAUAUACUGGGGGAGUUUUGGUUUAAUAUCGAUUGUCAUCAAAGGAGUUUUUUGCUUCUGUAUCUUUGUGCGUUUUACAAUAAGCUUUGCUAUAUAUAUGAUAACGUUUUUUUUUUCCUAUAUAUUUUUUGAGAUACUCCCGUAACUCAUAACAAUUGUGUUCUUUUUCUUUUUUAGUUGGUUAGGUAAAUUAUUCUCAUCAUUUUUAUUCUACCUAUCCAACAAACAAUGAUUUUUCUUUGCAUGUAAUAAUCUUGGAUACUUGGGUAGGUACAUUAAUGUUCUUGUGUUCUAAUAUAUGUUCAAGAUCCAAUGAGCUUGAGGUUGGGGCAUUUGAGAUGACUUACCUCGUGCCGGAUCAUCCUCCAUGUGUACUAGAGACCGACUUAGAUGUGCGUGUAAUGUAUCUGUCCUUGAUGAAUGAGAAGAAAUAUACAGUUACAAUUGCUAUUAAGGAGUUUUUAUUUCCUGAGAAGCAAAACGGUGUUGAUGAUAUGUUUUGUGGUGAUGGUAAUACGCAUAAUUGGGAAAUAUGCAGCACCUUCUGGUCAUACAUACUUGUCUCAUUCUUGGAAGAACUACAUCAAUUAUGUGGGUCAGAAUAGUGAUUGUUGUACAUGAUCCUGUUUUUUUUUUGGUUUUUUAUUUUUAUACUUCUGUAUAGUGAUUGUUAGUUGGAUGGUUAAAUUGUUGGUAGGCAAACUAGUUCACCCCAUCGUGCCUAUUGUGAGAAAGCAUGUGCACCACACUGAGAAAAAAGUGAAUGGCAGGUACCCUGCUCAUUUUUAGGUCUCUCCCAUGCUUCAUAGUGUACCUGGUUUUGGGUUUUAUUUUUGCUGUUUUUAAACCUGGUUUGAUCUUUAGUUGUGAUCCUGAUAACAGGAUCUGUUGUACAUGAUCCUGUUUUUUUUUAAGAAUCAUGAUGUUAGUUUUAUACUUUUGUAUAGUGAUUGUUAGUUGGAUGGUUAAAUUGUUGGUAGGCAAACUAGUUCACCUGAUCGUGCCUAUGGUGAGAAAGCAUGUGCACCACACUUAGAAAAAAGUGAAUGGCAGGUACCCUGCCCAUUUUUAGGUCUCUCCCAUGCUUCAUAGUGUACUCCAAAAAGAAGGAUAAAUUCCUCCUUUAUCGCCUAUGGUUGACAAUAGUUUACAGACAAAACAAAUGACAUCCACCAGGUACACCAUCAAAAAUGGAUUCCAAAUUGCAUAAACCCCCUUUUUUUACUACACCUUUGGUAAGACCCUUGCAACAAGUACGAUAUCAGCAAAUUCCAAGCAGGUGCAAAAAGUAGAAUUGGAUUGAAUAACUAGUCUGGAGAAACAUUGGUGCACUGUUGAGACAACAUGAUUUGCAUUUGCAAAAUGACAUGGUAGUAGAUACACUGUUCAUCUCCCCCACACCCCCCCCCCCCCCAAAAAAAAAAACUCUAAUUCUUACAAUGCUUGGUCAGAAAGCUUCUGAAUCAUAAACUAAAACAAAACGUAAAAACAUUUUUGUCCAACAUAAUAUCGCAUUCCAGAAAUGUAACAAAUGCCAACACACAUGCAUGUGAUAACCCCCGGGGAGUUUUAAUGUCAUCUGCAACAUAUCAUUCAUCUUUUAAACUUUUUCCAUCAUGAAGAAAUUUGUUGAUGACUUUUGGACGAUAUUCCUUCAUUGUGUUCUCUGUAAAACAAGGUGCCAUGUUCUGACACUUCGAGAUAGUUGAGACAUAGUACAUCACAGCGACCCCACAGUCGACGGUAGAAAACCCAAAAAAAGAAAAAGGAAAAAGAAUAGUUUGAUCAGGUGCAUACAAAAAGAAUCAGUUUUUCUUUUCCUCAUCCAGUUUUGAUCACACCUAUUCUGUACCUACUUCAAAAAAAUAUUGUGCCCAAUGGAAAUCUACAGUUCAAAGGAAAUUAACCGCAUUACUUACGAGUCAUCCAUUUGUUGUGGGCAAUUAGUCGAUCGCCAUAAAGGAUAGUUAACAUCAGUAGCUUUCAGCCAUUGAAACGUUUGUUUCUCACCAUUGAAACAUUCAAUCACAUGAUUCCAACUAACAAUCACUAUACAAAAGUAUAAAACUUAAAAAUUGAUUCUAAAAAAAACUGGAUCAUGUACAACAGAACAUGUUAUUAGGUUAUCAAAAGCAAUAUAUAUUAUAUGACCAAACUGUUUUGUUGAUCCACACCAAAUUUGGAACACAAUUUACCUCCAAUUAACACACAUGGAGUCAACUGUUAUCAAUAUACAAGAUUUUCUCAAAAUUAUAUAGGCUAAAAAAAACCCAUCUAUUUGGUGUAGGCAAACUAAUACCCAGAUACCUUGUUCAUGUAGGUAAACUAAAAUACUCCAGAAUUUCGUGUUGGUACAUAACCAUCACAACAAGAAAGGAGAAAAAUCUACAUAAUGAGAUAUAGAAUGAUAAAUCUGAAAUUUGAAAGUAAUCAUACUCGUUACGUAAUGCUCAUCUUAAACCCUUUUAUGAAGGGCCUACUCUACUUGUAUAGAUUAUGGAGCACCUCUAGAAUUAAUAACAUCUCCAAGUGUUAUCAGCUGGCUAAGAAGCUAGCUAGGAUACCUGUAAUCAGGUUUUGUUGGGACAUUCAGAAAAAAUGUUUUGGCUAAUGCCCCUCCCUCCAUCAAAGCAAAUGGAGUCAGGUUCAGUCUAGGACUAACUUCUCCUACAGCCCAGGUUGGACGAACUGAUGUACGAGAAAAUUCAUCAACCUGAGAAACAAAACCCUCUCAAAAGCAUUCAGAACUCUGUAUUAAUUGCCCAGGUUUUUGUCGUUUUACUAUGAAAGCAUCUAACAAAGAAAAGGAAAAAAAAUCAACACCAGAAUUUCGUGUAGGUACAUAACCAUCACAAUAGUAUACAAGAGUAUCUCAAAAAAUGAUAACCAAAACCACACUGGGACUUUCAUCAAACACGUUGUGUGCGCCAAAAACUAACAAACUAAGAGUGUGAUCAAUAUGGCACAAAUCACAAAACAAUUUCACAAAAGGAGCAAAAAUACAUAACCAGAUUCCCAAUAGGCUGUUGGUACAUAAACAGGUUUUAAAAAAACAAAAAUCAAGACCAGAAUUUGGUGUAGGUACAUAACCACUCUUCCUCUGGUUUUGCUCUGGUUAGUACUACCAAUCGAUGGGGGCUCCAUGUACGUGCAAGAGAGAGACUUUUUUUACCUGCUAUUUGACGGCAGACCACUCACGCUUGCUAGUCAGUGUCGAAUGCUCUGGAAUCGAAUGCUUCGGUCGUUCUCGUAUUCUCUUUACAACUGGGCUGAUGAAAGGAAUGCGCCUGGGAACCCAGAUUUUGAAAGACAUUAGAGGGUUUGGGGGAAUCUAAUGUUGGAGAAUCUGUGGUUUCAAUGGAGGGAAUCGAUCAAGGCUGAAAUGGUGGUAAACUGAAAAGUUUUGAAACGGUAGUUGUAAGUUUUUAGUAAACGGUCAGAUAGAUAGUUUAGAUGCGUUGUUUACCUACAAUGGCAACUAAUGUAAAUAAAUACAAUAUUAUGACCUCUUUCUUCUUAGGGGGCAUUACAAUUUGAAUUUGGGUUUUCAACGUAGUUAUAUAGAUAGAUGGGUUUGUGUCUAGGGGAUAUCAGCUGUAUGGGCUUAUAUUGGAGUCUCUCAAAAGUUUACUACGCAGUAGACAAACAUGGUAAGCAUGCAUUGUUCAGCCGUAGCUAGUGGCACAUUAUCAUAAGAAUAAGAUACAUAUGUUUUAGUUAUGAAUCUUGUUUUUUUGUUGUGAGCAUAACUUUUCUCUUUCCAAUUGUGUUUUGAUACUCUUCUAAUACUAUGUAUUAGAAUGUGAGUAUCCAACCCGAAAUCAAUUGACAAUGGAUGGAGAGACCCAAAAUCUUUAUACCAUUUGACAAGGCUUUAAUUCUCCAAUGUGAGAUUCACACUCUCAAUCAACACAUACAACCUUUACCUACACACAAAUCGGGGGAACAACUAUUGAGCUAUAUGAAUUGAAUUGAAUCAAUACAGAUGAUACAGUAUUCUGCAGAAAACUCUAUCUGAUUUUGCUUAGCUUCCAUCCAUUGGCUCUGUCUCACAAGUCGUAAGGACAUUGAAAGACAAACUAAUGGAAAGAAAGACAUUGGAGGGCUGUGAAUCACAUACAUGUAUACCUUAAAAAUCAAAGCAUGUGUUGCUCAAAAACAUGCCUACUAGUAUUCAGAUAGAAAGAUAUAUAGCAGCCACAAUGCAUUUGCUCAGAUUUUAUUGCCAACCAUCUAAAGAUUACAAACUGCAAGAGCAGUAGGCUUAUUAAAUCAACAGAUAAAGACCAAAAGGUAACUUAAAACACUACAAUGAAACAGUACUCAUUUGCAAAAACAAAUCCACAUCCAUAACUUUUUGUUCUCUAAAUUUAAGGAAAAGCCUGAAUAACGGAACAGACAGCAUGAAUAGGUGUGAUAGUGUGUCGGCUGAAGCCAGCUUCCUCAAGAACAUAUUCCCAUUCCUUCAAGGUCCUUUCUUUUCCUGUGUUUGUAUAGGCCAUCAUCACCAUGUCUAGCAUCAAUCUCACAUUUGUUAGUUUGAUGUCCUCUUUCUCAUCUUUUUCAUCGAUAACCGCUUCUACGAUUAUCACCUUCCCUUUAUCUUCCGCAAUAGCUUCCCUGCACUUCUUAAGGAUACGGAUGCACUCGUCAUCGCCCCAGUCUUGAAGAACCGACUGCAAUUCACAGAGUAUCUAUUGUCAAAACGCCUUGUUGAGCAAGAAAACUUAUAGCAAGAUAAUCAGGGAGUGAUGGCAGAGGAACCACAUUUUUUCUUAUCCCAUUAGCGUAGACAAAUGAUGUAAUAAGUAGACAUUAACAGACAAAUCAAAUGAUGAAACUAAUAGUUCACAGGAUGAAUGAAAAAUAUAAACGUGUUGCUACUAGCUAUUUUAAGGCUGCUCUUCCUCAAAUGGUUUAGUUUUCUCUAUAUAAAUAUAUAUAUAUAUAUAUACUUACCUUAAUAAUUACAGCAUCAGCCUUUGGAACACAAUCAAACAUGUCACCUCCAACAUUCUCAAUGCGGUCACACUCCUGAGCAACAGGCACAACAUGAGGAAGAUCAAAGUUGAUGCCUUGAAUCCAAGGACAUGCCUCAACCAACAAGCGCAAAGUAGUCCCAUCACCCCCGCCCACAUCUACAAUUGUCUCAAUCCCUUCGAACACCUCUAUACAACUUUCAGUCAUUGCAGACACAACCACCCUUGCAUCACAAGCCAUUGCUUCAUUGAAAAGCUUGUUGUGAUCAGGAUUGGCUGCGCCAAAGCUCCAUAUGUCCUCACCAUGUACUUCCUCAAACACUGAAUUUCUAAUAUUACCUUUGAUUCGGGUACUGAGGACAUGCCACGGUGCCAGCAUUACUGGGCUAUUCUCUAGCAAAAUGAAAGCAGCCAUGCUGUUUUGUCCGGAUUUCAAUAGCCGUUUGGACAAAGGUGUUUGUGCAUAAACUUUGGGGCCUAAUUGGGUUGCUGGCUUAUUUUUGAAUAUUUUGAGGUGGACUAGGACCCUCAUGAUGCGGUAAGGGGGAGAAGGAUCACAUCUUAGAGCAGAUGAUAGCUCUAGGAGUGUCAUGGGGCCGCCAUGGCUUUCAAUUGCAUCAGCUAUUCCAAGCUGAAUGGCACAUUUUACCACCGCGAUUUCAGCAAACCCGAACACAUAUUUCCAGAUUUGCACUUUGGCAUGUUCUUCUUCUUUCUCUUCUCCUCCUAACUCUCUUUAUUUAUCUUCCAUCUCUUUCUGUGUGUGUUUCGUAGGCUCUAAGGUAGCAAUAUAUAUAAUUUGCAGGAAGAGAUUGGAGUAUAGUUACAUGUAGAACAUGUUGGAAGUUUGAAAGCUAAUGUCCCACAUUGGAGAAAACAAAAGGUUCCAUAUGCUUUAUAAGCAUGAAACCUUAACAUCAAUUAAAUAAAGAUUGGUGGGCUGAUGAGCUUGGUAGUGAAGACUAUCAUAGUUGACUUGCUUGAUUAAUAUUAAUAUUUAAAUAAUCAAGACUUGGGCCUUGGGGUCUCUGGAAAAUAAAAGAAAUAUACCUAGUUCGAAAAUAAAAUAAUUAUUUUUUUAUUUUUCGGAUUUCUUUGGCAGAAGUUAAAUUCAAACCAGAAAGACUUAUCUUUUUGUUUGAAUUUGAACAGGUAUAACUGAUACUAACUGCUAUUUUGAAAGGGUGUAAUUCUAUUAUAAAACCACAAGUCCUAAGCCAUAAUACGGACAUCUUUUUCCUUAAACUAUCUCAUAUUAUUUUAAAGUUACCAACUGUAUUGGAGAGAAGCACACCAACGUUGGCCAGAAUUCAAGGAUCCGAUGCUGGACCCUUGAAUUAUAGAUAGUUGAAUCCUGGGAGAUAUACGCCUGUUGAACUUCAAGCACUGAGAAGAGGCGAAAUUCUGUCUUUAGGACAUUGCAAAUACGCAAGCCUCUAUCUUCAAUAAAAGUCAGUAUUCUGUACUUAAUUUAUAUUUGCACACUUAUACAGAUUUUAUAAUUUUGUUACUGUUUAUAUUUUAAGAGUUGUGCAAUAAUAUAGUGAUCCUAUAGUAUAAAACAUUUACUGAUUAUUUCCUAACAGAACAUGUGUUGAACAGUUUAGGUAAUGUAUCAUUUUCAUUGGGAUUUUUCCCAGAUUCAGCCACUCAAUUUUAAAUGUAUUUUCAUGUAAUGAUAGACAUCUUUUGCCUAAUUGGCUGGAAGGAUUUUGUCUUGUAUACAAAAUUCUUUCUUUGCCAAAGUAUUUUAUCAAAAAGUUUACUACGUAGUAGACAAACAUGGUAAGCAUGCAUUGUUUAGCUGUACGUAGCUAGUGGCAUUAUCAUAAGAUUCGAAAAUAUGGAGGGCUAAUCACGUACCGACACGUGGCUCUCAAAAAUCCUAUCUGAAAAAUUGUUGGGAGCAUUUUUUCCUCAUCACUUUAAUUCAAGCUGUGUACCCUCAUCAUUAUUCCCAAAAGGUGACGCAUGUCCAUAGUUUAACUCUUUAUUUUUUAUUUAUUUGAUGACAUUAUUAUGAGAGAGAAACAAUGGUUUAAUAAAAAAUUUCCUGAUUUACCCUUUUCCUAUUAAUUUACCCAACAAACCUUCCAUUUUUCUAUUAAUUACCAAUGAAGCGAACAAAAUCCAAAUAAUUAACAACAUCAUGACGAUCAUUACUAGAAAAAUAAUUGUUUCAUUUGACAUUGUUGAACACUUUGACUAAAAAACAAAACUCUUGAAUGCUACUCCUCCUUCAUAACCGAAAAAAAAAAAAAAAAUUCAAAUACUAAAGAGGCUUUAAUUCUGUGAUUAAUAGGAGGCUUUAAUGCCAAUUGAAUCUAUGAAAGGACCCGCCUCGAAUUUCCCAAAACCCGAGGCGAAUCCUGUGGAAUUCCAGACAUCACCCCUAUGCCGGGCCUACUUACUAACGACCGAGACUUUUUGCCGAAAUUUCGACAGAGUCUCCCCUGUAAAUUGAACAUUUCUCAAAAUUACAACCUGCAUAAAAACACAUUUAAUAACCACAACUGGCAGCAUGCACAAUAUAAUUUCACGCAAAUCACAUAAACGGCCUUCGGCCUUCCUAUAAUUCUCAACUACCAAGCAUGCUAGCAAAUCAAUUCAUGCCUUAAACAAGGCAAUCGAUAAAUUCAAAUAUAAAUUACGACUACUAAAUUUCAACACACAUCAUCUAACUUUUCCAAUCCCAAUAUAUAUGAGGUUUUAACCUCCUAACACAAUCACAUCUAUGUCCGCGGCUGCACCUAAUAACCUUAGGCUGCCUACGUACCCUUACUGAGGGAUCAAGCCACACGUAGUUCUUCCUUAAAACCCAAUUCUACAGAUAGGCAAUACCUUAUUUUAUUUCUCUGUAUUUCAUAUGAUCUCCCCAUACGCCGGUACUACCAACACCACGUAUGGGGCCUGUCAACACGUCGGAUAACCUACGCCACGUGCGACCAUACCAUACUAUCACAAUAUCUCCCCAUACGCUGGUACAACCAAUGCCACUUAUGGGGUCUGUCUCAACGCCGGAUAACCUACGUCACGCGAGACCUGCACAUCAUAUCACAUAUCUCCCUAUACGCCGGUACAACCAACGCCACGUAUGGGGUCUGUCGACAUGCCGGAUAACUUACGCCACGUGCGACCUCAACAUGAUAUCACAAUAUCUCCCCAUACGCCGGUACAACCAACACCAUGUAUAGGGUCGGUCUCAACGCCGGAUAACCUACGCCACGCGAGACCUGAACAUCAUAUCACAUAUCUCCCCAUAAGCCGGUACAACCAACGCCACGUAUGGGGUCUGUCGACACGCCAGAUAACCUACGCCACGUGAGACCUCAAUAUCAUAUCAUAAUAUCUCCCCAUACGCAGUACAACUAACGCCACAUAUGGGGUCUGUCCGCAUGCCGGAUAACCUACGCCACGUAGGACCUAACUUUCACAGGGUGGUACUUGUAGUGUAACCAAAAUCUGGGGAGGUACCUAUGGUAGUGCGUAUAGCACUUCAAACUGACAUUCUAGACUCCUUUUAUACCUUUACAAACAUAUAUAAAUAUAUAAUUUACUUCUGAUAUUGUGUAAACCUCAACAAUAGUCUAGCACCCGAGAAUCCCCCUGGAAAGGUGAGAUUACUCCGGGAGACUCACGGUCAACCAAGGGUCAAACUACCCUAACCCUGGUCAAACGGGCCUACGGGGCCCACAACCUCCAAAUUCCGAUCCGAAAGUUCCUAUGGGUUCUACAAGGUAUAGGACACUAGUCCUGCAAGUUUGGUCCAGAUCGGACGGUCGGAUUGCUCACGAUCGCACGAUCUGAAGGUUAUUAUAAAACAUAAACUUUAAAUUAUUUAAUCGGAACAUCCGGGGCUCCGAUUCACGAUCCGUGAAUUCCUACACGAUUCUAGAAAUACCUAGAUUAACAUAUAUUAUAUUCGAGACCUUCCAACGGUCCCAACCUAUCAAACCCGGAUAACGCGCAAUAUGCGAAAAUCCGUUCGAUAGUCAAACGACGUCCGAAUUGAGAUCCGCGAAAUCCUACGCACUCGUGACAAACUAAGGAUCUCAUCGAGACACAGUGAAACUUCACUACUCUCGCCCACGCGUCGCCACAUGCGACGGCAGCGCUGGGUGCCCAAAGCGAUUAUGCAUCGCCGGAAAAUCUCAAAACCACGGCUCCAAACUCCUACCCUAGAUAUAAGACCCUAUUUGGAGCCACUUUUGUUCUUGGACCUACCCCAAAAACUGACCAGAGGUUGCCAGAAUUGCCAUCCCAAAACCGGCCGAAUUUCAAUUUGUAAAUCGAAUUGGCUACGCUAAAAAUCGAUCCAAUCCUACCCAACAGGGAGCUAGAGCAUGAAGAAUGGAUGAAUUUUCAUACCUUGAUCGCCAGAAAUGGCUGCCGAAGGAAGGAGAUCGGAGCCGACGAAGUUCGAGUGAAAAACCGGGCAAAAAUCGCCUUUUUCCAGCGGCUAGAGGAGCGGCCGAUGUCAGGGGAGGGCUGUUUAAGGACCCGCCCCGAAUUUUCUCAAAACCCGAGACGAACCCUUUGGAAUUCCUGACAUCACUCCGAUGCCAGACCCAAUUACUAAAAACCGAGACUUCCUGCCAAAUUUCGACAGAGUCUCCCCUAUAAUUUGGACAUUUUCCAAAGUUUCAACCUGCAUAAAAACACAUUUAAUAUUCCCAACUGGCAGCAUGCACAAUAUAAUUUCAUGCAAUUCACACAAAUGGCCUUCGGCCUUCCAAUAAUUCUUAACUAACUAACAAACAAUUCAAAUACCAAAUAUGACUAAUAUUUAGUCUGCGGUUGUACCUAAUAACCUUAGGCUGCCUACGUACCCUCCUUGAGGGAUCAAGCCACACGUAGUUCUUCCACUAAAAUCCAAUUCCAUACAUCGGUGAUGCCUUAUUUCUUUUCUCUGUAUUUCACAUAUUCUCCCCAUACGCCGGUACAACCAACGCCACGUAUGGGGCCUGUCAACACGCCGGAUAACCUACGCCACGUGCGACCAUACCAUACUAUCAUCAUAUCUCCCCAUACGCCGGUACAACCAACGCCACGUAUGGGGUCUGUCUCAACGCCGGAUAACCUACGCCACGUGAGACCUGCGCAUCAUAUCACAUAACUCCCCAUACGCCGGUACAACCAACGCCACGUAUGGGGUCUGUCCCAACGCCGGAUAACCUACGCCACGCAGGACCUCAACAUCAUAUCACAAAUUUCCCCAUACGCCGGUACAACCAACGCCACGUAUGGGGUCUGUCGACACGCCGGAUAACCUACGCCACGUGCGACCUCAACACAAUAUCACAAUGUCUCCCCAUACGCCGGUACAACCAACGCCACGUAUGGGGCCUGUCUCAACGCCGGAUAACCUACGCCACGUGAGACCUGAACCGCAUAUCUCAUAUCUCCCCAUACGCCGGUACAACCAACGCCACGUAUGUGGUCUGUCCCAACGCUGGAUAACCUACGCCACGCGGGACCUAAUUUUCACUUGGUGGUGUUUGUAGUGAAUCCAAAAUCCGGGGAGGUACCUAAAGUAGUGCGUAUAGCACUCCAAACUGACAUUCUAGACUCUGUUGUACCCUUGUACAACCAUAUAUAAUUAUAGUUAUAUAAAUAAAUUCUAAUAUUGUGUAAUCCUCCACAAUGGUCUAGCACCCGAUAAUCCCCCCUUAUAAAGGUGAGAUUACUCCGGAAGACUCACGGUCAACCAAGGGUCAAACUACUCUAACCCUGGUCAACCGGACCUGCAGAACCCACGACCUCCAAUUUCCGAUCCGGAAGUCCCUAUGGGUUCUACCAGGUAUAGGACACUUGUCCUGCAAGUUUGGUUCAGAUCGGACGGUCGGAUUGCUCACGAUCGCACGAUCUGACGGUUAAUAAAAAAAUAUAAACUUAACAUUAUUAUUCGGAACAUCCGGGGCUCCGAUUCACGAUCCGUGAAAUCCUACACGAUCCUAGAAAUACCUAGAUCAACAUAUAUUAAAUUUGGGACCAUCCAACGGUCCCAACCUAUCGAACCCGGAUAACGUGUAAUAUGCGAAUAUCCGUUCGAUAGUCAAACGACGUCCGAAUUGAGAUCCGCGAAAUCCUACGCACUCGUGACAACCUAAGGAUCUCAUCGGAACACAUUGCUACUUUUUCUACAGUGCCCACUCGCCGCCGCACGCGCCGGCAGCGCGUGGGUGCCCAAAGCGAUAACGGUUCGCCGGAAAAUCUCAAAACCACGGCUCCAAACUCCUACCCUAGGUAUAACACCCUAUUUGGAGCCACUUUUGUUCUUGGACCUACCCCAAAAAGUGGCCGGAAAUGGCCGAUCACAGCGGUCGAAGUUUCGGCCGAUUUUCAAUUCGAAAAUCGAGUGAUCUACGCUAAGAAUCGAUCUAAUCCUACCCAACCAUCAGCUAGAGCAGCUCGAGAGGUUCAAAAUCCAUACCUGGGUCGACGGAAUUGGUGGCCGGAGGAGGGAGAUCGGGGGCUUUAAAAAUCCGACGACAUCCGGGCGAAAAUCGCCAUUUUCCGGCGGCUGGAGCGGCGGCCGAUGGCGGGGAUGGGCUGGGUUGUGACGCCGAGGCCGAGCCGGUUCUUUUGGUACCGCCCCCGUCCGCAGCUGCGGCCGGUGGCCGAAGUUACGAGGAGAAAGAGAGAGAGAGCCGACGGGAGAGGGAGAGAGAUCGCGGGAGAGAGAGAGAGAGAAAGAGAGAGAGAAAAAUCUGAUUUGAUAAAAAAUCCCAUUUCGAAAUAUUUACGAUUAUGCCACUGGGCUUCUUUUGACCAUAUCUCUCUCGUUACAACUCCGAUUCGAGCCCACUACGUGUCUAUGAACUCGUCUCAGUACGACCUAUCCAAAAAUACAAGUCGCGGUCCCAAACUCUCUCCGGUUAAAAAUAUGACUAAAAUACCCUUAAAUAAUUAAAUAAUUAAAUAAGGGUAAAAUUUGGGGAAAUUUGGGGUCGGGGUGUUACAGGCUGGGUCGUGACGCCGAGGCCGAGCAGGUCCUUUUAGCACCGGUCCCAUCCGCAGCCGCGGAGAUUUCAAGGAAAGAGAGAGAGAGAGACCGACGGGGAGAGAGAGAGAGAGAGAGAGAGAGAGAGAGAGAGAGAGAAAUCUGAUUUUUUAUUAAAAAAAUCUCAUUUCAAAAUAAUUACGAUUGUGCCACUGGGUUUCUUUUGACCAUAUCUCUCUCGUUACAACUCCGAUUCGAGCCCACUACAUGUCUACGAACUCAUCUCAGUACGACCUAUCCAAAAAUACUACUCACUGCCCCAAACUCUCUCUAGGUAAGAAAGUGACCAAAAUACCCCUAUCUCAAGUGUAAAUUUGUAAUUUCCCUUAAAUAAUUUAAAUAAUUUGAAUAAGGGGUUUAAUUUGGAGUCGAGGUGUUACAAUCUAACUCAAUCAAAUACUUUGAUCACUUAAAAAAAAUUGAUCCAACAAAAAAGGAAAUGAAAAAAUGAAAAACUUUUGGUGAGCAUGUAUAAACUCAUGAACUUUACUACUAUCGGACACCCAAUUGAAGGGACUAUGUGUUUCUUUUUCUAUCGGACACCCAAUUGAAGGGACUUUUGUGUUUCUUUUUCUUUCUUUUUUCUUUCUUUUUUUUUUUUUGGGGUUUUUUUUUUUUUGGGGUUAAAGUGGGGGGUAAACAUCCCAGAACAAAAGAAACUAUUCACUCUCAUCUAAACAGACUAAUCUAGUUUUAGGAAUAUCUGAAGUAUCAUCAGCUAAACAACAACUGGCAAAACUAGGAGCCGUGUCAAGAAUGAACAAGCCCAAAUCCAAGUUAUAGCUCCAGUUGGCAAGACAAUCAUCAACUCCAUUCUUCUCUCUAUACACAUGCGUGAGGGUGGAAUUACCAAUUUUUCUCAUCAGUUCACAGCAGCUAUCAACCAAGGCUGCCAAAGGGUGCAAACGAAGCAGAGAAGGCUGCAGGCAAAGCUUCACAGCGAUAACGCUACCUUUUCAGUUUCUAUUGUUUUGAUUUAUUUUUUAAAUUAAAAAUCUAUAGGGUUAAUCACGUGCUGACACGUGGAUAUCAAAAAUCGAAUUCUCAUAUAAGAGAAGCAAAGGCUAAUUGCAAUUUGGGAAAAAGGUAUAUCAAGCUGGGUAUCCGUAAUAACUAUUUGUCGUUCCAAAUUUGCUUAACAAGUUCAUCACACUAAUACUAUAUAAUAACACAAGUGAAAGCACUAUUUUCUUCGUGUUCACUCUUUGUCAUACAAAUUCUUUAUCUAUUUUCUAAACUUGGACAAACCCAUCAGCACCAAUAUUAACGCCGAACAAAUCCAAUUAGCACUUUUCAUCACACAAUGAUACAAUACAAGUUUCAAAGUAACUCACGUAAUAAGGGUGGGUGAGAAGCAACUGCAAAACAAAUUAGAAAAAAAUGGAGAGAAAUAUUAAUAAAAUCGAGUAUGUUUUAAUAGGAAAAAUAAUGCUCAGGAGUGUGAUCGCAUUGAGAAUGUUGGAGGUGACAUGUUUGAUUGUAUUGCAAAGGCCGAUGCUGUAAUUAUCAAUUGUAAAAGAAGUUGUAAUCCCGCAUGGAUAGAGCGGAAAAGGCUGAGUUGCCAUAGUGGGAUAAAAGUGAGCGGAAGCCAAUGAUUGAAGUAUCUUUGCGCUUGGGGCAAUGAUGCAGCUUAUGAGGUUCUAACACCCUCUGCCCUUGAGAAUUUCUGGAAGGUCUCUCUUUGGAGUAAGGGUUUAGCCGCUUGGAAGAGUAUAGCUGGUCAGCUAUACUAUUUUUUUAAAAUUAGCAAAAAAAUGGAGAGAAACAUUAAUAAAACCGAAAAUCGAAAAAAACCAAAUACAGCCGCCCGGCUAUACUAUCUAUCCAACAGACAAUUUUGAAGUAGGUAAGAGCUGGGGCCAAUGCAGGGAGUAGCGGUAGGGAUGGCAACGGGUCGGGUAGGGCCCGGGUAUGACAACACCAUCCCCGUCCCCGCUCUCCAUCCCGCCCCCGUCCCCGAACCUGUCCCCGUUUAAUAGGUUUCGGGGAAUUCUCAUCCCUUCCCCAUCGGGAACUAUCCCCCAUACCCGCCCCGAAUCCCCAAUUUUUUUUGCAUAAAAAAAUAUUUAUCAUAUAUUUUAACAUUAAGUUUCAUAUUAAAUUAUCAUUCAACACAUCCAAAUUAACUAUAAAGUUCAACUCAACUAUUCAAAAUCAUAUCAAUAUGAAGUUCCAGAGAAGAUUAGGAAUAAUUAGGAGAUGGAGGUUAACUUAGGGUUAAACAUAAAUAUUAUAAAUAUUUAUUUAUUUAUUUAAGUAUAAACAUAUAUAUUUUCGGGUCGGGUUCGGGGAUGGAGAUGCCAGUACCAUCCCUUCCCCAUACCCAUCGGGUAUUUUUCAAAUUCGGGGAUCCCCGUACCCGAUACCCGUUUAGCUCCAAAAUCUCCCCCCGUUAGGGUCGGGGACCCGCCGUUGCGGGGAUUUUUGCCAUCCCUAAGUAGCGGUAGUGCCUUUGUUGACAGCUGCUUUUGCAGUUUCAAAAGUGAUUUACAACUAAGAAAUCAACAAGAAUCACUUAUUUAUUGAAAAAAAUCUGAUUUGAAAACUUAUUUUCAAGAUAUUAUCAUAAGAUCCAUCAGAUGUGAUACAAGUGGAAAUUAAUUUCUUUAUAAAAGGCCAAGAACAAUCCAGCCUAGUUAUGGCCUACUGAUAUCCAAUCAGUUCAUACUCAUGCUUUUCUGAUUUUUUACCUUUGCAUUAUCAGGCAAACACAAAAGCAACAACUGUUCAAAAGAUCCUCUGUGCACUGUGCGUUGAUGAUAAGGUGGAUCCUGGAAACUAAAUUCAUUUGGCAACUUGCGAGAACAAUAUCUUUCACGGAAACCCUACCUGCCUAAUAUUGCACAUCUCUUUCCUUCACAAAUGGUUCCCUGGAAUUCACAUCCAUUAUCUCAACCACAAACACUCGUAUUCAUUUCCUUCAAUAAUGCCUCUAUGGAAUCAGCAGGGUGAUAUGAAAAUCAAAUCAUUUAGAAAAUUGAAUAUAAGAAAAUAAUAAUACUAUAUUUUUUAAAUCAAAAAAUCAAAGAAAACUGAGUGUAGCCGCUCGGCUAUACUAUUUAUUUUUAAAAAAGAGAGGACCAGCCUAGCGAUUGGGCGUCCACGAGUCAAAAUAAGUAUAGCCACGUGAUACUUAUAUAUUUAUUUUUUAAAUAGGGAAUACUUAUAUUUAUUUUUUAAAUAGGGAGCAAAGCUGCUGCCCGAUAACUCCCCAUCCCCAAAUGAGUUUUCACUCAUAUUUUUAGCAGUUUAGCUGUUUUUGCUAGCUUUCUCUGACACCUUUUGUUUCUGGCCUCCUAGCUUUGCGUGUGUUUCUUUUCUUCAUGCUUCGUUUGAUUGUUGCUUCUCCUUUUGUUUGUUGCGCUGGUCUGUUUUGGCUGUGUUUAUGAAGAUCUUUUUACCCAAAAAAACAGAAAAAAACCUAAAUCCCAAAAUCUGUUACGAAUGCGGUGGUGGUUGUGGCAUCGACGGUUCAUCAAGUGGUGGUGGUAGGGUUCGUUUAGGCUCAUGGGUUGUUUUAGGAUUUAUUUUUUAAAUUAAAUUAAUCAAGAAAAGUAGAAAGUUUGUUGAGUUAAUAAAUAGAAUAAGGCUAAAUCAGGAAAAAUCUUAUUAAAGCAUUGUUUCUCUCUCAUAAUAAUGUCAUCAAACAAAUAGUAAUUAAUUAAUUAAUUAUAGUUAAAUCCAUGGAGAUGUGUAGCCUUUUGAGAAGGGUAGUGUGGUGAGGGUACAUCUUGGGUUAAAGUGGUGAACAAAAAUGUUCCCAAAAUUGUUGGGAUUACAUCAUGAUAAGAUGUACGUGGAGUAAUCAAAAAUCUAUAUAGCUAAUUACGUGCCGACACGUGGAUAUAAAAAAUGAAUUCUCAUAUAAGAGAAGCAAAGGCUGCUUGCAAUUUGGGAAAAGGUAUCACAAGCUUGGUAUCUGUACUAACUAUUUGUCUUUCCAAAUUUGCUUAACAAUUUCAUCACACUUAUGCAUAAUAACACAAGUGAAAGCACUAUUUUCUUCGUGUUCACUCUUUGACAUACAAAUUCUUCAUCUAUUUUCUAAACCGAGUAUAUCCGCGUGGCUAUACUAUUUUUUAAAAAAAUGGAAAAAUCCAAGUAUAAACGCGCGGCAAUACUAUUUAUCCAACAGUCAAUUUUAAGUAGGUAUGAGCUGGGGCCAAUGCAGGGAGUAGCGGUGGUGCCUUUGUAAUGCAACAGCUGCUUUUGCAGUUUCAAAACUGAUUUACUGCUAAGAAAUCAACAAGAAUCACUUAUUUAUUGAAAACUUAUUUUCAAGAGAUUAUCAUAAGAUCCAUCAGAUGUGAUUCAAGCGGAAAUUAACUGCCUUAUAAAAGGCCAAGUUUGGCCUACUGAUAUCCAAUCAGUUCAUACUCAUGCUUUUUUUCUUUUUACCUUUGCAUUAUCAGGCAAACACAAAAGCAUACAACUGUUCAAAAUAUCCUCUGUGCACAGUGCGUUGAUGAUAAGGUGGAUCCUGGAAACGAAAUUCAUUUGGCACCUUGCGAGAACAACUUCUUUUAUGGAAACCCUACCUGCCUAAUAUUGCACAUCUCUUUCCUUCACAUCUCUUAUUUCAACCACAAACACUUGUGGAUACGACACUCGGACUUCCAAGCUACACUACUAUACAACACCUUCACUUGGGUUUUGCAAAGUGGUACUAACACUUUUUGUUCUCUAAAUUUAAGGAAAAGCCUGAAUAACGGAUUGGACAGCAUGAAUAGGUGUGAUAGUGUGUUGGCUAAAGCCAGCGUCCGCAAGAACAUAUCCCCAUUCCUUCAAGGUCCUUUCUUUUCCUAUUUGUGUAGCGGCCAUCAUCGCCAUGUCUAGCAUCAAUCUCACAUUUGUUAGUUUGAUGUCCUCUUUCUCAUCUUUUUCAUCGAUAACCGCUUCUACAAUUAUCACCUUCCCUUUAUCCGCCGGAAUAGCUUCCCUGCACUUCUUAAGGAUACGGAUGCACUCAUCAUCUCCCCAGUUGUGAAGAACCCACUGCAAUUCACGAAAACAGAAUCAGAGUAUCCAUUGUCAUAACGCUUUGUUGAGCAAGAAAACUUAUAGCAAGAUAAUCAUGGAGUGAUGGCGGAGGAACCACAUUUUUUCUUAUCCCAUUAGCGCAGACAAAUGAUGUAAUAAGUAGAUAUUAACAGACAAAUCAAAUGAUGAAACUAAUAGUUCACAGUAUAAAUGAAAAAUAUAAAUGUGUUGAUGCUAGCUAUAUUUUAAGGCUGCUCUUCCUUAAAUGGUUUAGUUUUCUUGAUUUCUUUUAACUAUAUAUAUAUAUAUAUAUAUAUAUAUAUAUAUACUAACCUUCAUAAUUACAGCAUCAGCCUUUGGAACAAAAUCAAACAUGUCACCUCCAACAUUCUCAAUGCGGUCACACUCCUGAGCAACAGACACAACAUGAGGAAGAUCAAAGUUGAUGCCUCGAAUCCAAGGACAUGCCUCAAUUAACAAGCGCAAAGUAGUCCCAUCACCCCCGCCCACAUCUACGAUUUUCUCAAUCCCUUUGAACACCUCUGAACAACUUUCAAUCACUGCAGGCACAGCCACCCUUGCAUCACAAGCCAUUGCUUCAUUGAAAAGCUUGCUGUGAUCAGGAUUGGCCGCGGCAUAGCUCCAUAUAUCCUCUCCACGUUCUGCUUCAAAUGCUGGAUUGCUAAUACCUUGAAUUCGAGCACUUAGGCCAUGCCACGGUGCUAGCACUACCGGGCUAUUCCCUAGCAAAAUUAAAGCAGCCAUGCUGUUUUCUCCGGAUUUCAAUAGCUGUUUGGACAAAGGUGUUUGUGCAUAAACUUUGGGGCCUAAUUGGGUUGCUGGUUUUUCUUUGAAUAUUUUGAGGUGGACUAGGACCCUCAUGAUGCGGUAAAGGGGAGAAGGAUCACAUCUUAGAGCAGAUGAUAGCUCUAGGAGUGUCAUGGGGCUGCCAUGGCUUUCAAUUGCAUCAGCUAUUCCAAGCUCAAUGGCACAUUUUACCACCCCGAUUUCGACAAACCCAAACACAUAUUUCCAGAUUUCCACUUUGGCAUGUUCUUCUUCUUUCUCUUCUCCUCCUAACUCUCUUUGUUUGUCUUCCAUCUCUUUCUCUGUGUGCGUCGUAGGCUCUAAGGUAGCAAUAUAUAUAAUUUGCAGGAAGAGAUUGGAGUAUAGUUACAUGCAGAACAGUUUAGGUAAUGUGUCAUUUUCAUUGGGAUCUGUUGCCUAGUUGGCUGGAAGCUUGGUAUGACAGGACCCGCCCCGAAUUUCCCGAAAUCCGAGACGAAUCCUGUGGAAAUGCCGACAUCACCCCGAUGUUGGACCCAGUCACUAAAACUAAAGCCUCCUUUCCCAAAAGGAAUAAGGGCACGAGACUUUCUGCCGAAAUUUUGGUAGAGUCUCCCCUGUAAUUUGAACAAUCCCAAAAAUUUCAACCUACAUAAAACACAUUUAAUAUCCACAACUGGCAGCAUGCACAAGAUAAUUUCAUGCAAUUCACAUAAUCGGCCUCCGGGCUUCCAAUAAUCUGAAACUAAACUACCAACAGAGCUCUUAAGUCAACUAAUACCUUAAGCCCGAGACGAAUCCUGUGGAAAUUCCGACAUCAUCCCGAUGUCGGACCCAAUCACUAAAACUAAAGCCUUCUUUCCCAAAAGGAAUAAGGGCACGAGACUUUCUGCCGAAAUUUUGGUAGAGUCUCCCCUGUAAUUUGAACAAUUCCAAAAAUUUCAACCUACAUAAAACACAUUUAAUAUCCACAAUUGGUAGCAUACACAAGAUAAUUUCAUGUAAUUCACAUAAUCGGCCCCGGCCUUCCAAUAAUCUGAAACUAAACUACCAACAGAGCUCUUAAGUCAACUAAUACCUUAACCAAGGAAAAUAAUAAUUUCAAACAUAAAUAUGAAUGCCUAAAUGCACUUUACGUCAUCUAGCUUUCAACCGAAUUUCAGGACCAACGACAAGGUCAUAACCAAUCUCAAUAAAACAACAUAAAUAACAUUUAGUUUGUGGCUGCACCUAGGCACUACCCUAGGCUGCCUACGUACCCUCACUGAGGGAUCAAGCCACACGUAGUUUUUCCUAAAAAAUUCCGAUUCCAAUCUCCCCAAUAAUCGCAUAAUCUCCCCAUACGCCGGAAAUUCCAACGCCACGUAUGGAGUCUGUCAUCACGCGGAAAAUCUUAUGCCACGUGUGAUCUAACAAUCAUAUCAUCUCCCCAUACGACGGAAAUUCCCACGCCACGUAUGAGGUCCGUCUCAACACCGGAAAAUCCUACGCCAUGCGAGACCUAAUAAUCACAUAAUCUCCCCAUACGCCGGAAAUUCCAACGCCACGUAUGGGGUUUGUCAUCACGCUGGAAAAUCUUACGCCACGUGUGACCUAACAAUCAUAUCAUCUCCCCAUACUCCGAAAAUUCCAAUGCCACGUAUGGGGUCUGUCUCAACGCCGGAAAAUCAUACGCCACGCGAGACCUAACAAUCAGAUAAUCUCCCCAUAUGCCAGAAAUUCCAAUGCCACGUAUGGGGUCUGUCAUCACUCCUGAAGAUCCUACGCCACGUGUGACCUAACAAUCAUAUCAUCUCCUCAUACGUUGAAAAUUCCAACGCCACGUAUGGGGCCUGUCUCAACGCCGGAAAAUCCUACGCCACGCCAGACCUAACAAUCACAUAAUCUCCCCAUACAUCGAAAAUUCCAACGCCACGUAUGGGGUCUGUUAUCACGCCGAAAAAUCCUACGUCACGUUUGACCUAACAAUCGUAAUAUCAUCUCCCCAUACACCGGAAAUUUCAACGUCACGUAUGGGGUCUGUCAUCCCGCCGGAAAAUCCUACGCCACGGGUGACCUGACAAUCACAUAAUCUCCCCAUACGCCGGAAAUUCCAACGCCACGUAUGGGGUCUGUCCUCACGCCGAAAGAUGCUACACCACGUGAGACCUAACAAUCACAGGGUGAUACUUACACAGUGUAAUUAAUAUCCGGGGAUGGACAUAGGGUAAUGCGUAUAGCACUUCAAACUGACAUUCUAUACUACUUUUAUACCUUUAUAAUUAUAUAUAAAUAUAUAUAUUAAUCUCUAAUAUUGUAUAAACCUCAACAACAUCCCAAGUACCCCACACAUCACCAAUACUUUACCAAAAAUGCUAAAUUUAACUAUUAAUUAUAAUGAAUUUCAAUAAACCAUUAAAUUCACAUGCAUAAAAUUCCAUCACAGAGCCAUGCUAUUUAUUUAAAACUAAAGUCCAUUCACUAAAGUCACAGCCGAACCCAAAGCUCACUUUCAUAACUCACCCAAACUUGGUCAAACGGGCCCACGGGGCCCACGACCUUCAAAUUCCGAUCCAAAAGUUUCUAUAGGUUCUACAAGGUUAGGACACUCGUCUUGCAAGUUUGGUCCAGAUCGGACGGUCGGAUCGCUCACGAUCGCGCAAUCGGACGGUUAUUAUAAAACAUAAACUUUAAGUUAUUAAAUCGGAACAUCCGGGGCUCCGAUUCAUGACCCGUGUUUUCCUACACGAUCCUAGAAAUGCCUAGAUUAACCUAUAUUAAAUUCAAGACUAUCUAACUGUUCAACCCUAUUGAACCCGGAUAACACACAUUAUGCGAAAUCCGUUCGAUAGUCAAACGACCUCCAAAUUGAAAUCCGAGCACACCGACACACUCGGGACAACAAAGGGAUUGCAUCGGGACACAAUGCCCAUUUUCUACAGUGCCCACGCACCGCCACACUCGCAGGCAGUGCGUGCGUGCCCAAAGUGAUUACGGAUCGCCAGAAAAUCUCAAAACCAUGGCUGAAGAGUCCUACCCUAGGUAUAACACCCUAUUUGGAACCACUUUUGUUUGGACCUACCCCAAAAACUGACCGGAAGUGGCCGGAAUCGCGAUCCCAAAACUAGCCAAAUUUCAAUUCAUAAAUCGAGUUACCUACACUCAAAAUUGAUGCAAUCCUAACCAACCAUCAGCUAGAUCAUGAAAAUUAGGUAGAAAUUCAUACUUUACACGUAAAAUUUGGUGGAGAAAUGAGAGAGAACGAGCGAUUUGAAAAUUCGGGAAAAACCGCAGAAUUUUCUGCAAUUUCUGGUGAAACUCACGGCUACUAGCGGCGGGGCUUGGCUGGGGUUGGAAGCGGAAGAUCAACCGGUCAUUUUGGGACUAGCACCACCUCGAAUGGUGGCCGGAUUAAGCAGUGGCGGCGGAAAAACAACCGCUGCUGUUUUGACAGAGAGGAGGCGCGAUCAGGAGGAGAGAGAGAGAGAGAUGAGAGUUUUCUCAUUUUUAUCAAACCAUUUUUGCAAUAUUUACGAUUAUGCCAUUGGUGAUGUUUUGAUCGUAUCUCUCUCGUUACAAUUCCGAUUCGAGUCCACCACGUGUCUAUGAACUCGUCUCGCUGUGUUCUAAGCAACGAUACAGUCGAAAUUCCCAAAUUUCUUCCCUGUCAAAAAGUCAACUUUAAACCUAACAAAAUAUUCUAUGGGCAAAAUGGUCUUUUAUCAUGUUUAAUUAAUAAUUAAACAUUUAUUUAGGACCGGGUCAUUACAUGGUAUCUGUACUAACUAUUUGUCGUUCCAAAUAACAAGUACAACUGUUCAGAAUAUCCUCUGUGCACUGUGCGUUGAUGAUAAGGUGGAUCCUGGAAACCAAAUUCAUUUGGCAACUUGUGAGAACAACUUCUUUCACCGAAACCCUACCUGCCUACCUGUCUAAAUUCAUUUGGCAACUUGUGAUAAGGUGCACUGUACGUUUGGUUGUUGCUUCUCCUUUUGUUUGUUGCGCUGGUAUGUUUUGGCUGUGUUUAUGAAGAACUUUUUGCCCAAAACCACUUGUAUCUAUUAUCUCGUCCACAACCACUCGUAUUCAUUUCCUUCAAUAAUGCCUCUAUGGAAUUAGCACCGCGAUAUAAAAUCAUUUAGAAAAUUGCAUAUAAGAAAAUUAUACUAUAUUUUAAAUAAAUAAAUAAAUAAAACAAACCGAGUAUGGCCGCUCGGCUAUACUAUUUAUUUUUUAAAAACGGCCUGACCUAUUAUAAGUAUAGCCACACGGCUAUACGUUAAAAAAAAUAAUAAAACCCUAUAUAUUUUUUUUUUAAAAUAAGGAGCAAAGCUGCUGCUUGAUAACUCCCCAUUCCCCAAAUGAGUUUUCACUCAUUUUUUCCAUUUUCAAACAAUCUCCCCCCUCCCUCUUUUUUAUUUUUAUAGUUUUUUUAGUAGUUUAGCUGUUUUUGUUGGCUUUCUCUGGCACCUUUUGUUUCUAGCUACGUCCUAGCUUUGCGUGAGUUUCUUUUCUUUAUGCUUCCAGGGACGGACCCAGGAUUUGAAAAUGGCAUGGGCUAAUUUUUUUUUUUUUUUUUGGGAUAAAUUAUAAACCCUUGUUUAUUACCAAAAAAAUAAUAAUAAGCCUUCUUUUUUCAAUAUAUUUUCUUCAUCAUAUUUAGAACUUUUUUAUUAUUAUACUGACAUUUGAAACAGACAAAAAUCUUGUAAUUAUUGAUAAGAUUGUUGAAAUAUUUGGAAGGGAUUGAAGGGAAACAAAGAAGAAGAAAAACAGAGGAGAGCUACACAUGUACUAGAAAAUAUUUAGAAGGAAUUGAAGUAAAAAUAAAAUAAAAACACAUAUCUCAUCCCCAACACACACAUCCGUUUCUUUACUCUCUCUCUCUCUCUCUCUUUCUUUCCAAUUGUUUAUCAUCUUCUCCUCUUUCUUUUUUUUAAACUUUUUUUCCUCUUCUCUUUCUUUAUUCUUUUUUCUUCUUCUUCCUCUCUUCCUUUUUCUUUCUUUCUUCUUCCUCUCUGUUCUUUCUUCUUGUCAGCCGACUAAUUGCCUAGGCUAGAGUAUUAAUUUAGUCCACAAAAAAAAAAAAAAAUGUUCCCUGGGCUAUAGCCCAUGUCAACAUGUUCAUGGGACCGUCCCUGUAUGCUUCGUUUGGUUGUUGCUUCUCCUUUUGUUUGUUUCGCUGGUCUGUUUUGGCUGUGUUUAUGAAGAUCUUUUUCCCCAACACAAAAAAAAACAAAAACAAAACAAAAAAAAAUCUAAAUCCCAAAAUUUGUUAUGGAUGCGGUGGUUGGUGUGGCCGCGAUGGCGCUUCAUCAAGUGGUGGUGGUAGGGUUCGUCUAGGCUCAUGGGUUGUUUUAGGGUUUUGGUUAUGUUGGAUUUGUGGGCUUUGUUUGGGCUUAUGGUUAAUUAUGGUGAAAUGGGCCAGUAGUUUUAGUGCGGCUUUUGUCUGCGUUAAUUGUGUUUUUAGCAUGUUAGUUUGUUGCCUUCUUGGGAUUGGUAUUUUAGAUGUCUUGUCGAUGUCUUUAAUUGUACCGUUGAAGUUUAUCUAAUGAAAUUUCUAUUUGAUCCAAAAAAAAAAAAAUUAUAGAACGAUACUUUAAGAGAAAAUUCUUAUCAGCUACUUCUAGUUCGGAUAAUGUGAAUAGUUUGAAUUCGAGAGAUGUGGUGGGUAGUUGGAAAGAAAGUGAGUUGCAAGAUGAAAACUAGUGGUGGAUAAUUGUAAUAUGAUUUUUCAAUUAAUUAUGAAUUAUAGUAUUAUUGUUUCAUUUUUAUGGUUCUAUUAUUUUGAAUAUAAAUUUUUUAAUCUUUAAGACGUUCACCCCAGAAGGAAAAUUUAUGGAUCCGUCCCUAGCAGUAUAUGUAUAAUUUGCAGGAAGAGAUUGGAGUUGAAAGCUUUAUAUACAUAAUGUUGUAGAAAAUCUACUGAACAUUUAGAAAUCUGUCAUCCUCAUUCAAGAUUGAACAGUCAAUUUUGAAGUAGAUAAGAGCUGGGGCCAAUGCAGGGAGUGAAGGUAGUGCCUUUGUUGAUGCAACAGCUCUGCUUUUGCGGUUUCAAAAGUGAUCUACAGCAAAUUAACCAGAAUCACUUAUUUAUUUAAAAAAUCUGCUUGGGAAACUUAUUUUCAAGAGAUUAUCAAAAGAUCCAUCAGAUGUGAUUCAAGUGGAAAUUAAUUGCAUUAUAAAAGGCCAAGAACAAUCCCGCCUAGUUAUGGCCCACUGAUACUCUCAAAAAAUAAAUCCCAAGUUGUCCAAAACUCAGUUCAUACUCAUGCUUUUCUGAUUUUUACCUUUGCUUUAUCAGGCAAACACGAAAGCAUACAGCUGCUCAAAAUAUCCUCUGUGCUGUGCGUUGAUGAUAAGGUGGAUCCUGAAAACUAAAUUCAUUUGGCAACUUGUGAGGAGCGAUAACGCCACCUUUUCAGUUUCUAUUGUUUUGAUUUAUUUUUUAAAUUAAAUUAAUCAAGAAAAGUGGAAAGUUUGUUGAGUUAAUAAAUAGAAUAAUGUUAAAUCAGGAAAAAUCUUAUUAAAGCAUUGUUUCUCUCUCAUAAUAAUGUCAUCAAAUAAAUAUUAAUUAAUUAAUUAAUUAUAGUUAAAUCCAUGGAGAUGUGUAACCUUUUGAGAAGGGUGGUGUGGUAAGGGUACAUCUUGGAUUAAAGUGGUGAACAAAAAUGCUCCCAAAAUUGUUGGGAUUACAUCAUGAUAAGAUGUGCCACGUGGAGUAAUCAGAAAUCUAUAGGGUUAAUCACGUGCCAACACGUGGAUAUCAAAAAUCGAAUUCUCAUAUAAGAGAAUCAAAGGCUAAUUGUAAUUUGGGAAAAAGGUAUGACAAGCUUGGUAUCUGUACUAACUAUUUGUCGUUCCAAAUUUGCUUAACAAGUUCAUCACACUAAUACUAUAUAAUAACACAAGUGAAAGCACUAUUUUCUUCGUGUUCACUCUUUGUCAUACAAAUUCUUUAUCUAUUUUCUAAACUUGAACAAACCCAUCAGCACCAAUAUUAACGCCGAACAAAUCCAAUUAGCACUUUUCAUCACACAAUGAUACAAUACAAGUUUCAAAGUAGCUCACGUAAUAAGGGUGAGUGAGAAGCAACUGCAAAACAAAUUAGAAAAAAAAUGGGGUGAAAUAUUAAUAAAACCGAGUAUGUUUUAAUAGGGAAAAAAAUGCUCAGGAGUGUGAUCGCAUUGAGAAUGUCGGAGGUGACAUGUUUGAUUGUAUUGCAAAGGCCGAUGCUGUAAUUAUCAAUUGUAAAAGAAGUUGUAGUCCCACAUGGAUAGAGCGGAAAAGGCUGAGUUGCCGUAGUGGGAUAACAGUGAGCGGAAGCCAAUGAUUGAAGUAUCUUUGCGCUUGGGGCUAUGACGCAGCUUAUGAGGUUCUAACCCCCUCUGCCCUUGAGAAUUUCUGUAAGGUCUCUCUUUGGAGUAAGGGUUUAGCCGCUUCUUUAAAAAUUAGAAAAAAAAUGGAGAGAAACAUUAAUAAAACCGAAAAUCGAAAAAACCAAAUAUAGCCGCCCGGCUAUACUAUCUAUCCAACAGACAAUUUUGAAGUAGGUAGGAGCCGGGGCCAAUGCAGGGAGUAGCGGUAGUGCCUUUGUUGAUGUAACAGCUGCUUUCGCAGUUUCAAAAGUGAUUUACAACAAAAAAAUCAACAAGAAUCACUUAUUUAUUGAAAAAAAUCUGAUUUGAAAACUUAUUUUCAAGAGAUUAUCAUAAGAUCCAUCAGAUGUGAUUCAAGUGGAAAAUAAUUGCUUUAUAAAAGGCCAAGAACAAUCCAGCCUAGUUAGGGCCUACUGAUAUCCAAUCAGUUCAUACUCAUGCUUUUCUGAGUUUUACCUUUGCAUUAUUAGGCAAACACAAAAGCAUACAACUGUUCAAAAGAUCCUCUGUGCACUGUGCGUUGAUGAUAAGGUGGAUCCUGGAAACUAAAUUCAUUUGGCAACUUGCGAGAACAAUAUCUUUCACGGAAACCCUACCUGCCUAAUAUUGCACAUCUCUUUCCUUCACAAAUGGUUCCCUGGAAUUCACAUCCAUUAUCUCAACCACAAACACUCGUAUUCAUUUCCUUCAAUAAUGCCUCUAUGGAAUCAGCAGGGUGAUAUGAAAAUCAAAUCAUUUAGAAAAUUGAAUAUAAGAAAAUAAUAAUACUAUAUUUUUUAAAUCAAAAAAUCAAAGAAAACCGAGUGUAGCCGCUCGGCUAUACUAUUUAUUUUUUAAAAAAAAGAGAGGACCCGCCUAGCGAUUAGGCGUCCACGUGUCAAAAUAAGUAUAGCCGCGCGGCUGUACUUAUUUUUUUUCUUUUAAAUAGGGAGCAAAGCUGCUGCCUGAUAACUCCCCAUCCCCAAAUGAGUUUUCACUCAUUUUUUAGCAGUUUAGCUAUUUUUGCUGGCUUUCUCUGACACCUUUUGUUUUUGGCCUCCUAGCUUUGCGUGUGUUUCUUUUUUAUGGGUAUAUUUUAUAUUAUAUAUUUAACCUCAUUCUUAGUAUAUUUUGGUUAAUAUUUUGGAAGAAUUUUGAUACUUUGAAUUAUAUUUCCAAUAUAGGACUUUCGACUUCCUCUGGAGCAAAACAUAAUCAAAUGGAUAAAUUUUGGAGUAAUUCCAGUUGAAGGACGUUCGUGAGCCACUUAGCAUGAUCGUGUCAAAAUUUUAGAUUUUUCUACCAAGCGGUUAUUUUCUGACGAUAAAAUAAAGUAGCAGUGCGCGGUUCUGGAAUAAUGACGUAUUGGGUUUUUAUUCUGUUUUUGGAGCCCAAAAUGACCUCGGAUGGAUUUGUGGCCUUCUAGAGAAGUGUUCAGAAUAUUUUUAUCUUUAACACAAGCUAUUUUGGGCCAGAUUUGGAGGAGAUUUGAGGCCAAAACGUGACUGGGAAGAUUUUGGGCAGAUUCUUCUAAUCCAAUUUGGACUUUAUUUCCUAGUAUUCUUUUAUUUUAAUUAGUUUCCUUGUGAGGAUAGAAAAGCUGUACAUUGGCAGCUAAGUUUUAAGGUGUAUUUAAGCUUCUCACAGUAAUUUUAGGACUUCUUCUUUUUGGUUUUUGAACGUGACAUUGUGGAGAGCAAGCUAGGGUUUUGGGUUUUUGCUACUUUAAGGUGUUUUCAUUCUUUUCCUUCUGAAUGAUAUUUUCUUGGAUUUUAAUUAUGAAUAUGCGUAACUAAUUCUCUUUUGCUAGGGUGAAGCCUUGAACCUUAGCAUCAAUAUGUGACUUUUUAUUUAAUUGCUUAUGAUUGAGUGCAUGCCUACUUUGAAUUGUUAAUCACUGUUUUAAACUAUCUAAUUGUCUUAAUGCCUGAUCAUCAUUAGGAUCUUCAGAAAAGUAAUUGGAUGCAAUUUUGGUCGGAAGGUUCCUUGAAAUUGACGCUGGCUUCUUGUGAUUAAUAAUUGUAAUUUCACUUAAGAUGAACACAACGUCUUAAGGGUUGCAUGAUUUUUCAAAGGGUUUUCACAAAACUUAAUGAGUCUUUCAUGUUCAGAUUUGAUCCGAACGUCCGGACGGGUAGAAUAUACAUUAGGAAAACCUAACUUUCAAAGUGGCAUGUGCAAAUCAUAAGUAAUUGGUAAAAGUUCAUAGGAUUGCUAGGUGAUGGUGAAACCCUAGUACUUUUAUAAAUUGGUAUUUCAAACCUUUUUCUUUCAUUUGUAUUUGUUUUUUUGUUUUUUUGUUUUUAGUAUCAACCAAAUCAUCUUUAUUGACCUUUUAUUUUAAGUAGUUAUUUGAAAUUUGUUUUUACUUAAAUUGCUAAUUAGUCCUUGAGGAAAACGACCUUGCAUGAGCAUCUACACUACAAUAGCCUUGUAUUCUUGCAAAUAUUUUAAGUGAUUUUAACCCAGUUUACAUAGGUACUAAAAAUCCUAUCACUUUUCUUUGUGCUUCGUUUGAUUGUUGCUUCUCCUUUUGUUUGUUGCGCUGGUCUGUUUUGGCUGUGUUUAUGAAGAUCUUUUUACCCAAAAAAAAAAAAAAACGUAAAUCCCAAAAUCUGUUACGAAUGCAGUGGUGGAUGUGGCAUCGACGACGCUUCAUCAAGUGGUGGUGGUAGGGUUCGUCGGCUCAUGGGUUGUUUUAGGGUUUUGGUUAUAUUGGGUUUGUGGGUUUUGUUUCGGCUUAUGUUAAUUGUGAUGAUGUGGGCUAGUAGUUUUAGUGCGGCUUUUAUUCGUGUUAGUUGUGUUUUUAGCAUGUUAAUUUGUUGCCCUCUUGGGAUUUGUAUUUUAGAUAUCUUGUUGAUGUCUUUGAUUCUACCAUUGAAGUUUUAUCUCAUGAAGUUUUUAUUUGAUUAAUAUAUAUAUAUAUAUAUACAAUCCCGAUCUCUUGAAUCACAGGAGUCCAAGAAAUUGUGGUCAUCUACCGUUGGAUGCUAAUCCAAUGGUUCAAAAAGUUUCUUAAAAGAAGUGCAAGAGUUAGUGAACCGUUGAAUUUACAUCCAACGGUAAGUGACUAAAAAUCUCUUGGACCCCUGGUAGUAUAUAUAUAAUUUGCAAGAAGAGAUUGGAGUUGAAAGCUUUAUAUACAUAAUGUUGUAGAAAAUCCGCUGAACAUUUAGAAAUCUGUCAUCCUCAUUCGAUAUUGAACAGUCAAUUUUGAAGUAGAUAAGAGCAGGGAGUGAAGGUAAAUCAACAAGAAUCACUUAUUUAUUGAAAAAAUCUGCUUGGGAAACUUAUUUUCAAGAGAUUAUCAUAAGAUCCAUCAGAUGUGAUUCAAGUGGAAAUUAAUUGCAUUAUAAAAGGCCAAGAACAAUCCAGCCUAGUUAUGGCCCGCUGAUAUCCACUCAGUUCAUCAUACUCAUGCUUUUCUGAUUUUUACCUUUGCUGUGCGUUGAUGAUAAGGUGGAUCCUGGAAACUAAAUUCAUUUGGCAACUUGUGAGAACAACUUCUUUCACGGAAACCCUACUGGAAUUCACAUCUAUUAUCUCAACCACAAACACUCGUUUUCAUUUCCUUCAAUAAUGCCUCUAUGGACUCAGCAGUGCGAUAUGAAAAUCAAAUCAUUUAGAAAAUUGCAUAUAAGAAAAUAAUAAAUCAAGUUCAUACAUGGUCAAUGGGAAUUCAAUUGUUACAAAUGGAAAGUGAUUCACAUAUUUUAAUCACAGUAUUGCAAGGAUUCCAAUCUCCUCUUUAGUGUCUUUUUUUUUUCUUUUUCUUUUUUUCCGGGUGAAUAAAAGCAAACUACUCAGAGUGAUUUAAACAAACCAUCCGAGUCUUAGGAACAGCCAACAAGUCAUCUAAAAGUUGAAACACUACAGACAGGAGCACAAUCAAACACACAUAGGCCCAAAUCGAAGUUAUAGCUCAAGUUAGCUAUACAAUCAGCCACCCCAUUCUUCUCUCUGUAAACAUGGAGGACUGAGCAGUUACCAAUCUGUUUUGGAUAAGGAGAACAGCUGCAGCCGGAUCCAUUUCAAUCACAAGGUUCCUAAUACCUUUGUCAAUCGCAAGCUGCAACCAAAGAAAAGCCUCCAAACUUCAGCUUUCCAAAUUAAAUUUACUCCUUGGUUAAGUUUAAUUGACACAUCCUAAUUCAGGGUGUGUACAACAGAAACACAGCUUGAUUUCUUAGGGUGGUUUCUCCAGUGUUACAAAAUACAGAACAGUAGUAGGCUUUGAAAUUGCGAUGACACUUUUGAACUAGAUUUGGUGGGGUGCGCCAGGCCCAUGCAAUAGUGCAACGCUUGGGCGACGCGCGAGAGCCCCAAUAGCAAGCUACUGUGGAGGACACUCCCCCAAAAGAAAUUAAUUUAAUAUCGUGUGGACCAUUGGUCCACGUAUCAGAUAUUAAACUGAUAAGAACAGAUACUACACUUGAUCUUAGCCAAAAGGCCGAGAAAGGUAUGCUUCUUUUCUUCUCUUCUUUCUCCUUUUAUAGGGCCAUUCACUUCCAUGCUUCCUUGGUGAAGCCGAUGUGGGAUUGUUACAAACAGCUAGAGGGUGCCACGAACGAAGGCUGAGGGAUAAAGAUUUUUUAAUCGAAUCGUACUAGAAAUUAUGGAAAGAUGCUUGCAGGAACAUCUAACUCAUUCAAUAUUGUAUUAUAGUAUAAAUUAAUAUUUAGCUAGGUACAUUAUUUUCUAGCUGUAACAUCAAAUACCCACGUAGGAUACAUGUGUGACUUUGUUGAGGCAGAUGUUUUUGGGGGUAAUGUUGUAAAAUAAGAAAGGAAGACUUUGUCUAUUAUUUACAAAGAUCAUGACUUUGUCUAUAAUUAAGAUACAGAAAAAACAUGUCAUGUGUUUACGAAAUUCUUCCAUUUCAGACAACUUUUACGUUUUCCAGAUCAUUGACUACGCUUUAUUCAAAUCAUAGCAAAACAAAGAUAGCCAUGAACUCAGAUAUGGGUGAAACUUGAGUAGAAUACAUUAAACAUGUUUUGUUUUGAGAGUAACUCUUUUUUUCUUCUUUUUCUUUUGUUUCUUCAAUCCUGUUUUAAUACCCUGCCAAUCGGGUUCUGCUUUUACAGGAUGUUUGCCAUGCAUUGCUAGAGCUUCCAUUAAUAAUGUGCCUUUGUUGAUGCAACAGCUCUGGUUUUGCAGUUUCAAAAGUGAUCUACAGAAAAUCAACAAGAAUCACUUAUUUAUGGAAAAAAUCUGCUUGGGAAACUUAUUGUCAAGGGAUUAUCAUAAGAUCCAUCAGAUGUGAUUCAAGUGGAAAUUAAUUGCAUUAUAAAAGGCCAAGAACAAUCCAGCCUAGUUAUGGCCUACUGAUAAUCUCAAAAAAUCAACAAGAAUCACUUAUUGGAAUUCGUCUCAGUACCACCUACCCAAAAAUACCAUUCGUGGUUCCAAAAUCCUUACAAAUAAGAAAAUGACCGAUUUACCUCUAUCUCAAGGGUAAAUUCGUAAUUCAUUUUAAUUUAUUUAAAAUAGACAUUUAAUUUUGGAGUCGGGGUGUUACAUCAACAGUUUUAUCAAAUGGUGGAGACUCAGUUUCAUGCCAGAAUUCAGGUUCUUCGUUCUGACAAUGGCAGAGAAUUUCUCAACUAUGAUCUUAAUCAGUUCUUACAAGAUCAUGGCAUCAUACAUCAGCGCUCAUGCCCUUACACUCCCCAACAGAAUGGGGUUGCUGAAAGAAAGAACAUACACUUAUUGGAAGUUGUUCGUGCAUCUCUCUUUGGUGCCAAUAUGCCACGAUCCUUUUGGGGCGAAUCCGUCGUCUCUACAACAUACCUUAUCAAUCGGAUUCCCUCUAGUAUCCUCAAUUUCCAAACACCACUUCAAACACUUCACCACCAUAUCCAAACACCUCCCACCCCAAAACCUGGAACCCCGGAUUUUUGGCUGUGUUGUAUUUGUCCACUUACAUGAUCACCAACAAAGCAAAUUGGAUCCCCGAGCAGAAAUAUGUGUUUUCAUUGGCUAUGCACCUCAUUAGAAAGGAUACCGGUGUUAUCAUCCUUCUAGUCAUAAAGUCUUUACCACCAUAGAUGUUGUGUUUAGGGAACAUGACUUAUAUUUUUCAACAGCCUAGGAGGAGAAUCGAAAAUCCACCACUGCUCCAAUUCUCGAUUUUUUUCCCCAGGACGUCACUCUGCAUCAAAAUAAUCGGUCGCCAGUGGAAAGCAACCAAUCACCCCCCUUAGUUCUUCAACUACAGAGAACCUGCUUCAAAACAACUAGUCGCCAGCAGACAACGACCGGUCGCCAGAGGAAAACGAUCAAUUGUCUCCAAGCUAUCAAAAUCAGGAGAAGGAAAUUGAACCGUUUUAUGAGAUUUUGCCCUCUUCAGCUCCAGUACCACACCAAUCACCUGUUGAGGAAGUCAUUCAGGUAACAUCUUUUCCUGAAACUGAUAACACUAAUGAAUCACUUAUUUAUUUUUAAAAAUCUGCUUUGAAAACUUAUUUUCAUGAGAUGAUCAUAAGAUCCAUCAGAUGUGAUUCAGGUGGAUAUUAAUUGCUUAUUAGAGGCCAAGAACAAUCCAGCCUAGUUAUGGCCUACUGAUGUCCACUCAGUUCAUCAUACUCAUGUUUUUCUGAUUUUUACCUUUGCUUUAUCCUCUGUGCGUUGGUGAUAAGGUGGAUCCUGGAAACUAAAUUCAUUUGGCAACUUGUGAGAACAACUUCUUUCCAUAAUUUCUAGUACGAUUCGAUUAAAAAAAUCUUUAUCAAGGAAAUUAAAAUGUAUACUACCGAUUAUAGGAAAUGCAUAUUAAAAAUUGAGUAUUCAAUACUGUAAAAAUCCCAAUGAAAUUGAUAUAUUUCUAAAUGUUGAACACAUGUUCUGUAAUAUGUUUGAGCAAAUGCGUUGUGGCUGCUAUAUAUCUGUGUAUCCCAAUAGGGAGAUUUUGUAACACUCGACACCCCCGCGGCUAUACUUAUUUUUAUUUUUUUUUAAAUAGGGAUCAAAGCUGCUGCCCGAUAACUCCCCAUCCCCAAAUGAGUUUUCACUCAUUUUUUAGCAGUUUAGCUGUUUUUGCUGGCUUUCUCUAACACCUUUUGUUUCUGGCCUCCUAGCUUUGCGUGUGUUUCUUUUCUUCAUGCUUCGUUUGAUUGUUGCUUCUCCUUUUGUUUGUUGCGCUGGUCUGUUUUGGCUGUGUUUAUGAAGAUCUUUUUACCCCCAAAAAAAUUAAAAAUAAUAAAAAAUACUAAAUCCCAAAAUCUGUUACGAAUGCGGUGGUGGGUGUGGCAUCGACAACGCUUCAUCAAGUGGUGGUGGUAGGGUUCAUCUAGGCUCAUAGGUUGUUUUAGGGUUUUGGUUAUAUUGGGUUUGUGGGUUUUGUUUGGGCUUAUGUUAAUUAUGGUGAUGUGGGCUAAUAGUUUUAGUGCGGCUUUUAUCCGUGUUAGUUGUGUUUUUAGCAUGUUAAUUUGUUGCUCUCUUGGGAUUGGUAUUUUAGAUGUCUUGUUAAUGUCUUUGAUUGUACCGUUGAAGUUUUAUCUCAUGAAGUUUUUAUUUGAUUAAUAUAUAUAUACAGUCUCGAUCUCUUUGGACCACAGGAGUCCAAGAGAUUGUGGUUACCUAGCGUUGGAUAUUAAUCCAAUGGUUCAAAAAAAAUUCUUAAAAGAAGUGCAAGAGUUAGUGAACCGUUGAAUUUACAUCCAACGGUGAAUGACCACAAAUCUCUUGGACCCCUAUAGUCCAAGAGAUCAGGACUGUAUAUAUAUAUACUUUAAGAGAAAAUUCUCACCAACUACUUCUAGUUCGGAUAAUGUGGAUGGUUUGAGUUCGAGAGAUGUGGUGGGUAGUUGGAAAGAAAGUGAGUUGCAAGAUGAAAACUUGUCAUAGACAAUUGUAAUAUGAUUUUUUUUCAAUUAAUUAUGAAUUAUAAUAUUAUCGUUUCAUUUUUAUGAGUCCAUUAUUUUGAAUAUAAUUUUUUUAACCUUUAAGAUGUUGACCCCCGGAAGGAAAAUUUUUGGAUCCGUCCCUGGUAUAUAUAAUUUGCAGGAAGAGAUUGGAGUUGAAAGCUUUAUAUACAUAAUGUUGUAGAAAAUCUGCUGAACAUUAGAAAUCUGUCAUCCUCAUUCAAUAUUGAACAGUCAAUUUUGAAGUAGAUAAGAGCAGGGAGUGAAGGUAAAUCAACAAGAAUCACUUAUUUAUUGAAAAAAUCUGCUUGGAAAACUUAUUUUCAAGAGAUUAUCAUAAGAUCCAUCAGAUGUGAUUCAAGUGGAAAUUAAUUGCAUUAUAAAAGGCCAAGAACAAUCUAGCCUAGUUAUGGCCCACUGAUAUCCACUCAGAUCAUCAUACUCAUGCUUUUCUGAUUUUUACCUUUGCUGUGCGUUGAUGAUAAGGGGAUCCUGGAAACUAAAUUCAUUUGGCAACUUGUGAGAACAACUUCUUUCACGGAAACCCUACUGGAAUUCACAUCUAUUAUCUCAACCACAAACACUCGUUUUCAUUUCCUUCAAUAAUGCCUCUAUGGACUUAGCAGUGCGAUAAGAAAAUCAAAUCAUUUAGAAAAUUGCAUAUAAGAAAAUAAUAAAUCAAGUUCAUACAUGGUCAAUGGGAAUUCAAUUGUUACAAAUGGAAAGUGAUUCACAUAUUUUAAUCACAGUAUUGCAAGGAUUCCAAUCUCCUCAUUAGUGUCUUUUUUUUUUUUCUUCUUUUUUUUUUUCGGGUGAAUAAAAGCAAACUACUCAGAGUGAUUUAAACAAACCAUCCGAGUCUUAGGAACAGCCAACAAGUCAUCUAAAAGUUGAAACACUACAGACAGGAGCAUAAUCAAACACACAUAGGCCCAGGUUAGCUUAUACAAUCAGCCACCCCAUUCUUCUCUCUGUAAACAUGGAGGACUGAGCAGUUACCAAUCUGUUUUGGAUAAGGAGAACAGCUGCAGCGGAAUCCAUUUCAAUCACUAGGUUUACCUUUGUCAUUGCAAGCCGCAACCCAAAAGAAAAGCCCCCAAACUUCAGCUUCCAAAAUCUGUCCUCUCCCCAGAUUCCUAACAAACCCACUGACCCAAUAGUGUCUUGUCACUAACGAACGACAUUGAAUUUCCUCCUCAUCUAACCGCACCGUAAUCCAAAGUCAGCAGUUCUUUUCAGUUCGCGAGGUUAAGCUUAAUUUACAUAUCUUAAUUCAGUGUGUAUAGAAACACAGCUUGAUUUCUUAGGGUGUCUCGGGUGUUACAAAAUACACAAUGGCGGGCCUCGCAAUUGCGAAAGACAAUUUUAAUUUUGAACUGGAUUUGGUGGGGAGCGCCAGGCCCAUGCAAUAGUGCAACGCUUGGGCGACACACGAGAGUCCCAAUAGCAAGCUACUGUGAUGGACCCUCCCCCUAAAGAAAUUAAUUUAAUAUCGUGUGGACCAUUGGCCCACGUAUCAGAUAUUAAACUGAUAAGAACAGAUACUACACUUGAUCUUAGCCAAAAGGCCGAGAAAGGUAUGCUUAUUCUUUUCUCUUCUUUCUCCUUUUAUAGGGCCAUUCACUUCCAUGCUUCCUUGGUGAGGCCGAUGUGGGAUUGUUACAAACAGCUAGAGGGUGCCACGAAAGAAGGCUGAGGGGUAAGGGCUGUAGCUGUGAGUCUGAGAUUCGAACUAACAGAGAGCAAAACUGAUUUGGUUUAUACAUGCAUACAUCUGUUAACAAUGGUAAAACGUUGGCGACAAAACGAAGAUACUCAAUUAACAAAGGACUGCUUUUCUCAUAAAAGAGAAACAAAGGCCGCUUGCGAUUUGGGAUAAACGUAUGGCCAAGGCUUGGUAUCUGUGCUAACUAUUUAUGGUUCCAAAUUGCUUAGAAGAAGUUAAUCACACUCAUGCUCUAAUUAGACGAUAACACAAGUUAAAACACUCUUUAAUUGGUGUUCACUCUUCAUCUAUUAUCUAGACUUGAACAAGCCCCAUUCAUGUUCAACUGACCCAAUUGACACUUUUCAUCACACAAUGAUACAAGCUUCAAGGAGUGGCUUAUUUAUUAGUCUAUCAUAUAAUUCUUCUAAAUUAUCAAAUCUAAUCCUUCCAAGAUGUUGAUGUUAGUUCAAGUAUCGAGGCUGAGCGAGAAAAUGAAUUAGGAUUAUCUGAUAAGUAAAAAGUUUCAUUCUCUUCUAUUAUAACAAAAUGAUUGAAGGCCACAUUAUCGUUUCAAAAAUGACAUUAGUUCAUGUCUACCAGGAAAUCAAAUCAAAACAAUUGGGCUGUCACUUGUUAUACAAAACACAAUCUAUUUGGAGAGAAAAUAACAAGAGGCUAGUUUUGGGUUUUUCAAUUUUCAAUGAUAGGAGUUGAACUAAAAAUCAAUUAGAAAAUAACAAGUGGCUAGUUUUGGGUUUGAAUCUUUCAAUGCUCAUGCAAAUUUUCUGGUGACAAUGAAAUUCUGGUGUUCUUAAUUACAAAUUUGAAAGUUUUUUUUUUUUGGGUCAAGAAUUGAAAGUCAUUUCAUGUUCUAAUAAUUAGUUGAAAUUAUAAUUAUGUUGAUGAAAGAAUGCUUGAACUAGGAAUUGUAGGGCUUUACCCCGAAGGGAGCCCUUCCAGAAAUUCUCAGAGGCCACGGCUGAACCGAGGCCAGUGAGGGGGUUUGGAAAUAGUUUUCAACCAGCAAUAGACGCGCCUCGGUUAGAACCUCAUAAGCUGCGUCAUUGCCCCAAGCGCAAAGAUACUUAAAACUUUGGCUUCGUCUCGCUUUUAUAGACACUAAAGCAACUCAACUUUUAUCACUCUGUCGAUGUGGGAGUUUGUUGGGUUCAAAACAAAGGCUUACUAGACUUGUUAAACCGAUUUCCAAUUGAGCAAGUUGUCUUUCUCACCUGGGAAAAUAAUCUGUAGCCUCAAAUCAACGUAAAAAGGAUUCUGUUCAAUUUUUAUUAUGUACAAAAGGGAGUUCAGACAUUUACAAGUUGGAAACAUUGUUCAUCUAUGCAAAACAUCCAUUCACCAAGCCGGCCUCUCUCUCUCUCUCUCUCUCUCUCUCUCUCAUAAGCGUACGACAUGCACACACGCUCACAACAUUUUGUUCUUUAAGGAAUACCUUAGCUUCUCCACAGCAGCUAAAAGUGAGGAAUUUGUUUCACAAGCUUCAUUUAGUAACACAAGCCUCUUCUCGAUGGCAUUCCAAGCUGGUGAUCCAUCCUCUUGCUUGAUCCUAUCUGAUGUAGAUGGCUUGUUAUAUUGAAUUAGGUUCAACAUCAUUGCCUGCAAUUACAUUCCACAUUUGGAUUAGAUUUUCUUUCAAUUAUUGCUUUGUGGAGAUAAGGGCCAAGUAGAAGAACUGAAAAAAGGUGGUUGUGAUAUGAAUAGUUAUUAUGUACUACGUAUUUCCACAGUAUAAACAAAACUAACUUCAAGUUCAUAUCAAAUAAUGUAUUCUAUCCAAAUUGAUGAUGGAGGCAGCCUGGAAGGCAGUCCCCAUUGGGCCAUAACUGUGCAAUUAGAACCAAUGGUUCAAACUGAGAGUUUAAUUCCUUUCGAAGGGGCUGCUUAAAUUAAGAGAACUACUUGGUCAACAUUACAAAGUGGUUUCCCUUUCUCUCUGACUGCAUUCAUUGUAUUAGUAUACGACACAGUUCAUAGCAAAAUAUCAUUUUCAACAUAGAUGGAGUUGUGUCUGUACAGGAGUUCUUAGGAGGCAUAUUUUGUAUGAUACACAUUGCUAGACACAAUCUACUCUCUGGACAGAUUUACGCACUAAACACGAUAUACACGAAGAGUUUAACAACUGUGGAAAUUUUUUGCAUACCUCAUGUUGUUGCUUCAAGGAGAAGUCUAGCAAAAGAGACCUCGAAAGCUUAUUCCGAAGCAAUAGCUUAUCACCUGUGCACGAAUUAAAAAUGAAUGCUGAAAGGUGAUGGAGAACCAGUGUAUAUGCAAGUGAUCCUCGACUUGCAGCUCUAUCGAGGGCACCAGAAGUCCAUGACUUCGCGUAAGCCUCCAAAAUACCAAAAUCAUCCUGCACAAGCACCAGAUUUAAUACAUUUUCAUCACCUUGCAGUAAAAAAACCAUUUAUUUUAAAUUGCAUUAUUACUCUCUCACACACAAACAUGCACACACCCCCACAAUCGCUCAAAACUAAAUUAAAGAUACUCGAAGCUCAUAUUGAUACAAACAAGUCAAUGACUAGUCAGCAGUACCUCAACAGGUUCGAGGUAACCCUCAGCAUCAGUAAAGCAAUUCUCUAAAGGUGGCAGAAGUUCAAGAACACGAGAAUUAGUUAGUGUAUUCCAGGUAGCAAGGCGCACAGGAGCUUCCACACAACGGUGAAGAUAAACUGCAACUUGCCGGCCAUAAACCAAAUCACCAUAAGAUAUAGCAGAAAACUGCUCCACAAGAGUUUCAAUGAAUGUUGAGUAAGUCUCGUGAAUCUCUGAUUGGAAUGCCAGAAACUCCACGUUGUUUUCAUUUCUAGGUUCUGUCAAUAAGUUGCACGAUGUUGCCUGAUGAAGAAAAUUCCCAUAGAGGUCUUGCAAAGCUUCAUAAAUAGCUCUACUCCUCUCAUCCUCAAUGACACCCAUUCCAACAAGUAAGAUCAUAGAUAGAGAAUGCAAUUUCCAAACUAACGAUACAGUUUUAACUGGGGAUGGGAUGUCAUCUGGUAAGAAACUGGACAGUGCUUCAAUACCCAAAAGGAAGAAAAGCCCAGCUUGGGAAACUACAAGAAAAUCACCUGGAUCCUGAAUGAGAUCUUGUAAAUUGGAAGAUUUUUUAAGACCAGCCUGCUUGCUAUCACAAAGGGUUGAGAUUGGACUGAGAAACCAGGAAAUGGGUAGUGGCAGCCUCUGGUGAGCCCACUCUACAACUAAAGAAGUGCAAUCUUGACUGAUCAUAUGUGAUGUGUCCAAGUCCUCAUAUAUGGUGUCAAGGGAACCUUUACCAUUCUUAAGUAGUUUACUGCCAGAUAAAUUAUUGCCAUCACUAUCUUUGAGCUUUUUCUUUACAGAUAACCAUCUGUUAUUGAAAUGGGAAGCUAAUGUUUCACUGAAGAGUAGGUAAUCCUCUUCUUUAUACUCCCAAUCAAACACUUUAACUCCCUUAUUCGAGAAAAGAAAACGCCUAAUACGGAGAUCAAGGUACUUCAGAACUGAGACAUCAAGCAAAAUAUUUAUUGCCUUUUUCACAUAAGUCACUUCUGUAGGUCCUGCAGUUACACAUACUCCUAGAGAUGAAUUAAUUGCCAGCAUAGUCAAAGUCAUUUCUUCUUCGGUGGGGAUAUCAAAAUUGGACACACUCUUCCAAAUUUCAAGUAGGUCAAUGAGAAAUCUUGAAUCAGCUUGAGACAACAAAAAAGUAGCAGACCAAUAUCCUCCACCAGAGGCACCCCAGCCAACUCCCACUCCAGGAGCAGGACCACCCCUGCCAAACAUCUCAAUGGACUGCACAAGGUGCCAGUCUGAAGCAACUAACUUCAUAAAAGUAUUUUGCACACUUCUCAAUUCAACCAAACACCCCCCAAGUAUACCAUCCUUGAGUAUUUUCUCUUCUCUUGUUGAAGUGUAAUUUUGGAAAGGAGUUUGGACGCCUGUCCUGGCUAACAUUAUCAAUUUAUCAAUGCUAACGAUAAUCCCCACUAACCCCUGUAAGCAACAUACAGAAGCUAAUGAUGUUUCACAUGUACCCUGACUUCUCAAAUGACAAAGUUUCUCAAUGAAGGAGCCACUUCCAUUAGGAUCUUUUCCAUGUUUUGCAUCAUUAGUAUCUGAAAGGUCCAUAAACCCAUUUUUAAUAAUUUCUAGUCCAACUUUAGGAACAAACUCUGGAAGCCAUGGUACAAGACUACCACUUUCAUGCGAGUGGACAGUAUCAUCUGGGAUCACUUUUUCAAGCACUCUGGAAAGCAUGUGCAUGACAGCUGAAUACACCCAUAACAAGGAAGUCACUGAUAAAUCUUGGGACACAAGAAGAACACCAACUCCAUUUUCCAUCUCAAAUAAAUUACAUAUGCUAGGAUCACUCUUCAUAACUAUCCACUUCAAAGCUAUAUCAACCAUUGGACCAACAUGGCUCCAAGACCAGAACUCAGUGUCAUCACCAGAAUACUCAGAGAUUUGGUUGCUCAGAUUCUUCUGUGAGAACAAACUUGGAAGUCUUCUAGCCAAAGCCUCCAGCACAAGGUAGCCCUCCGUAGUGAUGGAUGCAAAUUCACUAAGUACAUCAUUCUCUAUAAGCUUUUCAAUUAUAGGUGGGUUCAGCCAUAUGCACAAAUUGGGGAAAAUAUCUGAGAAGUAUGACACACAGUGCCCAUGCUGAAUGCAAACCUUCCAAAAACGCAGCUGUUCAACCAUCAAAGCUGAAGAAAGUUGACAGUUUUCCUUUCCAGAUUUUACCCAUUUGUCAAGGAAGGAAAUAGAUUGAUACAAAUGCCAUGUCAUAGUUUGGAAACUCCCAUUCUUUAUAAAACCAACACAAUUCCUCCCAUCAGAUUGAGCCAACACCUUUUAUAUACACAAAAUUAAGGAUAUGAGUAUUAAUUUUAUCUCGAAUUAAAUGCAGGUACAAUUCCCAUCUAAUAGUAUUAGGAACAAAACCUAUAAAACAACUGGAAAUAAAAGUACACAAACUGCCUACCUUUAGAAGUCUAACAGACUUUAUUUUAGAAGGCUGGAUUUCUACACUCUCUUUUGCAAUAAAUCUGCUGACAACUGUUUGGAUUAGCCUUUGACAAUUCUUGACUGCAUUUGCACAUUUUGGGGAAUGCCUUGCAAUAGCUAUAAGUAAAGAAAUGAUGUAUUCUUCCAAAGCCGCUGUAGGGUCUGACUGAAACCACACAAAACAAUACACUUUAAGAGGAAACUGAAGAUCAUUUUUCCACAAGUUCUUAAAAAGUCCUUUAAUCAACAACUUUUCUAGCAGUAUCUUACUAUAUAUAUAACACUACUAAUUGGUGAAUCCGUGUUUGCUCUGUUCUGUAAAAAGAAAAUAAAGGACUAACCUCCAAAAGAUAACGAAGCCUUGGAAGGAUUCCCAUCCGCACCAAACCUGCAGCAAAAUCUUGUCCAGCAACCACAACAUCAUCCUGAAUUGUACGUUUCCCUUCAGUCUCAUCAUCAAUAAUUUCCUCAUCAAGUGCAAGAAUAUUAGAAGGCUUAGCAUUGUACUUCCAGAAUCCACCACGAAGGAAACCAACAGCAAUCUCUGGUUUACUUCUGAAUACAGGGGCAGUAAAUGUAUCCUUAUGACGAGUUGCUAUUUUCUGAGAGCAGAAUACAUCAAACUUGAAGUAAUUAAAUACUGAUAGAUAAUUAAAAAAACAAAGAUAUAUAUAAGUAUAAUAGUAGGAAGAAAAGGAAAGAAAAACUCUACCUCUGAGAUAUCAAAGAAGUUCUCAUUUACAUCAUAGCUCAAUAUGCAGUGAAGAACUUUGGCACAAGCUAGAACUACAGAACUAUGGUUAUCAUCGAGACAAAGCCUACAAUUCAGAGGUUAAAUUGCAAAAUUAUUAAGUCCAAAAAAAAUCAAAGAAUCAGAAAAUGGUGAAGUAUCUCCAAGAAAAUAAUUAUAUCCUCAGGUAAACUGUUUUAUUCUAUCAAAUACUAUAAUUGGUUGAUCAUAAAUCUAAGUCAUCAAAUAAUUUUUCGAGGGGCAUAUGACUCUAGCUUGGAUAUAUAGGCAGCAAACAGAGAGAACACACUUAACUUUUUCUCGAGGGGAAUAUGAUGAGUUAACUAUAACAUGUAAAGAUGAAAUAACUAGAUUAUCUUACCUUUUAUGAUCCAAUAAAUGAACAGAAAAUUUAGAAUAACUCAUGUUGAAUACAUGUAAUGAAUUUUAUGAAACCAUUAAUCUGGGCAACAAUAUACCUCCUUGUUAUCUAGGUCAUGAUAAUAAAAGGUACAGAGUAUAAAUAAUCAUGUAUUAUUCUGACGGUACAAGUGUACACGUGGAGCAUAUAUCAAGCUAGAACUGAUUCCUAAUGAUAUAAAAAGCAUUUUUAGAAUAGACAAUAAAAGAACUUGCUAGUUCAAACUAUAAUUGUGCAUUUAUAUUUCUUUAUCAAUGUUUUCUGUGCCUUAUCUGGAUCCACGGAUUGCUUUAUACAUGGCAGGUAUACUAAGGACAUAAAAAAUAUAAAUGGUAGACGAUGACACCUGAAUCUACUCAUUAGUGAUGAUACUGAUAGACAUGGUUAAAGAAAGAUCAUAACUCAAUAUUACAAACAGUCAACUCUGUGAAACAACAUUGAGGCUUAUCGAUGUUUGACAGAUCAAUUGGUAUGCAAUAACACCACAAAACAAACUCACUAACAGAAGAGUAAGAUUACAAGAUAAAGGCAGAUAAUUCAGGCAUGACUGGUUUCAACAAAAUUUUGGAAUAUAAGGAUUCAGAUAUAACACACCUGAGAGAUAAAAUAAGCUCAGGUUCAGGGCCAAGUGCAUAAGCCCAAACAGCCUCCCAGUCAAUAGAUUUCUCAACUUUAUUAGCAUCUCUUCUAUCAAACUGCACUUGCAUUUGAUGAAUAUUCUGUAAUGCCUUAUCAAGCACAGUUGAAAGGAGAUGCAAUGACAGGGACCGUUGUCCUGGAAUCUGAAACCACCAAACAGCAUAUGGUAAAACAAGAUAACAGAAAUCAGGAGGAAGAGCUACAAGAUUUCGGACAUGAUAUACCAGAGACCCAUGAACAUAAGAUAUUAUCCAAACCGUUAUUUCACAACUACAGAAAUCAAGAAUAUAAACUGACCACACUCCUAGUGAGUGACACUGCUUCUUUGAUUGUAUAGCCAGCAGCACCAGGAUCCCCCUCAGUACGCAGGAAGUCACGCUCAGAAACAUUACCUGUAACAUGGAAGAAAUAAUUAACUGAAAGCCUAUUGAGGUACAUGUUAUCUUUUUAAAAAGUACCAUCAUUAAUGCAGUUGCACUUCCCAGAUAGCAAAAUUACCGAUGCUAUUAAUUUCAUUGUAAAAGAAAAUUUACCUACAGAAUUAAGUCCCAGGCUUUUAGAGAAAAUAGAACAGUAAAUAUAGCAAAGACACAAGAGUGAUAUCCAUAAUAUCUUGUGAAAUAGAACGAAAAGAAAAGGUUAGCUUUUGCCCGAAAAUUAUAUAAACGAGUAAUAUAACUUACUACUCUUAGGUAUCUGGUGGGAACCAUUUAAAAUAACAGUCCCAUCCAAGGAAAAUCUUAAUUCCCUAGCAGCCUCGACUCUCUCCCUCCAAGCAGUCCACAAACUUAGACUCGCUUGGCCUGAGUUCUGCUCCAACCCAUUCUCUUCCGCAGUAUUUGUAUGGUUUGAGGUAAUUGUUGUGUCCACAUGAGACAUGCCACUUUGAGAGCUAGGGGAAAUUUUUGGUUCAUUGUUAUCCGAACUGGGGCUUCUUUGCUUCCUCAAUUUCUCUUCACCCCUCCUUUUGAGCACAUUAAGCAGCGCAGGGUCCAGCCUUCCCAUGAUCUCAGCCUGUGCUUCAGCAAUCUCAUCCGCUGACAUCCCUUGCAAUCGAGCACGGUUCUCUUCAUCAAUCUGAGUCUCAAGCGACAUGGACACUUGUUCAUUUUGAACAUUAUCAGCAAGGGACUUUGGACUUGGGCCAGCUUGAAUUUGCAUGUCAUUCUUACCCAAUACAAAUUCUUGUUCAGUCAAGUUGCCCAAAACAGAUUCUUGUUCAGUCUUCAAGUUGCCCAACAGAGGCUUUGGCUGGGGAUGCAAUUUAUUUGAGCCAUUCUUUCUAGUACUAGCUUCCAUUGUUUCCCUAACUGUUCUAGUCCUAUUCACACCAAGCUCCUUCUCUGCCCACUUGCUAAAGUCCAUUUCUUUUUUCUUCUUCCUCUCUACUGGGUUGGCAUAAGGCUUUAUGGGUUCAAAGUUCAUAACAUCAUCACCGCCAUCACCAUAAUCCACAUCCUCAUUACCGCCCAAAUUACUAUUCACCGGACUUCGAUACUGUAACAUCAACCAAAACCAGUCACAAAUUCAUGUACAUUUUUCUCAAAUAUUCACUAAACCGUUUGACAGUAGCCAAUCAGCUUGCUAGGGCUUACCGGGAGGGCGGAGCGGUGGCGAGCAACAGGGAAAGGAAGAACGGUGGGCCGAGGCGGUGGAGUGGGGCCCAGCAUUGACUUAUCGGAAAUACCUUUCUCGACUAUGCCGCCGAUUAAACUCGAAGCAUCGCCCUCGUUUAAAUGAAGCGCGUCGGUCCCGACUAUCACCUUCGUCUUCCUCUUCAUCUCGCCUGGACUGCUUGCUUUGCUGCUUUGCUUCUUCUCCAUAACUAUGAGCUUCACUCUGAAUGAACUUUCAGAAAGUAGGGCUUGGACAUUUGGGCGGGCUCAAUUUAAUAUAUACCAGAGUCCAGAACCAGCCAACAACAAGUACCGAAAACGACGCCGCUUGGCUCAUUUUAAAUUAGACUAAACGACGACGCCACGUGCCGUUUUAUACCACUGUGGUCCCCACUAGUUCCUUUGGCCUUUGGCGUUUCUCAUUUCUUCUGAUUUUCCAAUAGCUGUAUCUUCAACUUUCUCGCCAAUUUUCCCGUACUUUCCCGGGAAAGUGAAGUGAAAUCCAUGGCCGAUUGGUCUCAACUCCCCAAGGAGCUCCUAGAGGAGAUCGCUAAGCGCCUAGAGAGCCCCUUCUAUCUGCUCCGUUUCCGAUCCGUUUGCUCCUCAUGGCGGUCUUCAGUCUCUUCCAGACCUCGCCGUUUACCAGGUCGGUUUCCGUUCCUCACAAACCAUGGCAUCUGCGACACCACCUUAGGUUUCCACCUCUCGCAGCGCACCGUAUUCCUCAUGGGGUUGCCUAAUUUCCGCAACCAAACAAACCCAGAUUGCUGGCUGGUCAAGAUCGAAGAAGACGUGCCUGGGAGAAUGCAUUUGCUGAACCCACUCUCGCGGUUUCAGCUGAAGCCUCUGCCUGAAUCUUUCCCAAAGGUAUUGGAUUUAUCCAAGUUUUGGGUUUUUGAGUUGGGUGGAGAAUAUGUUCUUCACUAUGUGCAUUUUAGGCCUUUUGUUAAUGGUAACUCUUUUGGUGAUGCUGGCAAUUUGUACAUGGAAAAGGUGGUUUUUAUGUUUUUGGGUUCCGAAAGCAAUGAUUUUGUGUUGCUUACCAUUCACGUGUCUGGGAAAUUAGCUAUGUUUAAGUCUGAGGAUAAGAGGUGGACUAUAAUUCACGAUAUGCCUUCGCCUUAUGAUGAUGUUAUACUGUUUAAAGGACAAUUUUAUGCCGUUGAUGGCACCGGACGUACUGUGAUCGUCGGUUUGCACUCAAAUCUGAAUGUAGUUGCAAAUCCUGUGUUUGGUGGUGAUAAGAAGUUCUUGGUUGAGUCAAGUGGUGAAUUGUUGGUGGUUGAUAUGUAUUUGAGCAUGGCUCCAGAAACCGAUUUGGAUGUUGAUGAUGAAAUCAUCCAAUUGCAAUUCAAUGGUUGUUUGACUGAAAGAACAGUUAGGUUCAAGGUUUUUAAGUUGGAUAGAGAGGGGAAGAGAUUGGUCGAAUUGAAAAGCUUGGGGGAUAGGGUGUUGUUUUUGGGGGAUGAUUGCACCUUUUCUGCCUCGGCUUCAGAGUUAUCUGGUUGUAAAGGGAAUUGUAUAUUUUUUACAGAUAAUUUCUUCUAUACAAGUGGUGAAGAUGAAGGCGUGUUCAAGGGCCGUGAUAUAGGUGUGUUUGACUUGGAUGAUGGUAGUAUUGCACCUUUAUCUGAUUAUCCAGAGUAUUCAAAGCUGUUUUGGCCACCCCCUGACUGGAUUGCACCAACACAAGUAAGUUUAGUCUUUUUGCAUUUGGAAUUUUGCUUUGUGUUUUUUCUCAUUCUAUGUUGUGUUUGCACUGCUCAAUGCUAUCAGUCUUGCCAAGUUCUGAUAGGUAUAUUUGAUAAUUGUUACAAACUCAUAUCUGGCCCUGCCACCUUGAUGCCAAUUUCUGAUAGGUUCUAAUUUAAAUCUAGUACCAAUGCCACCUUGAUGGUCAUUUUCCGUUGCCAAGACAUUCGUACUUAAUUAGUGCAUGGUGCUGUAGGCAGUAUAUUGUUCUGAUAAAUCCCCAAUUUUCUAGAUAUCAGUUUUGCCUUUUUGGUUACUGACUAUUUUUGUCGCAAUAACUUAUUCAGAUUUUUUAAGAUCUCUGGGCCUUGGCUUAAAGGCUUUGACAACAUAAUGUCGUACCAUUGUUGGUUUAAAUCCCUGAUUUGAAGCAAUUAUACUAGCAGCUGACUGAUAUUGAAAUCUCUAAGUUUGAUUGCUGGUCCUCCUGAUGUUGCAGCCAAAUAAUUAGCAGGCUCAUAGUGAAUAUGUUUUGAUUGGAUUGAUUGUCGAUUACAAUAAGUGCUACUCUAGCUGGUAUUCCUGCCAUUUGAAUCCAGAUUUUCAUCGUUAGUAUCCGAAUUGAUUUUUAAUCAACAUAAUGAAGGAAUGCAAAUGCUGAUUUAGUGAAUGCAACAGGUGCAAAGUCAGUUUGAAGAAUUGGCUUUGUGAGAUGGAGAUGGAUUGUGGAAAAUCAGUGCACAACUUUGUAAUAACCCGUUAAUGCAUUUGAAAUCCAAGACGUUUCAAGUUUAAAUCUUUUAUAUAGUAGAGUGCAAGGUGAAAGCACAGUUCACACCCUGCGGCUUUGCCAUCAACAAGUUCAGGUGACCAAGCCAGCCUUUGCAACCAAAUCAAGUGGAUCGAAGUUGCCAUAGACAUGAGUCUCUUUAUGAGCCAAGGAUAUUUUACUACUUUCUGUAAGGACCUAAACCUGGAAGGGGAGUUGUUAAGAGGCAGCCAAUUCCUUGUUAACUGAAAAAUAAAUAAUAAUAAAGUAUGUACCAUGUACUUUAUUUGCUUGUAAAUUACUGAAUUAUCAGUGCUUUUGGAAACACAUCUAUCUUGUUCUUUUGCUUUUCUUAAAUUACUUAAGCUGCAACACUUCAGCUUCUGUUUUUUUCCCUAUUUUUUAUUGAUUACCAUGGAAUAUUAUGAUAGUUUUGGUCAGUAUAUAUCUGGAGAUGAGAAAUGGACCAUAUUUUCAAGACACUUAUUCAUAUCUUGCCAUGAUUCUCUUUAAUGCGAAGUUACUAAUCAGUCCAGAACAAUUGCUUGAACACUGGCUUGAUGUUAAUCUGGUAGCAGAGAUCCAAUCACAAGUUGUGUCUACGGUAUGGUAGCUAAAUGGCAAAACGGGAAUUUUAGAACCAGCAUGAAAUUAAAUAGUCUUUUUUCUCUUCAUCUACUACCUGAUCAAAACUAUAGACCAACCUAUUUCUAUUGCUAAUAAAGACUAUACAAUAUUAGAUCUCGACAGCACCAAGGAUCCAAGGCUCUGUAACUUCUGUUGUUUUAUGGACCUACUUCAACUUAAAACUGAGCUAACAUUUUUAAGUCAAUCCCGCUCGGGAGCGUCCCCGGUUGUUCUUCUAGAGCUUAGGCUUCCAGCAUAUGACCACACCCUCUCAAAAUCAGCUGCCAGUAAUUUCUCUGUCUUCUCGUCUAGUGCCUCUUUUCGAAUGCUGCGCUUUACGCACAGAGGUGUCCUUCCUGGACUACCAACAACUGGAGUGGAGGAACAGAAAGUCGGAGUUGCCAGUGGAGAGCCAUAAGGAGUGUGUUGAAUGGAGAAGGGGCUGGGCGACAUCCUCUUCUGGAUAGGAAGGCCACCCAAACCUCCCCUGCUGAAAAUAGACAUUGAUUCUGCUGCAGCACAUCGCUUAGUAGCAUCAUCAACAAAGAGGACAUCAUCUAUCCUUGCCAUUAUGUUAAAGGCCAGACUCUCCAUAACCCGCGAGUAGCUUUCCAGAAUUGACUGCCCAACGUCCUGCAAAAUUAACCCCAAAAAAUCCUUCAGAAUUAUCUUUGGAAGAUUUGUUGUUCUAAAUAUCCUAUUACAGAAGAUAAUGCAGUAACCACAUGGUGCGUCUGUCCUUCGGACAGUCUCAGACAUAAAUGAUUGAAUCAAAUAACUCGUAAUGUGCCACAACGAAUUCAUAGUCUCCAAGUUUACAAAACCAAGGAACUCAACAAAUUUGAUAAACCAGUGUAUUCAAAGUAGUAAUAAAAGAAAUUAAUCUUAAGCAGUAUGACAUAUUUCACAAACCCCAAGUUCAGGUGACCUUAUUCUAAUCUUAAGCAACAUAUAGAUAACAUACAGUGAAAUGUACCUUAUUGUAUUGUAUUUUGUUCAUAUCUAGUGCAGUUUGUGGGAGGCCAGGGAAACGAUGCCUUAGGCUGUGUAAGAGGGUCUCUGCUCGUUGGGCCAGAAAAUGAUUUUUUUCAGUAUCAGAAACAAGUCCCUUGACCUUGCCACCCCAAGAUGCACGUUUAGCUUUCUGAUGAUUAUUGUGUUUUUUCUGGUCUUUCUGCUUCCAAACAUGCACAGCUGCCUCAAUCCUAUUGGCUAUUUCUAGAGUUUGAUGUUCUGAUGACAAGUCCAGGCAAUCAAGAAGAUGCUCGGGUGAAAACUGGUCUGCGGUUAUGUAACGAUAAAUGAUAUCACCCAGACAAGCUUUCCCACUCUGUCAUGAAAUGGAGAACAAAUGGUGUCAUAAGAAAUUUAAAAUCAACUAAAUGAAAGUUACAUGUUGAAUAAUAAUUCCUGAAUAUUGAUUGAUAUUCAGCAUCUAUUUAUGCUCUCAUUACGAAAUAAAUAAAUAAAUUGAAUGGCACUGAAAUAUAAACUCACACACUUGUAUCACCUUUUAAUUAGGAAAGGAUAUUAACACUCGCACAACAUGAUAUUACUCUUAAAUAUAUGAGGGGAUUAAAAAAAAGAGAUGUUGCUAGUCGUAAUCUAGUUACCAUAUGUGUCAAAUCAUGAAAAGAGAUGUAGAAACCCAAACCUUGGGCAAUGACUCCAUGUAAGCUCUCGGGAUUUCCAUCUCAGCAAGCACACUACUAUUAAUUGCCAUGGCAGCCUUCAAUAUCUGGUUGCAGCAGUCCCUACACUGCUGCAACUUCUUUCGUGCUUCACUGGACAACCCAUUUGGCGGAACUUUUGGAUAGGGUAGCCACCACUUCUCUUCCUGCCUAAUUGAAGGCCUUCCACCGGGCAUAAACCCCUUACCAUCAUUGGAAUCAUCCACAAUUAUCCCCCGGUCAACAUAGCAAAACUCCGUCUCACAAAACCCAUCAAGCAUACUAAGCAGCAUUGCGUCAAGCUUCUUUAUGGCAGGUAGAUUCACAUACAAGUCAGAGCGUGGUCGCAUUUCCAUGACUUCGUAUGUACCCCCACCUGGGAACUGUUGUAUCGAAGGCACAAGUUCAACAAUUGAAUCACUCACACAUAAGAGCCACUCCAUCUCUCGGCGCCACAUUGCCUUUCUCUGUGGUGCCAGUGGCUCUAACCUCCAUAACUCACCAAAAACAGUUGCUGCCAUUCCAACCCAGUAAUUGAGUUCAGAAAACCGAAAUUCCACAUAUAAAAAAGUAAAGUCUCUGCCAAAAUCACACAAGGGUGUGCAUAUUCCAAGAGGAUGUGACUAACCAGAAAGAUUGGUGAUGGCAUUUGAGAUAGCAAGGGCAGUGCAGACUCCUUUCCCUCCUCCAGACAUAUCUUCUCCAAGCAGAAGCUUAGCGAAUCUCUCCUUCAUCAUUUCAACCUCUGCAACCAUAAAUUUUAUAAAAAUAAUAAUAAUAAAAACUUCAUAAAAAAACAAAAUAAAUGGUCUUAAAAUAGGACAGAGUCAGAUCUCUACUAUAAGAAAUAGGAUAAGGAUCAAUUUGCUUCAAAAGUGCCUCUUAGGUUUGGGAAUUAAACUGGACAAGUACUUUUGAGCACUACAGUUUUCUUAAGAAUUUCUGUUUAGGCCUUAAAUUCACUAUCUACUCCUUUGUCCGCACUUUUCUCGGAAGCCAAACACUGAGCAAGAAUCUCCUCAGAACCAAAUUUAGAAACAAAAUUAAAAACAAAAAGAAAUAAAGUAAAAACAAAAUCCAAUACCAGACAAAUCAGCGUCUCGUUUCUCCGGCUUCUCAUCCCAAGCCACCACAUCCUUUCCUCCGAUCACCGGAAGCAUAACCGGCGCCUGAAAACAAAAAUUUCCAGGCACCUGACGCGGAGAUGACGUCAUCGAGCUCGAAGCCCCUUCCGCAUCGAACCUCCGGCACGAGAAGCUGCUGCAACUCUCGGACUCGCUCACAUCGGCGCUCAGACUAUAACUCCCACACCGCUCCUCGCUCUGCUGGUCCGAGACGUCCUCCGACGACACACUCCCCAUUGUCGUCCAAAAGAUCCGAAUGAACGUCCGUACAGAGCAGAUCUCAGGCGCACAUUCGUUACGGCGAAGCCUACCGCAUAGGAUAAAAGGAGAUGAAGCACACUCUCGCGUGGUCUGAAGAAUGUUGCAGACAAGAGAAGUUAGUGGUGGUGGUGAUGGAUAAAGCGAUUUCAGGUUUGCUCACAACACACUCUUUCACUCUUUCUCUCCACUCACUUUCUCUCUCCAAGAAAAAGCUAAUGAGACUCACUCUGGGACACAGUGGGGUUGAUGAUGAUGAAGAGAAGGCACCAAAAGCAAAAGUGACGCCGUUUGUUCUGCAGAGCUGAGCACCCGACACGCUCCUUUUCCAGCGGGCCCCACCUAUGAGCUCUAAUAAAAAGAAGAUUACUAUGCCAUCGUGACGUGGCAGUGUUUGCUGACGUGUACGGAUACGUUGUGGGGCCCUGUCUGGGAGAUGGAGGGAAUUCAGAAGUUUUGCGUGGGAAAGAUACCUAACGGCGGUUUAGAGGUUAGCGAAGUAUUUUUGUUUUUUCCUCGCUCGGAGAGAAAGUUAGGAUGCGCGCGUCCUCGGUUUAAAUUCCGUGCGCUCGCAUCCCCAAGCGGGCGAUUAAUAUUUCGUUUAACGACAUCGUUUUCAGUGUAGAUCUCUUUAAAAGCAUUAACGAUUAGUCUUGGGUAAUUACGUUGAUUAACCAUUUAUUUCAGAGCAUAUUAAAUAUCUUUUAAUGCAAAUUAAAGAGAGUGAAUUCAGAAACGACCCCCGCUUUUUAUUUCAAUGAACGAGCCAAGUGCGAUAUGGACCGUUAAAUUGUUCUGAACGUGGGACCAAGCGAAAAGUCAGUCCUGGAUCCCAUAGGAUCUUAACGACACCGGAGAGCAUCUCCAUGAGCCGGGGACAGGUCUGAGUCGUCUGACACGGUGUGAACGACAAGUAUUCGGUCGGAGUCCGUAUAAGGUUACGUAUAUAUACUACGUUAUAAGUGUACGCAUUAGCCCAAAGCAGAGCAUCUCUUGGACAGGUGUCGUUUUUGGAUUGUGUUUCUCGAUUGGGUGUGGUUGGCAGUUUUUUUUUUUUUUUUGGGUCAUCCGUAAAAGUCAAUUUGCUUACGCUUUUUGACUGGUGGUCAUUCACUCAUUAUCGAAUCGAUCAAAUCUCAGCCAAUCAUCCGCGGGUGACAUGGUGGGACCAACGUGUGUGUCGUUGAUCAGAAAGGGAAAGGGUUGGUGGGAGAAAAUUACGAUCGUAUAGGUGGGGGACCACCGUAGUGUUUCGCUGCACGUGACCGACAUGUAGCCCGCAGACAAUAGGACGGCGGGUCGGGUACGUUUAUUUGGAUGAGCCCAGUUUGCGUGAUGGACGGUUUAUAAUCAGGACCGUGUAUAGAAGGAUCUGUGGGACCAAUGUAUGUUGAAUUUUCUGAGCUACUAUUUGGAAUCUUUUAGAGCAUGUACAGCGCCAGGGGUUGGCCCAGGCAAAAGGCAAAAAUCAGCCCAAGUCCAGCUCCAGCGCGCGCAAAGCAGCCCGGGCAAGCUGCGGGUCCCACGAGCCCGGGCAGGCCCAAGGGCGAAAAUCGACUGGGCUCGAGCCCGAGUUCAGGUGACGUCAGCGCUGACGUCACCACCAACGGUUACAUGCCACGUGUCGGAACCGGGUGGCUCCGAUUGGAUUUUUUUCAGAAAUCCUACGGUUCUCAUUUUUUUGGCCAAAAAAAUUUUAAAAAAAUCCGAAAAAAUUCUGAAAUUUUUUUUUAAAAAAAUACCAAAAAUGUAUGUAUUUUUUCCCUAUAAAUACCUAACCAUUUUAUCUACUUUCAACACCAAAUCUUCAUACAAUUUCUUCUCCAUACAAUAUUUUCUACUCUCCACUCACAUAAUUCAUUUUCCACACCAAAUCUCCAUACAAACUCAUCUCCUUCCAAUAUUUUUUACUCUCUACUCAUAUUUUCCACUUUCCACACCAAUUCCAUACAAACUCUUCUCCUUCUAAUAUUUUUUACUAUCCACUCACAUUUUUGUACUACUUUCCAUUUGUAGAAAAUAAACAAAUGGCAUCUUCUGUUGAAAUCGGAGGCUCGUGGUCAACCCAGGAAGAUAUUGCGUUGUGCGAGUCUUGGGUGAACGUUAGUCAUGACCCUAUCACGGGCAAUGAGAUGAAGUUCCAUCAUAUGUGGAGCAAAAUUCAUGGAGAAUUUUGUCAAAGAUCGGGUUCCAUUCGGACCGAAAUGGCUUUGUCUAGUAGAUGGAAAAUUCUAAACAAAGAGUUAGGGAAAUGGAGAAAUGCCUUGACAAAAGCAAAGGAGAACAUUCGGAGCGGUGCGAAUCUUUCCGAUGAGGUAAAAUAUUUUUAAUUGUCAUUUUAAUCAAUUUAAUGUAACUUUUUUUUAUUGCAUAUUCUAUUUCUUUUUGUUGCACAAUGUUUAUUUUAUUUUUGCAUUUCCUAAUUGGAUUUAUUUAUUUACAUAAUCAAUUUUAUUCUUGCAUUUCAAAUAUGUUUAUAAUUUCAUGCAUAAUCUUUAUUUUUUGUUUUUGCAUUUUCAAUUUGUCUAUAUUUAUUUACAUAAUCAAUUUUAUUCUUGCAUUUCAAAAUAGUUUAUAAUUUCUUGCAUUGUAUAUUUUUUUAAUGCACUUCCAAUUAUUUAUUUUGAAUAGAUCAUACAAGCACAAAUGUGGUUCGGUGCCAUGGGACAAGGGAAAAAAAGUUUUGUGCAUUUCCAAUGUUGGGAAAUUGUCAAGGAUUGUUCCAGAUUCAAAAUUAUUCUUACCGCACCCCCGGUUGUGUUGCAUGAGACGCCGCUCCACGAAUCGCCAUUAACCGAUUCACCAUUGGACUCCCCAAUGGAAACGGAGUCACCACUCCCACGUCCGCCGAGACCUAUUGGGAGAAAGGCGGCAAAGGCCAAGAGAGGGGGCACUUCGAACAUUGAUUGUGUUCAAAUAUUCGAGCAAAUAGCUAAGAACAACUCUCUAAGAUUGGAGAGAGACUUGAGGAGAGAUGAAGCGGACAAGGCACGAUUGGAAGCCUUUGCAAUUGAAAAGCAACAUGCAAAAGAAAAAGACGAGGAUGACAAAGAGAUGAAAAUCAUGGCCAUGGAUACGAGCCAUAUGUCUCCUGAAACAAAGGCCUAUUGGAAACAUAAACGAAGGGAUGUGAUGAGAAGAAAACUUUUCCAUGACGACGGACCUAGCAAUACGGAUUGGCUAAAUGAUGAAAACCAUUAGAUUGUAUUGUUGUAUUUUUUUAUAAUUGUUGUAUUUUUUUUAAAUUGUUGUAUUAUCCUUUAAUUUGUUGUAUUGUUUCUUUUUUAUUCAAUCAAAAAAGCAUUCUAUAAUUGGACUACUUAUUAAAAACAUUUGAGCAUUCCUCACAAAGAUUAAUUAAAAACAAACCUUCAUUUAUUGCAAACAACACACAAAACAAACCAUACAUAAAAGCAUAAUAAUAAAAAAGACCUCGCAAUAAUUCCACAAAACACAACACACAAAAACAAAGCAUAAUUAAAAAAAAAGCAUAAAUCCAAACAAAGCACAAAUCUAGCCUUCAUCCAUUGUGAUUGCCUUUCAUCUGCCACAAGUGCUCGAUCAAGUCAACUUGACGUCUUUCGUGAACAUAUGAAGAUUGCAUUUCUUGAUAACGAUCAAUCAUGGGGUUGUUGAAUCGACCAUCCUGAAGUAACGGUUCGGGCUCCAAUGGUAGUCCAUUUGGUCCUAUCGGCCUUUCAUAUAUUCUUGUCAACGCCGUGUUCAUAGGAUCGGGUUCAAACACCUCUGGAGCAUCGUAGUCAUACUCAUCCUCCACAAUCAUGUUGUGGAGGAUGAUGCAAGUCAUCAUAAUACUCCUCAGCACCUCCUCGUCUAGCAUCCGAGCAGCACCCCUGAUAAUUGCCCAACGAGCUUGCAAGAUACCGAAACACCUUUCCACGUCUUUCCUGUAACCUUCUUGAAAGGAAGCAAAGCUUCUUUCCUUCUCGGAUUGGGGAUUCGGAAUUGUUUUCACGAAUGUCGUCCACCUAGGAUAAAUUCCGUCGGCAAGGUAGUAGGCCCCAGAGUAUACGGUAUUGUUGAUUUGGUAUGUGACCUGAGGGGAAUGACCUCGCAAUACCUCAUCGAACACCGGGGAUUGACCAAGGACAUUGAGGUCAUUCUGAGAUCCGGCAACCCCAAAAAAGGCAUGCCAAACCCAAGUGUCGAAUGAAGCUACGGCCUCCAAAAUGAUACUUUUUUGGCCCUUCCGAUUCCCAUACUCUCCUUGCCACGCAGUAGGACAAUUCUUCCACUGCCAAUGCAUGCAAUCAAUGCUUCCGAUCAUUCCUGGGAAACCUCGAGCCUCGCCUUUUUGUAGAAGCCUUUGCAGGUCCCUCGGAGUGGGUUUGCGAAGGUACUCCCUCGUGUACAAAUUUUCCACUGCAUCACAAAAUCUCACCAAGCACUCUAGGAUAGUAGAUUUUCCCAUCCUUGCAAUCUCAUCCACCUGCUCUGCAGAUGCCCCAUAAGCAAGCAUCCGCAAAGCAGCUGUAAGUUUUUGCUCCGGGAUAAGACCCAAAACUCCAACAGCAUCAUGCUUUUGAAUGAAGUAUGUGUCGUAAUUACAAAUAUCAUGCAUGAUUUUUUGGAACAAAUGUGGCUGCAUUCUAUAUCUCUCUCGAAAUUUAUGAGCAGGAUAUAACGAAUUUGGGAUAAAGUAAUCCUCCAAGAGAUUCUUACCCCGAGACUCUCUGCGUCUUUCCACAUUCGGGGCACGACGACGAUGGUGUUGGCUUGAUUGAUUCAUCAUACACACCGCCGCUACUUCAAGCAUUUCUUCCUCUUCUUCAUCGGCGUCCCGAUCUUCUUCCUCACGUCUACGCCGGAUUUCUUCCCAUUCUUUCUGUUGCCUCUCCAACACCCUCCUGAAGUUUGACAUUGAGAGUAUAAUGGGAAAUUGUAAAAUCUGAGAAAUGAAGGAAUAUAUCAGAGAUUGUGUGAGAGGAGUGGUGUUGAUGGUGUAGUUAUAUAGAGGGAUUCAGAAGAUAGAGAUGACACGUGGCACAAUUUUAGAGGGUGAAAAUCUUAUCUGAAAUCUGAGAUCACUAUUUGAAAAAAAUAUCUGAAAAUCUUAUCAGACAUGGGACACGUGGCACAAUUUUAGAGGGUGAAAAUCUUAUCUGAAAUAUGACAUUAUAAUUUUUUAAAAUUAUCUGAAAAUCUUAUCUGACAUGGGACACGCGGCACAAUUUUAUAGGGUGAAAAUUUUAUCGGAAAUCUGAUAUUAUAAUUUUUAUUAAUGAAUAUCCGAAAAUUUUAUCUGGAAUAAGACACGUGGCAACCGAGAUUCACAUCCGAAAAUCUUAUCCGAAAAUUUAAUUACAAAAGAUUAUCAAAAUUAAUGAUUUAAAGUAUUAAAAAAUAGGAAAUAAAGUACAAUGAAUAGUAAUUGCCCUAGACUUGCCCUAGACUUUGCCCUUGUGGGUGGAACCACAAAUGGCAAGGCUGACACUAUUCACGUGAAUAGUGUCAGCCCUUGCUUGCCCUUGCUUGCCCUUGCCUUAGACUUUGCCCUAAGGGGUGGAGUUGCUCUUAGUGGAUAAUUAAUUUGGUUUUUAUUUUAAUUAUUUGUUGGCCAGAAAUAUUAAUUAGUUUGUGAGAUUAGAGAUUUGGUCCAUUAGGAGUUAAUGAUAGUCGUGCGUAGGAUGCGAUUAAAAUACUAACAAUCCCAAUGACACUUGCAGAUUAAUAAUAGUCUCAGUUGUUGAUUCAAAUGCAUGAAGAUGCAACUAAACAUUUAAAAUGCAAGUAAAUGAAUGCUAAAUUUCAGUGAUUAGUGAUUUGCUUGGCUUUCGUGUAAAUCUAGAAUUUUGUUUUUUUAUUUGUUGAACUGAAUGGGGGAGUUAUAACUCUAGUGUUUAAGAGCAUUUGAUUUGUUAUAAGACUUCGACGAAAAAAAAAAGUAUUUGCUACGAGACUUGAAAUUUUAAGUUCAAAUUCUCCGUUUUACUGUAUUAUUGUUUGAUCAUCAAAUACAAAAAGAGUAAUGCUACACUUAUCACAUUUUGAUCCCACAUUUUUAUACCAUAUGAUGUGGCAUGUUCAUAUUAUAUGUCACAUCAAUUAAAUCAAUGAAAUGUAUUUUAAUUAAGAUAAUUAGAAAAACAGAAACUAGUAUUUUAAUUCUGUUUUUCUAAUUUUAUUUAUUAAAAUACACUUCAUUCAUUUUAUUGAUGUGGCAUAUGAUAUGGAUAUGCUACAUCAUGUGGUAUAGAAAUGUGAGAUAAUAAUGUGGUAAAAUUAGCAUUUAAUUAGUUAUUUUUUAUUUAUGGAUCAAUCGGAAUUUAAAGCAUUGGGUCAACUCCACUCUCGUCUAUAUUAUGAGCUGGAUUAGUAGGUGCAUUACCUUUGAUAAUGUUUUCGGCUUUAGGGUCUCUAUAGGCAUAUUAACACACACACACACAUAUAUUGGAGGAGUUGGAUUAAUUGAAAUGUGCUACUACAUGGCACUAGUAUGAUUGAACAUAAUUCAAUCCAUGUUAUUUUUAGGUCACCAAACAUUUCACUAGAAUUAUGAAUCCAAUUCCUACUUAACUACAUAAUCAAACUCACGAAACAUGCCCUAAUAGACAUUCAUUGUAUACCACAAAUGGACAAAUUACAGCAAUGAUCCCAAAAAUUUAAUUGUUGCUUCAUUUGCCUCAUUGGAUUGAAGAACAAUCAUUUUGAUUAUUAUUUUGUUAGGUCAUGUAUUUAGUAAGAGCAUAUCUUAACUUUGUUAGGGUCAUGUUAAAAAGUGAUUACAUACUUUACACGUGAACAUUUUACUAAAGGCAUUUUAGUCUCUCCAAGUCACUAAACAAAUAAAAACAAAAACAAAGAGGUUCAAUAUGCUCACAAUUUAUCUGAUUCCCAUCGAAUUUUACCUUCAUUAUCAUUCGUAUAUGACACCCUCACCAUACAAUGACUCCCCUAAUAUAUCGUUGACACCAAUGCUAUAUCUCACAUUACUUUUGCGGUUCGUGGUCCAAAUGAAAUAAUUUGGAGUCUUCUUGGACCAAAACCGUGGGGGAAUUGGAUUGAGUUAUACAUUUUAUUUGAGCAGUCUGAACAGGCCCAAACAAGGCCCACUUAUCUUGUUAGCCGUAACCGCCUUUUGUUAUUGUCCUUCGUCUGUGAACGAACGAAUCGAGUCCCAGUUUACGUAUUUCAUCCUCAUCGAGCGCAGGUCGAGAAUAUCAAUCAUCGUCGUCCUCGUCGUCGCAGCCGUAGAGGAUCAAUAUCCUAAAGCGUACGGACAAGAUGCCGAAGAAGAUGGGUGUGAACAGCAAGGCGGAGGAGGCUAGGGCUCGGAAGAGCUCGACCGAAGCCGAGCGCAAGGAGCGCGAGGCGCGAGAGAAGGAGGAGCAGUACUGGCGCGAAGCCGAGGGCAGCAAGUCUCGCGCGGCCAAGAAGCGCGAGGAAGAAGCCGAGAAGCGAGCUGAGGCCGCUGCUCGCAAAGCCGAGGCGCGCCGAUUGGCGGAGCUGGAGGAGAAGGAGCUCGAGAAGGCGGUAAAGAAGCCCGAUAAGAAGGUCGGACGAGUAGGGAUCCCGGUUCCGAAGGUCACCGAGGCGGAGCUGAGGAAGCAGAAGGAGGCGGAGCAGGCGGCGUUGGAGAAAAAGUCGAAUGAGGUGAAGAAGAAGCAGAGCCGUACGGCCGAGGAGGAGGAGUAUGAGAGGAUGGUGGCGGUGGAGAAUAGGAAUCGGGACGAUUCGAUCAUCGAGGCGAGGUCGGUAGAGGAGGCGGUUGCGAAGAUGACGGUGGCAGAGAGCUUGCCGGUGGAUCGGCAUCCGGAGAGGAGGCUCAAGGCGUCGUUUAAGGUGCGUUUUAUGUGGUUAUUGGGAGAAUUUAGGGUUUUAUGGUCUUGUGAAUUGGAUUGCAUUGGUUUUGAUUUUGUUUGGGAUAGCUUUGAAAUCUAAAGUCUAAUUCACUGGGAUAGAAUUUGUUUUUGCUGUUGUUGAAUAAUUGAGCAUUAGGAAUUAUGAGUAUGAGGGUUGGAGCUCUAGGCAUGAUUGAAGUAGCUGAAUUCUGAAACACAGCUUUAUGUGUUAUUUGCGAUGAUAUCAUGAUCUCACAUGGCCAUGAAUCAUGAUCAGCUUCUCGAAAGCAGUAAUUUGGUGUGUGGGUGUACGUUAGUGUUGUUUACUUGUUUGUGUUGGCUCUGACAUCUUUCCAAUGUGAAUUGGUAAUUGAACAACUGUUUCAGACAUAUCCGCCUAUUGAAUUUUGAGCAAAUUUAGCUAUAGCUCUAUUUCCAUUUCAUCAUGGAGUUCAAACAUAGCUUAAAGCAAUGAACUAUAACUUUUAUAGUCAUUUAUUUAUUCCCUUGAUCUCAGUAACAAGCAUAUGUUCUUUGUAUACACUGUAUCCCUAGAAAUGAUGGUUGGCAGAAGUUUGUAGGUUUCAUGUGAGUAGUCGAUGUACAGAUAUAUCUCAUGUUUGUUCCCUCUUGGGGAACUGCAAUUUAAAAUGUGAUCUUUGUAGUUGUUGUUGCUGCCCCACUUCUGUAUUGCAGUAUUGGCGUCUCCUGAUGAAGUAUAAUGUUAACUAUUGGUGUCUUCGGAUGAAGUAUGAUUUUGGUUGCUAUUGUUAGAAGCUAAGUAAUAUUCUUAGUGGCAGUGAUUUGUUAAUGGCCAGCGAACCUUUUCAAUGAUGUCUUUGUAAACUUCCAUUGAUAAGUUAGCCCUUUUUCUAUCUCGAAAAAAUAGGUCACCCCUUGUUAAUAAACAAUCUUAUCUCGUUGCUUGCUGCUUUGGUCUUAUGGAAAAUUUUGACAUUAGUAAUUUUGUUCUCUUUGUGUUUAUAAUAUGGCGAGAUCUUGUGAUAAUUGUAGGCUUUUGAAGAAGCUGAGCUCCCAAUUCUCAAGGAAGAGAAACCAGGUCUUACUCACAAUCAAUACAAGGACAUGAUUUGGAAGCUAUGGAAGAAAUCUCCCGAUAAUCCUCUAAAUCAGGUAUGUCCCAUAUUUACUUUUUUUGUUUUCUCUGGUAAACUCAAUGGUUUCUUUCCUGUGAUUUGAGAUGAUAAGUCUACUUAAAUCCUUGAAUUGUUGUCCUCAUGUCAUAUAUGCUCUCGCUAAUAUAUAGAGCUUUGUUCAAUACCUUGAAACUUUUGUUACUUAAGACGCUGUAUAUUGGCUUAGUGCGUCAUGCGUUCAGAUCGAUAGGUUUGUGUGUUACAUGUUGGAAUAUAUAAAGCUGUUUUAAGUUGUUAAUCAUAUGUUAGGAUAUCUUUUAGUGAAAUGAAGCCAGCCUAAUUUCUACUUUCACAUUUGCAGGUUGCUGAGUGAUCACAGAGCAUCUUCACUAUGCAAAGGUUGUUGAGUUUCUCUCCCGGGCUUGUUUUGCCGAUUUCAUCAUGUCCAACCAACGUACAUUUGUAAUUUGAAACGCAUAUAUGGUUUAUGCCCUACUGUAUGUGCUAUUCCCCCUCAAUGAAACAUGAUUUAAAUAAUUGUGCAGUCUUUUAUCUUUUACCCUAAUCCCCCCGGAGCGACAUAUUUACAGAACUUUUUGUUUAGAUUCAGUCUGCUGUAAAUCUGGUAAUAGUUGAAAGCCAUUAAUUUGAUUACAGGUACUAGUUGGAAUUGGAAGCCAUUAAUUUGAUUUGUCAAGAUAUGUUUUCAUCACAUAUAUAAACCAAGUAUCGUCCCAUUCAUUCGUAUAGGGACCAAGCCUUUAAAAAAGCUCUGCCAUCUUGAUCGGUUUUGGUUUUGAUAAAAUCUUAUUUAUUUCUGCUUCAUCAUUUAAUUGUUCGCUGCCCUAGUUUUCUCCCAAAACCCUAAAUUCCCCCAUACACAAUAAUGCAGAAAGAAAAAGAUAUAUAAAGCAAGGGCAAAGAACACGAGUUAUAACCACGUCUUGAAUUUGGUUCCUAGAAUUCGAAAUUUCGCAAAUGUAAUUUGAUAUGUUAUAAAACUGAGGUCAAAGUUUGUUUAUUUAUUUAUGUCAAAGUUAGGAGGAUAGAGAGUUUUUUUUCACACACUGCGAAUGGGGUGAGCUCAACAUAAGUCAAUGUCCUUUUUCAUUAGGCUAAAUCCGUUGCCAAGAAACACAAGCUUUUUAGAUGGGCCAGUGGACUCUCCUCAUUUUUGCAACAACAAAUAAGCGAAGCGAGGCCAUUGAAUCUUAUACCGACAGACAGAAAAUAGAUCUUGGGUACAAGCCAAUUCAAGUGAGUGAUAAUAAAAAAGGCACCUCUAACUCUUCCAUUUUCUUCUCUCCAAUGUGCUUGAAGAAAGCAAAUCCUUGCACUGUGUGAGGGAAAAAAAAAAAAAAAACAUGUGCUCAUGAUCCUGUUGAUGAUAGUUGAAAGUUGCAACAAGCCCCUACAACCUUUUGGAAAUAGUUAUGUUGUGCCAUUAAUACCUGCCAAAUAUUGGUAAGUACUUAUUUGCAUCAACCACUUCACGUCAUGAAAAUAAAUCAAUAGAAGAAUAUGUCAGAAACACAGGGAAGCUACCAGAACCAACAACCAGAAGCAAUCUUCUUCUUAAGUUCUGAAAUGAACUGGUGCCUCAGCACCAGGUACCAUGGUUAGAUAAGUCAGAAGAUUGACCGCCCCGCCCCCCCCAAAUGUUAUCCCUCAGGUCCUCCAAGGCAGUGAAGAAGAAGAAGAGGUCAAUUAUUGUUGGUCUAAAUUCAGAUAGCUCCAGCAGAGAGAUGCUACUUAGAUUGCUCAUUUCUGUUGUUAAAGCAGGGGACAGCGUAACAGCUGUUCAUGUUCAAGAAGCAGAUGCUGAUGCUUUUGAUCCAAACUCUUUCCACACCCAUGAAGAUCUCUGCAAGUCCAAGAAGGUAUUGAAUUUUUUCUCUUCUUUUUUCGUCAAAUUGUAAAUUGGAUAAGACAUUGAGGAAAACUGGGCUUAUGGCUGUUUUUUCUUUCAAUGCAGGUGGAUUUCCAUGUAAAAGUCUGCAUUACAGAUUCAUAUGUUUCUGAAUUACCCUAUCAAGUGAGGAUCAGCUAUGCAACAAUCCUUGUACUUGGUUGCAGCCUUUCAGGGUAAUGAAACAAUAAAACCAAUCUCUCUCUCUCUCUCUCUCUCUCUCUCUCAUGUAUGGUUAAUUUGGUUAAGUACAAUGCAGGCCAAGCCUUUCAGCUAUCAAUACUUGCUUGAAAGGGUUACCUCCCUCAUGCACUCUUCUGGUAAUGGAUACUGUUGGAAGAAUACUUUUGGAAGGGCAGGGGACUUCCCAACAAGGCUCUGUGAGGGCAGCAGCCCUGCAAUCUUCUCAGUCAUUUUCUUCAACCUACACUUUUUCUGAUAAAAAAUCAAAUAUCACUCCCCAGUUGCAAAAGUCAUUAACCAUACCAGCUUUCUCUACGGGGCCAUCAAUGCGACCAACUACUAGACGAGCACUCUCUGCUGUAAAUAAAAUGGUGGAGGUUUCUGACUCGGUGGCUGAGAAACUGUUUCAUAAAUUGGCACUGUUAGAAGCAGAAGGGUCCAUCAGGAAUUUCGCACUGCAAGAGCUUCGUUAUGCAACUAACAAUUUCAACUCUGCCAUGGUGAUUGGAGAGGGUGGACAUAGUAAGGUGUACCGUGCCAAACUUGGAGAUGGUCAAGAUGCUGCUGUGAAAGUCCUCAAAUCCUCACACUGUUCUGCUGUGGAUUUUUUUCGAGAAGUGGACUUGUUUUCAAGUAUGAAACAUGAGAGCAUUGUUCAGAUAAUCGGGUUCUGCAAUAACAAGGAGGUGCAAGCAAUUGUGUAUAAUCUUUUAAAGGGAAGUUUGAGGCAGAAUUUGAGACAACUUAGGUGGAGUGAGAGGAUGAAAGUUGCAAUUGGAGUGGCAAAGGCACUGGACUACCUUCAUCAUUCUCACAACCCUCCUAUCAUUCAUAGGGAUGUGAAGUCAUCCAACAUUCUCCUCUCCCACAAUUGCGAACCGAUUGUAAGUUCAAUAAUAAUUUCUUAAAUUUGUGAAGCUAACCAGCAUAAACUAGGUUCAGGGUAACCAGAGCUUUAACCAAAUCCAGAUUUAAUUGUACCUUUUAUAGAUCAUACUUGUGUUUUGAUGAUUGCCUCUCAUGUUAAACUUUAGGUAAAUAGCUCUAUAUUUUGUCUCUGAUUAUGUUGACUACUGUGAAUCUACUUGCACAACAAAAUGAAGUUUCCACACUUGUAAAAUACUUUCAACUUUCAAUUCCCAGUUGUCGGAUUUUGGAGCAGCUAUGUUCCUUCAGCAAGCUUCAGCUAACACAAAGGCGCCAUUUGAUGUCGUUGGGACGUUUGGAUACUUAGCCCCGGAGUACAUGAUGUAUGGCAAGGUUGAUGAGAAGAUAGAUGUGUACUCAUAUGGAGUGGUGCUCCUAGAACUCAUCACUGGGAAAGAGGCUAUUCAAACUGACCAGGAGAUUCGUGAAAGCUUAGUGCUAUGGGUAAUGGAAGAAACCAACAAGCUUUAAAACCAAUUCUGAAAAAUAGUCUCUUCCUCUGAAGCUGCGUGUCUUUGCUCAUUGACUUGCAGGCAAGGUCCUUGAUGUGCAGUGGCAUAUGGGAACGUCUAAUUGAUCCUAACUUGGUUGAAGACUAUAACAAGGAAGAGAUGGAAAUGAUGAUGAUUGCAGCGCGCCUCUGCCUUAUGCAUUCAUCUUCUCGAAGGCCAACCAUGAAGAUGGUACUCCUUGUUUUCUUCUUUUCUUCAUACUGAAAAAAGGAAAAAAGAAAUCUAAUAACUUCUGUAUCAAGUUAUCAACAUGGCGACAAACUGCAAAUGUUUGCUUGGCAGGCCACUUUGAGAUUAGGUUAACAUUUAGUUAGUUCUAACUAAGAUGGCUUUCGUUAUUGUUUCUGUUUGAGCAGAUACUUAGGUUCUUUGAGAAGCCAGAGCACUGGUUAAGGAUGCAAAGGGAAAGAGAUGAUUUUCUGAAUGGAAUUGAUUUACAAGGUGAAACAGCCCAGCCUUGACAAUCGAUCACAUUGAUUUCACCGUGCAGUAAACAGCCCAAGUUGAUCACUAUCAGCUACCAAAUAAUCCCAGUAUAUAUAAAUAAAUAUUGAAAAUUUAUUAUUUAAAUGCAGGGUGACCAACAAGAAAAUUGGUUGCAAAUGAAUUUUCCUGUUGGUUACCUAAUAUUUGAAACAAUAACUUGGAUGUGUAUCCGAAGGAAUUUCACAAUCUUUUACAAAAUGAAAGAUUUACAUUAUUACUUCAGCUUUUCUAAAUUCUGGAAGCCAUUUUCUAAAGCUCUGAUUCAAAAUGCCUAGUUACACAGCAGGAAGAAGCUGAAAAGUCCAUGCAGCAUGCCUAUCUCUGUGGAAUUGGGUUUUUGCUGAUAUUCAUAAUGAGCUAUUUAUUACUGAUUGAAUCUUUCAGAAGCAGAAAAUCAAGAUCUGCUUACAUAACUUAUCAAUUCAGUUUCAGUUAUUAUUUUUUUCUUUCUAAUACAACCAUACUAUAACAGAACAAAAGUUUAGAAGUUGGCAAAAAUAGCGUGCUUCUGGGGAUAAAUUGAUCAUGUCAAAAUGGCUACUCUUAAGCCUUGGCCAACUGAGCGAAAUUAAUCGGGUAUACGAAUUGUGGUCCACCAUUGUAGAGGGUUACGGCUGCUAACUUAGAAGCAGCCUGUGUUGGAUGAAAUAGAUCCCAGAACAAGUAAUUGUUGCGAUUCGGGCAAAGUUUGGCUUUUGGACUACAGAAGGAUUCAGCAUUGAGCUUCCCAGCUCCGCAACACGCAGCUUCCACUUGAGUAAAAUCUGAAAAAUCAAAAGGAAAUUAAAAUAUAAUUAGAUUGUGCCUUUUUCUUCACCAUUUUUUUCAAGCACGUGCAUGAUUCCUUUAAGAAGUGCAUUAUGGCUUGUGAUUGAGAAUUGACUUACUGAAUGCAAGAGGGUACUGAAUGACAUUUAUUGUCAUCUCAAAUGCAUUUCCAAGUGAGUACUUGAUGCUCUUAUGUUCUGAGCUGAGCUUGAACAAGAGGGCAUCCAACCUUGCAUGAAAAGCGAUUGCGAGAUCGUUCAAAUCUUCCAAACACCCCCCAGUAGUAUUGUAAAUCCUCUGAGAUGGACAGCAUCCAAUCGGGGCAACGCUGAUAAUGCCAAACUUUCUCGCUCCAAGAUCGAUCAAACUCUGCCAUUUUAGUACAGGGCUCAGCUAGGCCAUGAAAACUUGGUACAUUUGGUGGAUAAAAUUAAGUUGAAUCUUGUUGAACAUAGAGAAAAGUCACCUUCAAGUGCUUCUCAUAAGCAAGUUCUAAAGACGAUAGGAAAGCUUCCUCGGAGAAGGAAGUGUUUGAAUGGUAAUAUCCAAACAAGUCAUUGCUACCCGUGCUGAUGAAGAACAAAGACUUUGAGAUCAACUUCUCAGUUAACCUUUGCCCUUUGAUGGCAGCAAGAUUGCUCUUGACAAGAGAAAGUUGCUGUAUCUGCUCUGAUAAUGUGAUAACAUUUUUUCGAUUGAAGAAUGGGGCACCAAAUGGAAUUCUCUCUUUUCCAAACUUCAUCAAAGUCAGCUGAAACAAGAAAAUGAAAAAUCUGUAAAACCAAAUCUCUCUCUCUCUCUCUCUCUCUCUCAUGCUUAUGAGACAAUUUUUCUCAAGAUUACAUACCAUUGUUCGUCCUGUUAUGUCAAGAAGGCCAGACCCUCCAGAAGCAAAGUUCACACCUCUAAAGCUCUUCUUGUGAAGAGAUGUAGUGUUGAGAGAAAGAAAAGGCCGCGGGCUUCUCUUAAGACCGAAUUGCUUAGCUAUAAUCACGAGAAGCAACAUGUUAAGUUAAGCUUCAUGGUUCAAAGAAGUUAGGCUGAAGUUCAAGUUAGCUUUCCCAAAUUUCUUUUUUUCCGUAACUACAUUAUACUUACAGAGAAAAUCAGCACUGUUAAGGCCAUUGCUGAACCUUCCAGUGGCUCUUGAGAAAGGAAAGUCAACGCCAUUGUGGGGAAAGUCAGCCCUUGCCAUGCUACCAGGCAAGAAGUUGUUGGUGCCAACAUCAGCAGUUGAGUCCCCUAGUAUGAAGAUUGCAGGCACACCUGCUUCUGCUAAACCAACAACAGCUAUAGCCAAACAUAGAACUAGAAGACCAACCCAUGAUUUGUUUUCCAUGAGAGAUGUAAUUAAAAGAAACUAAUUAACUAAUUAAUUUUUUUUUCCCAACAAAUUCUAUGUUGUAUGUUCAAGAAAGAUUCACUUUCACUUUCAUUUUUCUCUUCAAUUAAGAUGUGAUGGAUAUUUAUACGCAUGGAUGCUUUAGGAACCGUCACUUCCUAGAGAAAAUGUGCACUUACAAACAUAAGAGGUUCACUGGGCGGAUUGGCAUAGUUGUUAUCUAUGGCCGGAUUGACCAUUCACCAGCAUCUUGUGUGACCAUUUUUAUGAGCAGGGUUUGUUAGGUAUAAUUAUAGUGAGCUUAAUGUUAACUAUGAUAAGAGCCAGGGUUCACACAGACUAUAACCGGAUUGACCCUAGACCAGAAUCUUCGAUUACUUGCGAUAAAAUAUCUCUAAUAGAGGUGAGACCCACAUAGAGCGACGGAAGUUGUUGCCGUCCAUUGUAACAUUCAUUCAGGUUUUAGACAAAUUUGGUUGUUUAUGGGGUGAUCACUAUGUAAACACAUAAUACUAAGUCCACAGUUCGCUGACAGAAACAAGAAGCCUAGCUGGAGGCCUGUUUAUUUGUCCUUAAGAUACACCAAUUUGCAAUUAAAUUUCUUUCUUUUUCCUCUCUCUCUCUCUCUCUCUCUCUCUCUCUCUCUCUCUCUCUCUCUGUGAUUAAACAACAAUACAAGAUGUUUCUUUCCCCUUGGCUUCUAAUACCUGAAGCAGAACUUAAUUACAUGGCAAACAAGUGACUGAAUGAAAGCUGCAUUUUAUUGCCAAAAGUAUACAAAUUACAAUUGAAAAUUUUUGGUAGCAAAGAAUGGGACACUCAUAUAUAAAAUAAUUGUGUAUAAAUCUUCUGAAUCAGCUUGUUCAUUAAGGUCUGGUGCUUCUGCCAGCAGCCCUUCCACAAAGAAGGGCAUUUCUGGGAAUUGGGUACUCAUCCCUAGCAGACUCCACAGGUGAGUAGACUCGUAGGUAAAAUUGUUGUCCAAGGUAUUGCCUUGCCCAAAACUCAGUCCUCAAAUUCCACAUACCCACAUUGUCUAGUGCUAUGUAUAUAGCUGUCCAUGACUUGGGAUAAACCUGUAACAUAAUCAACCAAAACUUUAGUAUAAAUACUAAAAUUAUUGAAUGUGCCGGCCGGUUAUAUAUAAUUUCGGUGUGAUUGGUUUUGUUUAUACCAUACUUUCGGUCUCACUUAUUCCACAUGGACAUAUGUAAGGGUGAAAGCGGAACCCUAAUCUAUGGAUGAACCAAUUUUUGGCAUCUACAACUUCCCAUUUGUAGAAAUUAAAAAAAGAAAGCUAGGCAACAAACCUGGGUGGUGCUUCUUGAGACUGCAUCUCUAAGGUUGUAUUCGUUUCGGCUUGCUGGUGUCCAUUUGCCUCCGUCCAUUCUGAAAUUUAAGUAUAAAUGUGAGAACUUAGAACAAAUUUAGAAGAUAUAUAUGCAUGACAAAUUAGCAACCAAAAUUCCCAUUUUCAAAUUCAUUUUGUUAACAACAAAAUGCUGAAUUAUAUUAUUGAUUUACUUACCCAACAACCCAAAAAGAGUAUCCAUCCAAGUGCCAGCUCUGCACAAUGUUCUCAUGGUUCUGAAACACAAUCUCCACAAAGGCUCUGAAAUCAGCACCCAUGACUGAAGUGUCAAGGUACAUCUUUUGGCCAGUAGGGUUAUCUGAGAUGCUUCCAACUUUAAAAACCCCACCAAUCUUGAAGUAGUCUGCAAGCUUCAAUGGCGUGUCUGCAGGGAUAAAGGACACACUGUUCACUGCAUAUCUCUGUUUUCCACUAACUUGAGCUGCUGAGCUCUCUAGCUUGAUUGUCCUGCUCACAUUUACAAGACCAUAGUGGUAGGAGCCUUGUGGGUUUGGCCUAGGUCCACUUGCUGUUAGGUUUGUCCUGAAAUGUACAAAAUUCAAGACAUAAUUGUUAAAUUGUUGCACAAAAAAUCAUUAGCAGAAACAAGACUCCAUUGUACGGAUGGAAAAAACUUUUAUCUUUAAUGUGGUACACUAUAUGAUACAUAAAUAGGACCAAAAUAAUAUUAGAUUGGAUAAGUGACGUACCUAAUGGAGAGAGCCUGGCUAAGAGACCAGCCGGUUUGGGUUGUGGGCCCAGCUGGAAUUGGGCCGGAAACUUGACGGCCCGAGUUGCUGUAGUGAAAGACGGCAGUGCUUGUGAGGACCUUGCUGGUAAAACGGGUUGAGACAGCAAUGUAAUAGUCCUGAGGGGCUUGAUCUGCUGUGACGAGAACAGAAUAAGACUGGCCCACAUGGAUGUCCAGUGAAUCAUAGGUGGUCUGGAUGGUGUGGGUCCCUUCAACUUCAACCAGCUUCAAUUUGUGGCCCUGGAUCCUGAAGUUAAGAGAGUUCUGGAGCCCAACAUUUGAUAUCCUAAGCCUGUAAGUUUUACCUGUUGGAAACAGACAAAAAUAAGCUCCAAAAUGUAAAACAGUAAAAAAAGGACCAAUGAGCCAAGCCAUGGAAGAGUUUAAGAGGGGUAAAACAAAAAAAUUACCUUGGUCAAAUGUGAAAUAUGUUCCAUUUGGUCCACGUCCAUUGAUUAUAAUGCCAUCUGGGAAGGGAAGCCUGUGACCACGAUCUAAAAUGCCCUUCAAUAUCUGCAAUAUUGGACCAGCAUUGCAGUUAGGUCAGAAAUAGGUUAAAAUUAAAUUGAUAACGAAAAUACCAACUAGCUCUUAGUUUAUUACGUGACACCUUUGAAUUUCCAGUCUCUGUUAUUUCGAAAAAAUAGUAAUAGAAAUUGCAUGGAGAUGAAUUUUUUUUUUUUUUUUUAUACCUUGUGGUCAGUCUUGUACCAAUCUCCAAUAAGAAUGGAGUAAUCACCAGCUGGGUCUGGGAAUGGGACUGGAAUUCUGGGCCUGCUGAGGAUUUUAAUGGCUCCAAAGCCACCAGCAGCCUUGUGAAAGGCAAGAGAUGGGAAGUAGUAGAAGCUUCCAAUUUGGUCCUUCACUUGAAGUGUGUAGGUGAAGUUCUUGCCUGGUGGGAUGGGGCAUGUGGUGCCGUAAACUCCAUCUUGGUAUGAAUUCCUCCUAUGUUGAACUCCAUUCCUGUUUUUGUUUUUCCAAAUUCCGUUUUAGUUUCACAUCAAAAUUAAAGUAAGUGAUUCCGUUUUAGUUUCACAUCAAAAUUAAAGUAAGUGAUUGCAUGCAACACGUAUACUCUUAGACGGUAUUUCAAACCGAUCACAUACUAACCACCGUCACAAUGUUAUCAUGGGCCAGGCAAGAGUUAGGAAAUAAUUAAAACUCAAUAAAAAAAUUCCAUGUGUGUUUGGUUGGUCUUUCGAUCAAACCAAAAUAAAUGCGUGUGGCUAUAUAUGUCAAUUUUGCCAGCAUAUAAUUCGAUCAUAGUAUAUGCAUGGCAAGUUGUCACUUGUUAUUGUCAACCACGUGGAAGAUUUAUUACGUCACCGCGGCCAUAUUAAUAACAUGUACAAAAGUCUAUGACCUCUUAGCUGUCUGAAUUUUUUGAUUAUUAUUCUCUAAAUUAUAUUACCAUAUUUUGUCACACUGAAUUAAAAUCUACAGAUUAGAUUGACAAUGAAAACUAAAUUACCUCAUUUAUUUUACCUAAGUUUCGUUUUAUAUCAUGCAAUAUUACUAUUUAUGAAAUAAAUCCGUGCAAUUAAUAUUUUUUAGUUCCAUGCCUUGUAAAGAUUGAUACAUUUACCAAAUAUUUAAAAUCUAUUAAAUUGUGCUAAUUUAACAAAUAUGAAGAUUUAAUUAGCAUUUAAGUGUUUGGAAAACAUAUAGAAAAAGAGAAAGGAAAUAGUUUGGAAGAAAAUCGCACCAUGAAAUAAGGAAAGGCUCCGGCAAGCUGUUAUGAACAUUGAUAAUGAGGUUGUCAUUGGUCACGGAGUAGAUUUCCGGCCCUGGAAACUGGCCAUUGAUGAGAAUUCCCUGCAGCAAAAACAAAAUUUUAAAGUUUACAUUCAAGUUAUUAAAAACAGUUAUUCAUGUACCCGAAGUCUUAUGUCGAACUCUCCUCUUCUAAUAUCGCUUGUAUAGAAGAAAAAAUUGUAAAUACAAACCUGUUGACGAACACCGAGUGGAUAUAUGUCCCCGUAGGUUAUGUUCCAGUCGAAAAACCUGUAAGGAUCCUCGGCAGCUGCAAAACCCAGAACCAGAAGAAAGGCUGCUAGAAAUUGAAGCAGCAUAUUUUUUUGGGAGCUUUAGAAAGUAGAUACGUAUCAGAGAAAAAUUCAGGUGCAGAUAAUCAGACAGAGAAGAUGAAGAAGAAGAAGAAGUAGUUUUCUCUACUGGAAUUACAAAGAAGGUUACAGAAAGAGACACUUAAAUAGGUUUGAGGUAACUGACCCUGACUUAUUAAUCUUGAUAUUUAUACUGCAAAAUUGCAAAAAAUAAAAAAAAACAAAAAAAAACAAAAACGAGUGGGGAUAUAUAUUUGUCCUCUCUGUAUUGGGCUGUGCAUAGUGGAAAGUCAUAGUCUCAUAGCGGUGGAGUGUCCACGUGGCGCACGCCCAAUAGAAGAUGUGCGACUUUGGCAUUUGUUUAAUGACUACAAUGCCCUUGCCCUGACCGCGUAAACUUCUUUUGCUAACACAUGCAUGGCUGGAUGAUAGUGGGAGAGCCCGUGAUUUCUGACGCCACACACGGUAUUUUCAUGUGCUCAAUUUUCUCACCUACCAAACACCCCAAAACACAAGCUAUUCAGACGAAAAGGGUUGUGUUGGUGCUUGGUGGGCCCAAGGAAAAGGAAAUAAAUGGUAUGAAAAUUAUGGGGGGCACCAACUUGGAGAUCGAUUUACGCGUAAACCAAUAAUUGUUUAUGCUUAUGGGACAUUCCUUAUUAUGCUAAGCAAAAUGAAGUGUUUUCGUUUUGGCUCUUUCCUUCAAAGCCUAUGAAAGACAACCACCAUGAAGCUUCUAAUGGAUUUCUUUUUAUUUUAUUUUUUGGUAAUGAUCAUACAGAUUUUGUCUGGAUUUUGUCUUAAUAGAUAGAUAUGAAAUUGAAUAUGCUGGAAUCUAGUAAUCAUUUUUAAACUAUAUUUUUGGGGUUUAUAUUGCUUUCUCAUUUCACAUGAACAAGUUAUGGUUUCACCUUAUUGCAGAAACGACAAAUUCUUCGUCUAACUUGAGUAUAGAGGCAAAGAUUAAUCAACCGUCUAGUAGCUAGUUCAUUCUAAAGUAUAUUGUCAAUGCUUUUUUUUUUUUUUUUUUGGAGUUGACUGUAAUGCUUUUUUGUUGUUGCUGAACUGGCAAUUAAAUUUUGAACUAUAAAAAAAAAGGCAAGUAAUUAAUUAUGAAAAGUUUACGUACAUCUAACUUGAUUAUAGGGGUGAAAUGAUAAAUCGUUCGUCUAACUUGAGUAUAGGGGCGAAACGAUAAAUUAUUUGUCUAACUUGAAUAUAAGGGCAAAAUAUUAAUCAAAUCGUCUAAUCUAGUUCAUUCUAAAGUCUCUCUUAGAAUAAUUUAAGCUCGUGAACGAGUUGUAUGGAGUAGAACAAUAUGGGAGGAAAAAAUAAUAAUUAUCAAUGCUUUUUUGUUGUUGCUGAACUGGCAAGUAAUUAAAUUAUGAAAAGUCUACGUCCAUCAAAUAUUAAUGCAUGGAAAGUCAAGUCCUUAUUAAAUUAAUGCAUGGAGAUAAUUAGAGACGGGAACUUUUUGUUCCACCUAGAAACCUCUCUCAUCUCAUCGCAUGUGAGUUUGAUAAAACAGCAAUAUUAUGGUUUUUAUUUUUCUUUGUUUUUGUUUUUGUUUUUUAAUGCAACCAUAAAUCACGAUUUCGACAUAAUUGUAUUGUAAAAUAAAUAUUGAAGCGUAUUCCGCUAUGGGAUUGAGACUCAUAAGCGUGUGAUUUUGUGGCAUCCACACAUGCAACACUGUUUUGUUACAAUUAAAUUGGGAUCAUUUGCAAUUUGCAAGAAAUUGACAUCGAAGAAAAUGAGCUUUAAUUUCUGUUUUCCCUAACUUUUGCCGUGAUUAUGGGCAUAAUGUCGUCUCCAGUUGACGAAGCUAGAAGUACACACAACUCCCUCUUUUCCCUUAUCUAUUUCAUAACAAAUUGUGUCCCCUUUAGAAGAAAUUCUUGUAUUUAGCAACUCGAACCACGUGGACGUGGUUAUGCGACGACUCUCACACAAACCUCAAACACUUGUAGUUUGAUCCCACUUAGCCCCACUUGUACGAUCACCUUUGUUAAUCUACUAUUUUAUACGACAGCCGCACACAAGAAUUGUUGCCUGGUUACGGUUAGGCCUCAAACACUUGUAGUUUGAUCCCACUUAGCCCCACCUGUACGAUCACCUUUGUUAAUCUACUAUUUUAUACGACAGCCGCACACAAGAAUUGUUGCCGGAUUACGGUUAGGCUUUCCCCAUUUCCUCAUACCAGCCUUCUAGCUUGCACCUGGUUACAAAUGGGCCAAAUAGGCGUCAAGAAAAUAAUGCAAAGCCCAAAUGAAGAAACAACACGUAAACCCAAUUUGCAUUUGGUCCCAAGUUUCUUCAUCAUUUUUUGGUCUGAUCUGAACUCAAAAUUUGUUGUAUCGGCCAUUAGAGUGGCUCCAGCGAAGGAGCCCAGCCCGAGGCAAGGGCAGAAAAAAAAAAAAAUUUCGCUCCAGCGUGCAGCCCAGGCCCGGGUUUGGUGUGGGACCCACCAACUCGGGCCAGCCCGAAGGCCAAACCAGCCCCAGGUCCAAAACGCGGGUGCUGACGUCAGCGCUGGCGUCACGCUGACGUCAGCUAGCGAGUUCAAAAUUUUUUUACCGUUGGCGCGAGCAAUGCACGCGCCAACGGUAAAAAAAUUUUGAAUCAGCGCGCGCUGACGUCAGCGCUGACGCCAGCGCCAACGGUACGCUGCCACGUGUCGCGCUCAGCGCCUUCCGAUCUGCUUCUCCUUUCUAAUCCAACGGCUGAGGCUUUUUUGGGUGAAAAAAAUAUGAAAAAAAAUUCUAAAAAAUUCUAAAAAAUUCUGAUAUUUUUUUCUAUAAAUACCUAUCAAUACCCUUCACUUUCAACACCAAUACUCUUACAUUUCAUUAUACUUCUACUAAUAUUCACUCUUUUUACACAACAUUUUCCUCUUUUUCAUCUAGCAUUUUGAUUUCAUAUUUUUAUGGCUUCUUCUAUCGAAACCGGAGGGGCUUGGAGCACAAUGGAAGAUGUUUCUUUGUGUGAGGCUUGGCUCCAAAUUUGUCAUUGUCCCGUGUCCGGCAAUGAAAUGAAAUUUUUUCAUAUGUGGAAAAAAAUUCAUGCCGAAUUUUGUGAAAAAAUUCCAGGGUCUACUCGUACGGAGAUGGCAUUAUCCAGUAGGUGGAAAAUUCUCAAUAAAGAGUUGGGAAAAUGGAGAAAUGCCCUAGCAAAAGCGAUGGACAACUAUAGAAGUGGGCAAAAUCGUACUAACGAGGUAAGUAUUUUAUAAUUUUUGUGUUAUUAAGUUUAAUCUCCUAAUAUAUAUAUUUUGUUAAUAUUGCUUGCAUUUUCAAUAUGUUGUAUAUAUUUUGUUAAUAUUGCUUGCAUUUUCAAUAUUUUGUUAAUAUUGCUUGCAUUUUCAAUAUGUUGUAUAUAUUUUGUUAAUAUUGCUUGCAUUUUCAAUAUUGCUUGUAUUUUUAAUAUGUUGUUAAUAUUUCUUGCAUAUCCAAUAUAUUUUAAAUAUUUAUUGCAUUUCCAUUUUUUUGUAAUAUGUUGUUAAUAUUUCUUGCAUAUCCAAUAUAUUUUAAAUAUUUAUUGCAUUUCCAUUUUUUUGUUCAAUAGAUGAUUCAAGGUGGUGAAAUUUUGCAAACGCUUCGUACUUAUUCCAACGGGUCCGGAGGUUGUGUUAAACGAGACGCCACUCCGUGAUUCAAUGACAUCGGAUUCACCUCUUGAUUCUCCUAUGAGUCAAGACUCACCCAUCGAAAAGGAGCCGAGGCCCAUUGGCCGAAAGGCCGCGAAGGCAAAGAAGAAGGGUAAUUCAAGCAAUCAAAAUUCACAAUUUUUGGAGGAAAUUGCAAGGCAAAACGGCAUAAGAAUAGAAAUGGAGCAAAAACGCCAAGAGCACGAGUUGGCCCUUGAUGCUGAGUUUGCACGUGAAAGGGAGUAUUUGCGCAAAAAAGAUAUGGACAAGACAGAUCGGGAAACCAUGGCGAUGGAUACAAGUCAUAUGUCCCCUGAAACAAAACAAUUUUGGAAGCUAGAACGAAGGGAUGUUAUGAGAAGAAGACUUUUCCGGGAUGAUGGGCCUAGCAACACGGAUUGGUUAAAUGAUGGAAACCAUUAAAUUAGUUAGCAUAUCUUUUAUGUAUUUGUAUUUUAGUUGUUUUCUAUUAAAGUUGUUAUAAUUCAUGUAUUUUAUUUUAUUAGUAAUUCAUAAUGACUUGUAUUACAUUUCAUUAUUUAAUAAACAAAGCAUUCAAUAAAUUACCUUUUUAUUCAACAUAUUCCAUACUUCAAACAAAACAUAAUAAAAUUAAAAUUAAAAGUACAAACAAGGCACAAUAAUAAAAAUAAAAGUACAAACAAGGCACAAUAAAAAUAAAAACACAACCAAACCAUACUAAAUAAAACAUAAGCAAAGCAUCUAUUCUCCAUUAUUAAUCUUCAUUGCCUUUCACCGCCCAUAGAUGCUCCAUCAAGUGAAAUUGACGCAUUUCAUGAAUAUACGAAGAUUGCAUCUCCGUAUAUCGAUCUAUCAUUCGGGUCAUCAAAUGACCAUCCCUCACCAACGGUUCCGGCUCAAACGGUUCUCCAUUUGGCCCCAUGGGCCUUUCAUAAAUUCGUGUCAAAGCCGUGUUCAUUGGAUCCGGUUCGUAGACCUCUAAAGCAUCAUAAUCGUACUCAUCCUCCACAAUCAUAUUAUGGAGGAUGAUGCAAGUCAUCAUAAUGCUUCUGAGGAUCUCCUCAUCAAACAUGCGGGCCGCACCUCGAAUAAUCAACCACCUGGCUUGAAGGAUGCCAAAACACCUUUCGACAUCUUUCCUGUAUCCCUCUUGAUAUGUAGCAAAUAAUUUUUGCUUCUGGGAUCGGGGAUUUGGAAUGGUUUUGACAAAAGUCGUCCACCUCGGGUAGAUUCCAUCAGCUAGGUAGUAUCCUGUCUGGUAUACUGUAUUGUUGACUUCAUAGGUGACAUUGGGGCCCUGACCUCUCAAUACAUCGUUGAAGACGGGGGAUUGACCCAGCACGUUGAGGUCAUUUUGUGAUCCUGCAACUCCGAAGAAGGCAUGCCAAACCCAUGUGUCGAAACCAGCAACCGCUUCAAGGAUGAUACUUUUUUGGCCUUUUCGAUUUCCAUAAUCACCUUGCCAGGCAGUUGGGCAAUUCUUCCAUUGCCAAUGCAUGCAGUCGAUGCUACCAAUCAUUCCAGGGAAUCCUCGAGCUUCGGCUUUUUGCAGAAGCCGUUGGAGGUCCCUGGGAGUAGGUCUACGCAGGUAGUCCCUAGUGUACAGAGUUUCAACAGCUUGACAAAAUCUUACCAAAGCCUCCAACGUAGUGGACUUCCCCAUCCGGGCAAUCUCAUCCACCUGAUCAGCAGAUGCUCCAUACGCCAACAUUCGUAUAACAGCUGUAAGCUUUUGCUCCGGAAGAAGCCCCAAAACCCCAGCAGCAUCACACUUUUGAACAAAGUAUGCAUCAUAAUUGCAAAUAUCAUGCAUGACUUUAUUGAACAAAUGAGGUUGCAUUCUAAAUCGCCUUCGAAAAUCAACAUCAGAGUACAAAGAAGUUGGGAUAAAAUAAUCUUCCAAAAGAUUCUUACCCCUAGAAUGCCUAUGUCUUUCCACAUUCCGGCGGCGGCCGGCUUGUGAACUAUGGCGGCGACCUUGGUUCUCUUCUUCUUCCAAAGCCACUGUUAUGAGAACUUGCUCAUCGACUUGUCUCUGCAACUCAUUGACUUCAUCUGCUCUACGGUUUCUCUCUCUUCUUUCUCUCUCUUGUCUCUCCAAGCAUCUCCUAAAUUCUUCCAUUCAGAAUGAAUGAAGUAUGAAUUAUAAACUCUCAGAAAUGAAAAUAUAGAAAGAUGUGGUGUGAGAGGUAUGAGCUGAGACUCUGGUUUUAUAGAAAAAUUUGGCAAGAUAGACAUGCCAUGUGGCUUGAUUUUAUUGGAUGAAAAUCAUAUCUGAAAUUUGAAAUUCAUCCGAAAUUUGAACCCUAAUUUGUAUGAAAUUCAAAAUUUGAAAUUCAUCCGAAAUUUGAACCCAAAUUUAUCUGAAAUUUGAAUUUUGAAAUUCAUUCGAAAUUUGAACCCAAAAAUUUAUCUGAAAUUUGAACUUUGAAAUUAAUCCGAAAUUUGAAUCCAAAUAUCUUAUCCGAAAAUUUUAUCUGAUUAUGAAUAGUCUUCACACGUAGGAAUCCGAAAAUCUUAUCUGAAAAUAUUACCCAAAUUAAUUAUUUUCAUUAAAAAAUAGGAGGAAAAAACAAAAAAGUGAAUAGUAAUUGCCAUGGCUAAGGGCAACGGGUGGAGAAACGAUUUACUAUUUGCAAGGGCAACCACUAUUCACGUGAAUAGUGCUUGCCCUAGCUCCACCCUUGCCAUGGCUAAGAGCAUCUCCACCCAUAAGGGCUAAGUCUAGGGCAAGGGCAAGCAAGGGCUGCCACUAUUCACGUGAAUAGUGUCAGGCUUGCCAUUUGUGGUUCCAUCCAUGAGGGCUAAGUCUAGGGCAAGUCUAAGGCAAUUACUAUUCACUUAAAUUUAUUUUAUUUUAUUUAUACUUAAACCAUUGAUUUUGAUAAGCUUUUCGGAUAAGAUUUUCAAUUCCCAAGUGUUAAUAUUUAUCGUAAAAUCCUCACCUAAAAAUCAAGAUAACAUUUUCGGACAAAAUUUUGAAAUUAAAUUGGUGUGGAAAGUGAAUAAUAUUGGUAGGUAUGUAUAGAAAAAAAUUUCAGAAUUUUUUGAUAUAUUUUUUAAAAUUUUUUGAUUUUUUGUUCAAUUUUUUAAAGCCAAAAAUUGGACAAUCGUUGGAUUGUGCAAUAUUUUUUUAUCGGAGGCUCCAGGAGAAGCCACAUGGCUUGUAACUAUUGGGCAAUGUGGGCUAGUUGGAUCCAACAGUAAUAAAAAAUUUGAAAAUCAGCUGCUGACAUCAUGCUGAUGUCAGCAGCCCGAGGGCAACAGCCCAGGCAGAAUUAGCCUUUGGGCUUGCCCAGGCUGGUGGGACACACCAUUUGCCCUGGCUCAUUGUUGUGCGCUGGAGCUGGAAUGGGCUGCCAGGGGGGCCUUUUGCCCAGGUUUGGUGCAGCGGUGGACAUGCUCUAAGGGCAAAUGGGUGGAGUUGCUCUUAUGCAUUUGUGGCCAGAAUUUUACUAUGGAAGAAAACCAGAGAGAGAUAAAAGAAAAAAAAAAAAAUCAAAUGUAGAAAACUGGAGCCCAAGAAAAAAGCUAAAAAUACCAACAAUGUCCCCACUCUCACUCCCAGACAAACAAGUAAACAAACGAGAAAUGGAUUGGAUGGGAUUUCUUAUCCGUAACCCAUCUCUCUCUCCUACACGCUCUGCUCUCCAGAACACUCGUCAGAGCCCGCCAAUGGAAGCUCAGCCACUUCUCUAACCAAACACCAAACUCCAUGGACGCUCUCUUCGUCAACCAGUGCUCCAUCUCCGGCCUGAAGCUCGCCCCAAAGCUCACAACCACCCCCUUCCCUUCCCAAUCUCUUCACCGCCUCAAACCCACGUCCAAGCCCAACCUCACAUCCGCCUCCGUUAUCCAGAACCAGCAAAGCCAAUCCCUCGAAACCCAGAAACCAUUUCCGUUCUCAGACGACAAUGAAGACAAACCAGACGACGAGUCGUACGGCGAGGUCGACAAGAUCAUCGGAAGCAGAGCACUGGAGGGCGGCAAGGGCAUGGAGUAUUUGAUUUCGUGGAAAGACGGUCAUGCCCCUUCGUGGGUCCCAUCGGAUUUCAUAGCCAAAGACGUGGUGGCGGAGUACGAGAGCCCGUGGUGGACCGCCGCCAAGAAAGCCGACGAGUCGGCGCUGAGCCAGCUCAUAGCCGCGGAGGACGACUGGCGCGACAUCGACGCCGUGGACGGAGACGGCCGCACGGCUCUCAUCUUCGUCUCGGGUCUCGGGUCGGAGCAGUGCGUUCGGGUAUUGGUGGACGCCGGAGCCGACUUGAACCACCGCGAUAACGGCGGGGGACUAACCGCGUUGCAUAUGGCGGCAGGGUACGUCCGGCCAGGUGUCGUGAAGUUAUUGGUAGAGCUGGGUGCGGAUCCCGAGGUGGAGGAUGACAGGGGACGGAAGCCGUUGGAUUUGGCUAAGGAGGUACUUAAGACGACGCCGCAGGGUAACCCGAUGCAUUUCGCUAGAAGGUUGGGGCUGGAGAGUGUGAUUAGGGAGCUUGAAGGGGCAAUAUUCGAGUACGCGGAGGUGCAGGAGUUGCUGGAGAAGAGAGGGAAGGGGGAUCGCGUGGAAUAUUUGGUCAAAUGGAAGGACGGUGGAGAUAACGAGUGGGUCAACGCGAAGUUGAUAGAUGAGGAUCUGGUGCGGGACUUCGAGGCUGGGCUCGAGUACGCCGUGGCGGAGGGUGUGGUGGGGAAGAGAGUUGGGGAUGAAGGGACGAUGGAGUACUUGGUGAAAUGGACGGAUAUAGAUGAGGCCACGUGGGAGCCGGAGGAGAAUGUUGAUCCUGAUUUGAUUAAGGAGUUUGAGGAGGCCCAGAAUGUGAGUGGGCCGGGGAGUGUGGAGGAAGCCCAAUUGAGAAAGUAGGAAAAGAAUUGGGUUUUGUUUGUUCUUGUGUAUUGAUUUGAAAUGCUCAUAUGGCAUAAUUUGUUGAUCAAUAUAACAUGAAGGAAAAUUCAUAUGUCUUAGAAUCAUAUACAGAGAUAUUUAUUAUAAAAAACCAUUUUAGCAUGACAUGUUAUAUAAAAACUCGUAUAUUUGGAGAGAAAAAAAAUCCAAAACUUAGUCAUUUGUUAUUUUCUAAUUGGUUCUCAGUGUGUUAAAAUUUGAUAAGAACUAAUGAGAAAAUAACAAGUGACUAGUUUUGGAGUUUUUACUCUAAAUAGGCUCUAUAAGUGCUUUUAUAUAUUAUGUCAUGCUAAAAUGAUUUCUCGAUGGCUUGCAUAAGGGCAUGUGCAAUUUCGUCUCCCCUCUCAAGUCCGUUGUCUACGUAGGUCUCAAUUUUCUUCCGAAGUAAGGCAGCAACAUGAAGACGAGAUUUCUUCAUCUCCGGUUCCAUCUCCCUCUACAACUUCUUCAAAGACGUUAUUAGACCACCACACAAGCACCUGAGGGGAAUGUUGGAAAUGUCAUCUAAAUCAUAUAAUUGGUAUCAUCCAUACUCAAACUUAUCCGACAUGCGAACCCGUUAAUUAUUAUUAUUUUUUGUGUUUUGGCCUCCUCCAUGUACUCUUCCGUUGAGCUUGACUUGACCAUUAACUCGCCAAAUUCAGAGAGUCCGUGAUUGCUGCUCUGAUUAGCCCCAGGACACGUUGUUCCACCAAAUUGAAGUUGCAAAAUACUGAAAUAACAUUCAAUACGGAAAAGACUUACUACCAUAUGUAUUUGGUUUCUAGUGUAGAUGCGGGUAAAUCUAACCAAACCCGUCACGAAUUUAAAAGAAAAGAAAGAAAAAUGAUGAAUUGGCAACCCCAGUGACUCAGCGACAGCUUGCAAAUGAUGAUUGUCCAAUGUCAAUAUUUACACACACAGAGACCAAUAUUUUGCCAUUUGGAAGGAGGAUGCAAGUGAAUUGAAAAGAGGACGGGAAGAAGAUGCCUUUCCUGCUCACUAAAAAACAGAAAAUAGGUCCCAUGGCUCCAUACAGUGGGCCCAACCCCAAAAUCUAUAGCCUUAUCAUUAUUAUUAUAUCUUUCCUAUUUUGAUACAAUAAUAACUAGGCAAUUCAUUAACAACAUUUUUAGUGAAACAUGUGAACAACAAGAGGAAAUACCUCGAGUGUUGCUGGUUUAUGGUGGCUGUUUGGUGGUGCUUCUGCGUUUCUGUGGUUUGUUGCUCCUGUUCAUCUAAUAUUGCAGAUUAGAUAUGUGCUUCUUUAUAUUGUUGUAUAUGUUUCAUUUUUUUGAGUGAGUUUUUCGUAAUGAAAUUUUAUCCUUCGAUCAAAAAAAAAAAAGAAAAAAAAAGAAAAGAGGAAACACCUAAUUUAUAAUAGAUGAGAGAUUACGAGGGUAAGCUCGUGACUCUUGACUAUUUUAUCACAUGUAAGAUUAAUUAACCUAAUCUACUAAUGUGAGGGCAUAUAGGGUUUGAAGAAAUAAACUUUAUUAUAUACAAGAAUUUGAUAGUCACCUUUCUUCUAGCAAAGGUAAAGAAAAAUUCUAUCGCCUUUUUAUCAUAAAGGUAAAGGAAAAAAAAAAUCUAUGCAUCAACUUUUCUAUGUCUUUUUUAUGCUGAAUGAUAUAUUUUAAAAUAUUAAAAAGGAAAAUAAAUUAAACAAAGAUUAGUUGGUGUAUCUUUUCUCUUUCGGUGAUAUCCCAAAGGAUCUAUUUCGUCCAUUGUUUUCAUUUUCACCAACAACUCACAUUCCAUUGUAUAAAUUCAUAGUUUUCGAAGGAAAUUGUUAUUGACACGUAUCUGAAUUCUCUGCUUUGACUGCUUUGACACUCUUAAAUAGUUUUUAUACACUUCUUUCUUAUUUACUUUUUUCUAACUUAUUUGACUGAUUUUGAAUAACAACUCUAUACGAAAAUAUGAUUAUUAAAUUUAAAAUAAAAUAAAGAAAAGUGUAUAAUUUAUAUUUUGGAUUGCCUAAAAGAACUCUAUUUACAAUGACCAAAGAACAAAACUAAAACCCAACACUAGAUUCCAACUCAACACCCUUUGGUUUGGUAAAGAUUUUGUGGUUCAAUUAACUUGGGGCAAUUAAAUCCUCUUUAGGAAAGCAGAUUAAUUAAUUUCUCUAUUUGGUAACGACCGGAUUAGGUUAGGAAGGGUUAAUUAAUUAGCAGAAAACAAGGGGUUAAUUAGGGAGGGACAUUUCCUCAAUAUUCUGUCACCUUACCAAUCCACACCCCACUGUACUCUCUCUCCAUGGCAUUUAUGAAUUCCAUCACCAAGCAGCAUCCUUAAACUACGUGCAUCAAACUUCGACCGUCCGAUCAAAUCCAACGGCGCAUAGAGCACAAACAUAAAAGGGCGUGCACAAUACGCAGUGCACAGCUUCUCUUCCUUCUCCAAAAACAUACAACGAAGGAAACCGCAGAGAGCUUCUCUUCUCCCCGUCGAAACAAAACUUGAAGAAAAAGAAGACGACCCUCUGUCCCAUUUCAUUUUAGUCCCCCAACUUGCUCGAAAUUACAAAAAAAAAAAAAAAAAAAAACCCACCACCACCGAAACGACAAUGCACGCGAAGUCGGAUUCGGAGGUGACGAGCGUGGAGCAGUCCACGCCUCCGCGAUCGCCGCGCAGGCCGAUUUACUACGUGCAGAGCCCGUCGAACCACGACGUGGAGAAGAUGUCGUACGGCUCGAGUCCGGCCGGGUCGCCUGGGCACCACUUCUACCACUGCUCGCCCAUCCACCACUCGCGCGAGUCCUCCACAUCGCGCUUCUCAGCCUCUCUCAAGAACCCCCGCAGCCUCUCCGCCUGGCGGAAGCUGCAGCGCGGCGAGGAAGUCGAAGAAUCCGACGACGACGACGACGAAAAUGACACCGGUUUCUGGAAAGGAGGCCCCGGCCGCAGCGUCAGGUUGUACUUCUGCUUCGCGCUGCUGUUCGUUGUACUCUUCACGGCGUUCUCGCUGAUCCUGUGGGGCGCCAGCAAGGCUUAUGAGCCGCAGGUCAUCGUCAAGGUAAAGGCUCUAUCUUUUUUUUUUCUUGACUUGGUGCUCGACUGAGUUGACUGACGGCGUUAUUUUUUUUGGGUGAAGAGUAUUGUGUUCGAGAGUUUUGACAUACAAGCGGGGAGCGACAGGACGGGGGUGCCGACGGAUAUGCUGUCGUUGAAUUCGACGGUCAGGAUUCAUUACAGAAAUCCGGCGACAUUCUUUGGCGUUCACGUCACGUCGACGCCGCUGGAGCUUCACUACUACCAGCUCAAAGUGGCGUCCGGACAGGUGCGUAAUGACCAUUCUGACAUCGUUAAGUAAGAAGAUGCAUGUUUAUGCCAUGGGUAAUCUGGUAAUUUUGAGUUGUAUAGAUAACAUUGGUCCAACGUUAAUGUGGGUUUGUUAGUUAUGUUAUAUGGUUUUGUUUUUGUUUGGGGGUUUGGGGUGGGGACAAACGGCGGUUGUUGGGAGGUGUGAGGGCAGAUGGAGGUUUGAAAAUUUUGAUGGGUCCUCUUCAUUGGCAAGUUUCUUUCCUUUAUUGGGGGGCCUGAAAAAGCUCUUCUGCCAAGCCUGAAACCCAACCACAAUACAAACAUCUCUGUUGGGAUGCUCAACUUUUUUAUUUAUUUAAUAUCGAAGCAUUUUUUAUUUUGUAAACAAAACAAUAACACUAUCUGCCUGCACCAAUUUGUAUAACUUUUUCAGCACAUUCAGUUUUUCUGCAACAUCUUGGUCUACAUCAAUUUUUGCAUGGAAAGAUUUUUUAUUUAUUUUUAUAAUAAAUAAUAGAGAUUAGCUUCAUGAUCAUUUCAAAUUCUUCUUUUGGGAGAUGCAGUUGAAAUCAAACACAAAGAAUAUAGUUAGGAGAUUUCAAAGCUUGAUGGGUCCCAAUGGGGAGAAUCCUGUUCCUAUCUCUUCAAUGGGUUAAAAAAAAAACCAGCAAAAGAUGAGUAGCUGGGUCAGUCUUUUGAUUCCAACUUUCUAAAUGCUUUCUUAUCUCAAAAAUUAAGUAUUUUUGUAGUUUAGGAUUUGUAAAACAGACCCCUGUAGUUUUAUUUUAUUUUGGUUUUUGGGAAUGAAGUGGCAAUGUACUUGGAACUGAUAGCAAGAACACUGCCUGGCUUUAAGCAGUUUUUGGUUAGUUUAUAGAGAAUUUGCUAGUCCUUGUUACCUUUUUUUUUUUUUUUUUUUUUUUGGGAUGAUUUUAUCCAAAGAUAUUAUGCUCAUGAAAAAUGAAGCAGAUUGAAAACUUUUACCAAGCAAGGAAGACGCAUCGGACAAUAAGGACAGUGGUGCUAGGGUCCCAAGUGGCUCUUUAUGGUGGAGUUUCAGUUGUUCAAGAUGUUAGCGAAAAUCUCCGGAGACAGAGAGUGGCCGUGCCGCUGAAUCUGACGUUCGUUGUGAGGUCAAGAGCCUACAUUCUGGGAAAACUAGUGAAGUCCAAGUUUUAUGAGAGAAUCAGAUGCUCUGUCACUCUUAGAGGAAGCAAUCUAGGCAAGCACUCUAAUUUGACAAAUUCUUGUGUCUAUGAAUGAAUGAGGUACCUCUGUUUAUGAUCAGUAAUUUUUGGGGAAUCUCGGUGUGGAUUAAUUGUACCAUUGUACCAUUUUAACUGCUUAAGUUAUCUUGUUCUCUAUCAGCCUGCAAAUUCUAAAUACAAAAGUUUUGAAAGUGGCUUAAGCCUCAGUAGAUUUUCCUUUCAUUUACAAUGUAAAAUUUCAGUAGUUGUAAAAAUAGAUUAUGGAAGAGAACAAGUUUUUGUUGCCUUUCAUUAAUUUAUUUAGAAUCCUUCUGUACAAUGCAUUGUGGUCGGUCAAUUUGUUUAUGAGAUGUAUUGGUGAAUGAAUGUAAGAUGUAUCUCUUUCUGUUUGGUGAAUGAAAAUGUGUGGUGAAAUGUUUUCGACUGCUUUUUGAAUUCGGAUUUGAGCUAAAGCAUUUGCAGCUAUAGGAAAGAGAAGACUUGCAGGCUGGAGUUGAACUGAAUGCUUGAAAAAAGCACAUGAAGCACCUCUACAAGUACAAAGGAGACCAUGAACAAAACACAAAUGACAUUACAAGCAAACACUUUUACAAAAACAGAGGACUGAAAACCAAACACAUUACAAGCAAAAAAUUACACAAGUACGGAGGAACCUAAACAAAUUACAUUGCAAGCAAACAUCAAAGGCCGCCACCGCUAACAUCUAAAUGUUUUAUUGGUUGCAUCAUGGAUGCUAAUACUCCUUUGGCUUCUCCUCUUCAUUCUUGUGACCUCCAGGGAGCUUGUCUUUGAUCUUCUCCAAGAUUCCCUUUUUAGGCUCAGCUUCAUGGGAAUGGUCAUCCAUAGCAUGAUACUCUGCAUGAGCACCAUGUUCAGCCUCCUUCUGUUGUCCAGGAAGCUUUUCUUUGAUUUUCUCUAUAAAGCCCUUCUUAUCAUCUGCAUGUGGCGCUCCAUUUUCGAUAUCAUGGGUUUUCUCGACUGGAACUGAUGCGUGGUAAGCAUCUCCCUCUUCCUUUUUGCCUGAUUUCUUCUCCUUGAUCUUGCCCUUCAGUCCCUUCUUCUUCUUCUCUCCACCUUCUUCGUCACUGCUGGACUGGAAAAAUUUUCAAGCAACAAAAUUUUGUCAGAAAAGGAAAAGAAAAAAAAUAUUUACUUGAUGCAUCAAACACUUUUUGAUCCAUUUUGAGACUAAUUCUGUGAUAAACAAAUCAAUGAUAGCUCACCGAGCUAGAGUCGCCACCAUGGUGGUGGAGCUUUUCGGCAAGAGUGUGCUUAUGUUGCUCCUGCUCCUGGUGGGGCUUCUCAUUUUCCUUCUUCUUCAAGAAAUCAAACAUCCCACAACCUUGACCUUCCUCUCCUACCUUGGUGGGACUCUGACUCUCCUUGGUCUCUUUUGGGUAAUGAUCUGCCAUACUGCUAAUGCUAGCAAACACAAGAGUGUAAUCAAAUCGAAAACAGAAAGAAAGCUUUGAACAAUAUUUGAUGUCAAUACUUGUAAUAAAAAACUGAUAUUCACUGAUGGUUUAAGAGGCAGAUAGUGUUGGUAUUUAUAGAGAAUUUUUUGUACCCAACUAAAGCUUUGUUAGCAACUAUGAGAUGUACCAAGGCAGUGAAGUUAUAAAAAAACCAGAAAAAAGUACCUUUUGCAAAAAGGAGAGGGUUUACGUGGUCUCUAAUGGUCACCAUUGGGAGGAGAAAACUAAAAGAGUCGGUGUGGACGGUGUGCAGAGUCUGCAACUAUCAAGAGCUUCAGUGCUGUUGCCUACGUGCAAGGUUUUGAGAUUAGGAGCUUGAAAGUGCUUAAUGGUACGCUUAACAUAAUCACAUGGAUGUGUUUGGUCGGUGCUUGGGUUGGGAGUUUAACUUUUUGUGAAUAUAAUAGUCAUAUUUAAUUUGUUAAUCUUAGUUUAAUCACUCAAAGUACAUUGCAGAACUGUUUUCGAGUUGAAAAUGCAUUAACCCUCCAAUCAAAGUGAAUCUUGGUUUUCUUAAACUUGUCUGAAAUCCCAGGGGAAAAUAAGAAGAAAUGAAGAAAUGUCUGCAUUACUCUUACUUUGGUUAUUAUUGAUAUACUAAUCAGAAAUUCUCAAUUUUGGAAUUUAUUCUUUGAGAAAGAGCUUAUUGCAUGUAUGAUGUAAAGAAGUUCUGAAAGUCUAUCCCAAUUGCUUGAUCACAAGAAUUAACUUAUCCUCGUUACAUAAUUUGGUCUUGGGGUUUCAAAAUAUUUUUCCAUUUUGUUUGGAAAUUAAUUGUGAUUAAGGCUUGAAGAAGUUGGCAUUUAGGCCAUUAACAGCUAAAUUCCAAGCUGCUGCAGCAACAAAAAGAAGGCUCAAAAACAGGCCAAAGCAUCCGAGUGCAACGUUGGUACACCACAUUCCACCAUGUAGACAUGGUUUCUUAAUUGCAAUCCACAUGAAACAUGGAUAAGCAUAUGUCAAGGGUACUGAUGUGAACCCUCCAAUUAGAGGUGAUAGGCUUCCUAGAAAUGGAAAUGCCACUGCUAUAAAGAAUGUCAAUCCUCCGAACAAAAGGCGAAUAACUAUGCGAAGCCAUCUUGGGCAUCUCUCUUUCUUUCUACUGGUGUACCGUAUCUCCAUGUUGUCGAAAACUACCAUGCCGUAUAUUUGGUAUGUCGUUAAGCAGUUAAUCACGAUUAUUAUGUAAAUUAGUCCUAGCACAUAUUGUGAUGUGUUAUGUCCAUGGAAUUGUGAAAUUGCUUUUAGUAUAGCUCCAUUACUAAAGGGUUCCUGCGUAAACCAGAACAUGUUCUGUUAGUUUAAGUUUGAAUCAUUUGAGAAAUUUGUUUUGAAGAAAAAACAAAGGAAUUGCUGUCACCUUGUUUCCAUAAGCCCAAUAUCCACCUAUGGCCAGAGGAAACAAACACAUGGCUAUGAGCCCAUAAGACAUUGUAACUCCACUCCACAUUCUCUUAUGAGAAGGGUGUUUUGGACUUGAUGGCAAUGUCCCCUGCCACACAUUACAAGAUCAAACCAAAGUAUAAGCUAUAUAUCAAAAAGAGUGUACAUGUUUUGGCAUCAAAAUUGAACAACUGUUGAUGGAAAUUAGCAACAACACUAACCUGAAUCUCCAGGAUGACAUUGUGACCUCUGAAUGCAAGAAAAAUUAUACCAAGUGCAUUCAGUAUACUGCCGUAUGUAGCGAUGGUGGACUCCAGAGGAAGAGGGUCGUACGAUAUGUCACGGGGCCUGCCCUUGCCGAUCGAAAGAGCCCAAAUCAUGGUACAAUAUACAAUGGCUGUGAUGGUUCCAAUAAAUGAGACUCUAGCUAUGGAGUUCAAGUUGGGAAAGCAUUGAGCCACAACAAUAGCCAUACACAUGAACACCAAAUAACAUUCUGUACCAGUCAAUGGCUUGGCAUUGCAGGUUGCCCCAUCCUUGCACAUUGUUCUGAUCAAAAGCUGUAUGGUUCCACCUCCUAUGAUAAUUAGCUGCACACACAUACCCCCUGAUAGAUACAUCACAGGGAAUAUAGUUAGCAACUUUCCUAGCUUUGGACCUGAAACAAAGAAAAUAACAUAUCUAUAGUUAAUACAUUUUCAGCCAUCUGGUUUGAUGUAGAAAAAGAAGGGCUUGUGGUGUCAACCAAAGGCAGUCACUGCAAGGUGCACGUAUCGACUAUACCGAGUUCCAGAUUCAGAUUCAUGCAGCUGCACGAGGAGCCAUAGGGUGUAGAGCUGCCAUGAGAAUGCUAGUGACAAGAAUAUGGUUCCAUAUACCCUGCAACCAUUGAAAAUUGUUGUUGUAUAUGAAACUUUGUGCAGAUAUGCAAUCAAAGGCAUCAAAAAACCACAAAUGCUGAACUCUUUCUCAAUUUUUUCUUGAUCAAUUAUAUAUCAGAGAAAGACUUAUUGCUUACCAUCCGAAAGUGGAAAAUGCAAUAGGUAGGAGAAGGGCUUGAAGUCCAAUGCCUGAAGCAAGUACAUGAUAUAUAGCAGAAUAUGUGCUGCCUUUUCUAGACUCUGUGAUGGGGAGCCAAGCAUCCUGGGGAUUGAUCUCACCACCUGCCCAAUCUGUUGGUGUGAUGGUUUCUUUCUCUGGGGGACUAAUUAUGAUGGGGAUGACUUGGGCAGACUCCGUCGACGAAUUUCUAGUGAAAUUGCUAAAAGAAGGCUCCUGGGACAAAUCUGGCCUGGAUUUUGUUCCAAGAUCCACUUCCUCCAAGUCUGCCAUUUGCUUAAAAUUGCUAUAUGUGGGGGGUGUGGGGUGUGGGGGUGUUGUUUUCUUUCAACUAAUUAAACAAAAAAUGAAUGCAAUUCUAUUUUUUUUUUUUUAGCACUAUUUGUUGACUUCGAUGGUGGGAAUGUUUCAGAUGUGAAAUCUAGAAGUCAUCUCAUAUGAUUGAAAAGUGUAUGGGCAGUUUUAUUUUUUUAUUUUGUCAAGUAUGCAGCAGAAACAAAAGGGUAGAAAACUUGUUGGUUUCUACAAAGAAUGUUAAAGAACAAGGAACGAAGACAAAUUCAGGUGCGACCGCAAAAAGAAAAGCAAAGAAAUUAAAAAGGUGAGAUAAAAACAAGAAAUCUGCCUUUUCAAAAGUCACAAAGUCAAUAAAAGAAUUAAUCUGAAGGGUUUGCAAAAAAUCAAAAAAAAAUAAAAAAUAAAAAAAAUCUUGAAUGGAGUUUGAAAUUAGUAAUUACCACUUUAGAAACCCACAACUAGAAAGAAUUCCAGACAAACUCAGAAGCUUGGGAUGAAGAUGUUGAAUGCUUGAAGGGAGAGGGAGGUUGAAGGCUUGGCUUGCACAGCAAGGCUGACAUCAUGAUGAUGAUAUAUAUAUAUAUAUAUAUAUAUACAUAAUAAUGGGUUUUACGUCAUAUCUGUAAUGAUCGAUAUUAAACCAUUGAAUUCCACCAUAAUGAGCGGUUUAAUUAGUUAUUUUCGUGCCUUAAUUGAUGGGGAAAAAAAUAAUUUAACCAACAAGAAACAAUUAGAAUUUGGUUAAGAGAAAAACCGUAACAAUGAGUGAAGCCUCUCUGUCUCUGCUAACGUUAAUGCUUAAAAAGGUUGGCCGGAAACCAACAUUGCUCAAAUCUAUGUUGAUGAAUGGAGUUCUCAGAUGAAGAAGAAGAGUGGAGGUUUAAAGUUUCAUGUGGAGAAUCGAUGCAUACCGCAAAAGAGUGGAGGGAGGGAUCAAUUCAAGGAGCAUGGUUGAGCAUGAUGAGACUGAUGACAAGUGGCGCUGUGUCGAGACAACACGUGGCAGUUAUGUAAGGCUAUCUUCAAUGUCAAAUGCCAUAUUCUAAAUUAUUCAAAUGUUUAAGGAAGAUUAUCGAACUUAUGUGCAAAAAGACGAGCAUGAUUUGAGUUUGAGUAUAAAUCUCCACUGGAGAUGGUUGGACUGAAACUCAAAUUUUGGUUUUUUUUUUUUUUUUCUUGCUUCAUUAUUUUGUUGGACAAAAUUGGUUAUAUUUUUAUUUUAUAAUUUUGGACUUAAUUUAUUUGAGAAUCUUGCAGUAUAAUAAAACGAUUAGUAAACCUCUUUAAAGGUUCAGCAACGGCUGGCGCGAUUUUUUGAAGAAAAAAAUGCCUUUGGGUUCUAGGACAUCUAGACCGUUGAUUGCUUCAAAAUUUUGAAUUUGGACCGUUAGAUGCAGCUAGUCGUUGGGUUUUGAGUUAAACUCAAACCUAAUCUGGUUCUGAAUUUUGAAGAAAAAUCAUAUUUGGGUUUGGAUUUUCCGGACACAACUUUAUGUUUUGAUCCAAAUCCAAAAAAAAAUAUCAAUGAUCCGAUCAAAUGGUUCGAGAGAAGGUAACAAUAUUCACUCGGACUAGAGUGGAACUGUAUGUUGUGAAAAUUAAGGUUAUGUAUAAACUGUCACAUAAUUCUGUAUUUCAAUCAAUUUUUUUGAAUUUCUUUUUUAUUUUUGUGGAUUUAUUGUUAAUGUUAGGUUUAAUAUGAUGUAUCUUUGGGCAACCUGCAUCCCUUGCUCCAGUCACCUCAGCUUCACUAUAGAUGGCAAUCUGUACCGGCUUUGCCUUGUUUUCGUGACAUCAGAAGUUUCCAGAGCUGAGCAUCUCCAGCAUCCACAGGCACCUCCGUGAAUUUACCGCUCAGUUAACAAAUCUACCAGCUGAUGUUUUAUGAAUCUAACAAAAGUUUAACAAGUUCUUGUCACUUAACUAGCUUAAUUUAAAGAUACAUGGUUUUUUUUUUUUUCGUUUCUAUGAAAAAUACAACUAACUAAGGCUUGAAGAAGUUGGCAUGCAGGCCUUCGCUAGCCAAGUUCCAUGCUGCUGCAACAACUAAAAGAGCACUCAAAACCAGGCCUAAGCAUCCAAGUCCCAUGUUGGCACACCACAUGACACCUUUGGGCUUUGGUUUCUUGAUUGCAAUCCACAUGAAGCAUGGGUAAGCAUAUGCCAGAGGCAAUGUCAACCCUCCAAUUAGGGGUGCCAAGCUUCCCAAGAAUGGAACAGCCACUGCUACAAAGAAUGUCAUCCCUCCAAAGAACACGCGAAAAGCCAUUCGAAGCCACCUUGCACAUGGCUUCUUCUUCUUGCUAGUGUAGUUCGACUCUAGUUUGUCGAAAAUCACCAUGCCGUAGAUUUGGAAUGUACUUAGGCAGUUUAUGAUCACAAGUAUGAACAUUAGUCCCAGCACAAUUCUUGGUGUGUCAUGCCUGUGGAACUUCGAAAUCGCAAUCAAAAGCCCUCCAUUUGAUGAGGGUACCUGCAUAAAUCAGAAGAGUUUAGUUUGAGCUAGCUUUCAAUGUUGAACAGAAGGAAAUUUAAAUUGGUCUCACCUUGUUUCCAUAAGCCCAAAAUCCAGCUAUGGCCAGAGGAAACAAACACAUGGCUAUGAGUAGAUAUGAUAUGGCCACUCCUCUCCACAUUGGCUUGUGGGUUGGGUGCUUUGGACUUAAUGGUAAUGUCCCCUGCACAUUAGUAUAAAACUUCACCCUUUAUUUAAACCAUAGAAUUUGAUCUCCAUUCUCCACCACACCCAACAAGAUCAGUUCAUUGCAACCAAAGAUGGUGUGGAGAUCAAACUCUGGGUGCAAAUAGAAGUUCCUUGCAUAGCCAAAAAUAAAAAACCAAAUAUCGUUUGUGUCCGAAUCCUUCCUCCUCAAUAUCGCUUGUGUCAAAAAAAAGAAGCAAGAAGACUGACCUGUAUCUCAAGGACAACAUUGUGGCCUCUGAAUGCAAGAACAAUGAUACCAAGAGAAUUCAAAAUCCCCCCAAAUCUGUCCAUAUUAGACUCCAUCUCUGGAGGGUCAUAUGAAAUGUCACUGGACCUGCCCUUGCCAAUUGAAAGGGCCCAAAUCAUAGUACAAUAUGCAAUUGCUGUGAUGGAGCCAAUCAAAGAAACCCAAGCUAGGGAGUUCAAGUUGGGAAAUUGAGCCACAACAACAGCCAUGAUCAUGAACACCAAGAAACAUUCUACAGUGGUCAAUGACUUGGCAUCACAAGUUGCUCCAUCCUUGCACACAGUUGUGAUGAAAAGCUUUAGGGUUCCACCUCCUAUGAUAAUUAGCUGCACACAUGUACCAGCUGACAGAUACAUUACUGGGACUAGAGAUGAAAACUUCCCUAGCUUUUGACCUGAAAAAGAAAAACAAAGAAAAAGCAUGUAUAAUUAAUACGUUAUUAAUAAAACUAUUUAUAUCACAUUUGUGAUUAGCAUGCGCUAUACUAACCAAAGGUUGUCAUUGCGAGGUCAAGGUAUCUGCUAUAACGAGUUCCGGAGUCGGAUUCGUGUAGAUGUACAAGUAGCCAUAUGGUGUAUAGCUGCCAUGAAAAUGCCAGUGACAAGCAUAUGAUUCCCCAUGCCCUGCAACCAUUGAAAAUUGUUCAUGGAAAUUAAACCAACCGAAGUUAUUUGCAUGCAUGCAUAUGGAAUCUUGUAAGUUUGGACACUUCUGCUGUCAAAUUUUCUUUUGCUUGGUACAGAAUUGUUGAAAAGUACUGCAACUGAAAUUUUUGUCCUAUCUUUGACCUUGUGGGAUCUGAUAUUGAAAUUUUUGUCUGUCUUCUGUAAUAAUCUAGGUGGAUAUUUAGAGCAUUUAUUAUGAAUGAAUAGCCUGACUAAGACUUUGGCCCAAUGUUAGAGACAGAGUUCACAGGAAGCAAAAUCUAAUUCAAGUAGAAAUUAAGUGUAUGAAGGUGUUCAUCUCUUUGAAAGAAAGCUUUAUCUUUUUUUAAUGUAUAGAUUCCAAAUCUCAUAAAGAACUUGCAAUUUACAAGAGAAAGCUGACUUGGGCAUCCUAGGCUCUCCUCCUCAAAAACUCCAGCAAGAUCAUCAAGACCAGCAACUGGCUUUAUUUAUACCAUGAAAAACAUAUACAUAGUACUAUUUCUCGCCAUACUUAUAUCUUCGGACAAAUAUUUUCGUCGCAAUAAAUAUAAACCACGUAUUCUGACAAAAACUAACAUAAUAAAUAAAUAGUUCAUAUUGACGUAUCUUAUACUGUCAGACAGUUUGAUAAGAGAAUAUUUUUCAAUAAAGCUAAUGUGAACUAGAAAUUAUGUAUGAGUAUUCAAGCUGAGAGAGUUAACAUGACUUACCAUCCAAGAGUGGCAAGAGCAACAGGCAGUAAAAGGGCUUGGAUUCCAAUUCCUGAGCAGAGCAAAUGAAAGGUAGCAGAAAUAGUAUUCCCAUUCCUGGACUCUGUGAGGGGAAGCCAAGCAUCCUGUGGAUUAAGCUCUCCACCUCCCCAAUCUGCAGCUGAUGAUGCAAUAUAAUCAGCACCAUCUUCUUCACUUGUGGGAUUACUUGUUGUGAUGGGGAUGACCUGAGCAGAUUCUGACCUUCUGCUCAAUGAAUGAACCCUAUCUGUGCUCCAAUUUGCUUCACCAAACCCUUCUUCCAUGGCAGCUGCCAUGUCCUUGAGCUCUGUAAAAUUAAAGUACAAGCCUUUACCUAACCAAGAUUUGAUGGCUUUGUGGGUACUUUAAUUGUAGUAUUUUUAUAGUAGUGUAACGUGACUUGCUGGCUGGCUGUAUGGCAAUUUUAGUACUAGUUGUUGACUGACUUGCAUCAUCUCCAGCAGAUGGGGACAAUUGUUUAUUCUGAUGGCUGAUAAGCAUGAUGUAUUGGCUGAUGAUAUCUAUAUAGCUGUUUAAUUAAUUUAUUGGGGUUGUUAAUUUUAUUUUUAUUUAAAUGAAAACAUGUUAAUCAUGAUUAAUUAACUAAAAGGGGUUUUUUUUUUCUUCAAAAAGGGUUUCUAAGAUCAUGAGACUGAUAUAAGUCUGAAUUUGGAUCUUCAGUUCCACAAUACCUGCAUCAAUUCCCCCGCUAGUAUAUAUAUAUAUAGUCUGCAGUUCAUUGUUUUAUAACAAGUGGACUAUUAUUAAAUGCUUUAUUGCUGCAGGAGGGCAAAAAUUGAAGAGAACUCAAAAACAAAAAAAAAACAAAAAACAAAAAACAAAAAAAAAAAAAACCCUUUGGUGCCAACCUUUACACAUGCAUUAGGGGUAUUUCAAUUUUUUCAAGUACGGCUGAGUUGGUCAAAUUUCAAGCCUUUGGUGAUAUCAAAUGUAAUAAAACAAAUAAUAAAACUUAUAGCACAGCUACAAAAUGGCCCUUUUAGUUCAAGAUUUAGGUGCUUAGAAAUGAAUUUUAAAUUGCAUUUUUAUGUUUAGUAAGUUUAUUUUUAGGAAUAUAAUUAUGGACGGGUAUGGACUUCCCAUGUAGACGGAAAGUUCAUAUCCUUGGCUCACUUUAGAAAACUUUUUUCCGUGUUAUUAUUUUAAAAUACCACUUUUGACUCCUGAAAACUCUUUAUAUAUUAAUAAAUUAUUACAAUAAAAAAUCAAGGGUAUUGUUGGAAAAUCAGUCAACUUUUUAUUCCUAAUACUGUACAAAUCAAACAUUAGAAUAUGAGAAAACAACAUUUCCUAAUCCUUAUUUCCAAGUGUUCCCAAACAUGGGAUGAGAAUGAACAUCCUCUAUUCCCAUCUUGUAAGAUUAGACAUGUGAAGUUUAUUCUCAAGAAGUUCAAUCCGCGAACCAAACGGGAUAGUGUUUAGUGGGAAUCUGAGCGGUUAACAUUCAUUUUUCUUUUAAUUGUGCAUGCAAGCCAAAUGUCGUUGGCGUUGUUUUUCGGGAUAUCACCACCGCACUGACGAGAUGAGAGACCUACUUCAAUUGACUCGCCGAGCCAAGGGACUAGUUUCACUAAUUUAAAAGCAACAAAAUUAUUUACACCUACAAAGAAAAGAAGCAGCUGAACAUGAUGUCAUUAAGGUUUGAAGAAGUUGGCAUUUAGACCUUUAUCAGUUAAAUUCCAAAUUGCUGCAACAACUAAAACAACACUCAAAACCAGCCCCAAGCAUCCAAGUCCCAUGUUUAUGCACCACUUUCCACUUCGUGGCUGUGGUUUCUUGAUUGCGAUCCACAUGAAACAUGGAUAAGCAUAAGCCAAAGGCAAUGUCAUCCCUCCAAUCAGAGGUGCUAAGCUUGGUAAGAAUGGAAGAGCCACUGCUGCAAAAAAUGCCACUCCUCCAAAGAGAAAACGAAAAACCAUUCGAAGCCACCGGGCGCAUGGCUUGCUCUUCCUGCUGGUAUACUUGAACUCCAAGUUGUCAAAGACUACCAUGCUGUAGAUUUGGAAUGUGCUCAAGCAGUUUAUCACUACAAUUAUGCAAAUUAGUCCCAGCACAAAUGUUGAGGUUUUAUGUCCAUGGAACUUUGAAACUGAGCUCAAUAUUUUUCCAUACGAAUACGGUAUCUGCAUAAAUUGAAAGACAUUGUGAAUCUUAGAUCAUUUGUCUGCCUAAGUUUGAUAUAUUUAUAUGAGAAAAUCAUUGGCCUCACCUUGUUUCCAUAAGCCCAAAAUUCAGCUGUGGCAAGAGGAAGCAAACACAUGGCUAUAAGUGCAUAAGAUAUAGUCACUCCUCUCCACAUUUGUUUAUGGGAUGGGUGUUUGGAACUUGAUGGCAAUGUGCCCUGCAACACAAAAUGACAUCAAAAAUUUCCAAGACCUUCCUUUGAAGUAAGUUUUUCUGUUAGUGGAAAAGUUACACUCGCCUGAAUCUCAAGCAUAACAUUAUGACCUCUGAAUGCAAUGAAAAUGAUGCCAAUUGAAUUCAUUAUGCCACCAAAUGUAUCCAUGUUAGAAUCCAUCUCUGGUGGGUUGUAUGAUAUGUCACUGGGCCUGCCCUUGCCAAUUGAAAGGGCCCAAAUCAGAGUACAAUAUCCAACGGCUGUGAUGGCGCCAAUGAACGAGACCCAAGCUAUGGAGUUCAAGUUGGGAAACUGAGCCACAACAAUAGCCAUGCACAUGAACACCAAGAAGCACUCUGUACCAGUCAAUGACUUGACAUCACAAACAUUUUUGAAGAAAAGCUCCAUGAUUCCACCUCCUAUGAUGAUCAACUGGACACAUGUGCCCCCUGAUUGGUACAUUACUGGGAAAAUAGUGAGCAACUUCCCUAAUUUUAAACCUGAACAAAACAAAGAGAACAAAUUUAGUUAAUACAGUGCUAGCCAUUUCUGAAGGGUGUUUGGUUCCGAAGAAGAAUUCUCGUACUAACCGAAGGCCGUUACUGCGAGGUGGAGGUAUCUGCUAUAUCGAAUUCCAGAUUCGGAUUCGUGUAGAUGGACGAGAAGCCAUGUGGUGUAGAGCUGCCAUGUAAAUGCUAGUGACAAACAUAUGAUUCCCCAUGCCCUGCAACCAUUGAAAGUUGUUAUGCAAAUUAGAACAAGGACCAGGAAUAUUUUUGAGUUAUAAACAUAUUUGCUAGUUUAGCUCCUAUUGGUCUAUAGUUGUAUUCAAACAUGUGUUGUGAUUAAUUGUUAAUUGUACAAAAUCAAUCGUCCAGAUUUAGCCUGCCAAAAUUGGUUGGCACUUGGAAUAUUGUAUUGCUCAAAAUUAGUGCAUGAGAAGUUCAUAUCAGGAGUUGACCAUAUGUGAGGAUAUUUGAUAUAAAAUCAUUGCAUAUGCUUUUAAAAGACCAGGUGAGGUGAGUUUUCAGACCAUUUUAGGAUCAUCAGCCUAAACUUGUUCCCAGAUUUUAGGGGCAGACAGGUUUCGCAUGGAGCAGUAACUAGCUACCUUAGUUCAAGAAGAAAUCAAGAAACAGAGCAGAGAUGUUUCAUGUGCAAUUAGUACUGAAUUAUAUUUUUGCCCAUUUCUUGAGGAAACAAUAUAUAGUAUAUAGAGUCCAUGUGGAAUUGUGAAUUAAUGGGUACAUAAAUUAAAGUUUAUAUUCUAUCGAAGAAUAUCUCUCAAAUAAGCUUAUUUGAGGGACGAGUUAUGAGACUUAUGCCAUGUAUUUCAAACCAUCUAAUUAAGAAAUCAAUUUGAGAAAAAGAAAGUUGUCAAGCAAAAUAAGAAGGAAAAAAAUAAAACAUAAAAAAAAGUUGACUUGGAAGUACACCUAGGUCCUUCCAGGAAUCUCUUCUUCUUUUUCUCUUUUGUUUUUGUUUCUGUUUGUUUCUUAUCAAAGAAGUAUGGUUAAUCUUGGGAGCAUAAAUUCCAUCAGGAUCAACAACACCACCUCCUGGUUUUAAUGGUUUUAAACCAUCAAAAACACAAAUGCUGAUGGACCCCUUUCCUCAGUACAGGCUAGGUUGGGUAAAAA
rnacentral:lncRNA from 1 species